UGGGAAAGAAAAAAAACAGCGCCCCCACUGUCCCCGCACCCCAUCUCUUCCACCUCCCGUCCCAAACUCCACCAUCCCACCUUCCCGCCGCCGGGAUCCAGCCAACGGUGAGUCGGCGAACACCGCCAACCUACCUCCCCCGCCGCCGGGAUCCAGCCACGAAUCCACCGCCCCGCCGUCGGGAUCCAGCUGCCAAUCCACCUCCCUACCGCCGGGAUCCUGCCGCUGCACAACCGCCACCAACCCAACCUCCCAUCGUCGGGAUCCUGCCGUCGGGCGACAGCCACCAACUCACCUCCCGCGUCGCCGGAAUUCGCCCCUCAGCGGCCUUCCUCCUCUGCUGCCGCGACCUUCCACCUCUGCCACUGCGGCCUUCUUCCCUCACGUGCCUCCCCAGAUCGGCGACGCGAUGCACGUUCCCCCACCGGUGACCCUCCCCCUGAGUUCACUCUCUUCCCUCCAUCGCUGGCCUAAGAGCUACCCACGCCACCCCACGCUGCCACCUUGCUCCUCCCGGUCGACCUCCUGGAUCCGGCGCUCCUGUACAGAGCAGUGCCACCGCGCACUACACUAGUCAGCAUUAGCGCCCCUCUUCCUCCAUGCUGUUGCUGCCCUCUUCCUCCAUGCUGCUGCUGCCUUCGACUCUGCCCUCGCACUCCAUAGCCUCCGCAUUGAGCUGCCCUCUCCUUCAACUGGCAGUCCACACAAGCUAUUUGUGUAUAUGCCUCAAACAAAAAAGUGUGUUUUCUUUGUAAGAUUCUACCUUGGCUCAGUGCAUUCUCUCUCUUUGUUUACAGGAGAAGUUCAUAUACAGCGACAACAACAAAUUUCAUGUUGUCAGAAAAAUGAAGUCCAUGUAUAUGGAAGAUGAUGAUUGUUGUGUGUAUGUAGGGGAACACAAAAACACUUGUGGCUGACAAAUUUUUCUGGUUUAUGCACUUCCUAGUGUUUAGAUGUUACUCCCCUAAACAUGAAAAUAUUAGAUUGCUGUGUAUUACUUUUGGUUUCUUGUAGCUGAUCAGCUGAGUGAAGCAUCUCAGAAGUUACUUUUAGUGUAUACUGUCAAGCAAAGCAUGAUAAGUUCCAUUAGUUACUCCUUGUUGGAAUGCUUAGAUAUACGUGGUUGGAUGUUCUGAAUUCUGAUUGUUAUCGGCCUACUUGUUCGCCAAGUACUGAUCUCCUUCAUUUCUUGUACCCAUUUUGCAGUUCCUGGACAAAUCAAUGCAGCGUCAUGGACUCAUCUUCUAUAGCACAUAAGUAGGCGUGCAUGCCAGAUUGGUUCCUUCCACUACCUAGCUGAUGUUGUUUGUACCCAGACUAACCACAGUGCCUGAUGAAGCUUCAAGACCGCAAAUAGACAAACCCACGGAGAAACAACAUCCUUGUGUAUCUUGAGCUGCUGCAUCACUUGAUGGAACGAGAUAUGGCGUCGGGAACACAUCAGGAUUAGCAAGUAAUUUCGAGAGUAAUCUUGUAUGCGCCCUGGGCUCAGUUUGCGCCGCGAUAAAUUGUUUUCAACAUGUAAUACAUUUUUUGCCGCAUGCCAGGUGAGAUGGCGAACUGGGUGUGCUUUCUGUGUUUGUGUUGUGUGGGACCGUGGGAGAGUGAUUUUUCUUCAGAAGGUUCAGAGUUUUAUUGGGUUAAGGCGAACUCAGCUUAUCGUACAGUCUUGUUCAAACAGUGAUUUUUCUUCAGAAGGUUCGGAGUUCUAUUGGGUUAGAAACAUGUACAAUUUGUCAGGUUGUUUCAGGUCGUCUAAAUCUGGAGUUCUAGACUGUAUGAUCUACUGGGUUGCCUGCGCCGGUCAUCGAAGCCUACCGAGGUGGUGCCCCACUGCUGCCAGCGUCUCACUGCACCCCUCCUCCACACCACAAGGAAGACCAAGAUAUCAUGUUGUUGUUGUUGCUCUUCUACUACAUCUUCAGGUUCAGAAAAGGCAACAACAACGUUUCGCUGUGCGGUGUAGGCUGCGGCGGCAGGACCAUUUUCCUCUUGAAAUUGUUUUAAUUUAUGUGUUUCUCCUACCGCCAAUAGAGGAGAAGAAAGGCCAGCACCGAGCUACUGUUGCUACUGCUUGUUUUAGCUUGCACAACCAAUUUGGGCGUUACCAGGAAGAAGACAAAGAGAGAAAAUUAUGAAGUGAAAGAGAUACAAGAGUAGAGUGCCUACAUGGUGUGGAUAUGAAAGAUGUGGUGUGUGAGAGGAUAAGGGAUGUGUGUUACUAUUCAGUGAUAAAAAUAACUUGUGGUUUAGAGAAAAAGUAACAUUCUAUUUACCUAGUGCUCACGAUCAGCUAUAAAGCUUGAACUUCUUGAACUUUUCUUAACUCUGAUUCACACUAGAACUUUAUAAAAUAAUUUGAAAUUAUUUGCUCUAAUAUUUUCACUACUUACAGUUCAAAAACAAGAAUAGUUAAAUUUCAAGAUAUGUAAUACUUGACAAUAAAGAAGAAAAAUAACGUUCAAAAAAGUCAAAAACUUCAAUGACAUAAACAAGCAGAUUUCAUUCACUCUCUCACUUCUAAACACAUGGGAAAAGCCAUGUAAAAUUCACGCGAGAAGUUCAUCAUUAAAAAAGGCAAAGUUCAAACGAGCACAAAAGUAAGAAAGUAUCACGUCACUAAUAAUCAGAAAGAAGUUCAUCAUUAAAAAAAGAUGAAGUUCAAACAAGAACAAAAGGAAGAAAUUAUCACGUCGUUCAUCAUUAAAAAAAGACGAAGUUCAAACGAGAACAAAAGGAAGAAUUAAAAGGCAAACUCUACAAAUUUUGUUGCUAGAAGUUCAAGUGAUCGGCCCGAGAAAAAUUCAUAAUUCUUGUGCGAGAGGUUCACCUUGUAUUUCCAUGCUCGAUUUUUUUCGUAUAAAAAUCGAAUACAAUUCUUUAAUCAUAAUAUAAAAAGGUGAACUUCAAACUGAAAUAACACAGAAGUUCGGAGUUUAUUAAAACCUAGGAUUUACCUGUUCAAAAAAUAAAAAACACAACGCCAUUUUUUGCACUUUUAAAAACAACUCAUAAACGGAAAAAAUGGUUGCUAGAAGUUCAAGUGCUCGGCGAGGAAAAGUUCAAAAAAUUCUUGUGAGAGAGGUUCACCAUGUAAUUUAGAUGUCCAAAAUACAUAAAAAAUGUAGUUUUUUGUGUUUUAAAAUAAUUCUCUCAAACCAGAGAGAAGUUCAAAGUGAUAACAAUCAGAAGUUCAUGUAUGGUGUGUAUUUCAUAUAAGAAAAAUAAAUAAAGUGAAACUGAGUGAAGUUCAAACAGACAUGUCCCAGAAGUUCAACUACUUCACGCGGUGCAAAAAACAACAUGUCAAAAACAUAGUGAAGUUCAAACAAACAUGUCCCAGAAGUUCAACUACUUCACACAGUGCAUUUUCAUUCGCGAUGAAUGCAUAAAUCAUGAUUUCGCCAUUUUUUAAUUUACCUCAAAACGACAGGAAUAUCAUUUGUGUAAGUUCAAGUCCUCGGUCGGAGAAAGUUAAAAAAAUUAUUGUGAGAGACGUUUGUACAAAAGGAAUAUUAUUUGUGUAACACUAACGAAUGGAUGAGAAAAUUACAAACAAAAAUAACACUAACAGAAGUUCAACAUGAAAACAACAGGAAGUUCAACUACUAUGCUGAAUGAAUUUUAGAUGAAAAACUUUUAAAAUCGUCGCGAGUAUGAAAAGAUGAUCAACACGGGAAACUUGCGUGCUUACAACAACUUUCCAUCCGUAUAUCACCUGCUCAAUUACGGUGAAUGGAUGGAGAGUUACGAGCAGUGGAUGGAGACCUACGAGCAAAAAAAAUCAUGUGAAAAACAGAGUGAAGUUCAGGUACACGUGCCGAGAAGUUCAGGUUCUUCACGCGGUGCAUUUUCGAAGAAUCUGUUUCGCGAUAAAGGCAGAACGCAUGAUCCCGCCGUUUUCGAAAUUACUUGAAAACUGCUAGGAAUCAGAGAAAACCAUCAACAUGAAAAAGUUUCGCAUUUUCUGUAGAUUUUCAACGGUAUAUUAUUUGCCCCAUUUCGAUAAAGUUUGUAGAAAUUACGACGAAAAUACGUUUUUUGCCAUUUUCAAAACUGACUUAAAAACGUAAAGAAUUGGGAGAAACAAUACAUACAAAAAAGUUUCGUAUUUGUUCAAGCUUUCCAACGCCAUAUCAUUUGCUGCAAUCGGACACACGGUUAAAAAAUUAGCUUGAAAAUACGAACUCGGUAGGACUUGGGACCAUUUUCUAAAUUACUCUUAAACCAUUCAAAAUUAGAAAAAACUUUCAAGAUGAAAAAGUAGCGCACUUUCAUAAGCUUUCCAACGCCGUAUCAUAUGCCUCCAUUGGAUUAGCUGUUUAGAAAUGACAUCGAAAAAACGAACUCAGCUGUUUGGUUUACGAAAUUUUUCGUUUUUUCAAAUUACUCUUUAACCAUAGGGAAUUAGAGAAAACUUUCAACAUGUGGAAGGAGCGGUUUUGCAGCAGCUUUCCAACGUCAUAUUAUAUGCCUCAUUCUGAUAAACGGUUUAGAAAUGCGAUCGAAAAUACGAUUCACGUUUUUGUGCGAAGAAAAAAAACGGUUUUCAAAACUGCUCUUAAACCGCUUAUAUUUUGCCAAAAAUUUAAGUUGGGUCAUGAUAUUGGUGUCCAUAGCUUUCCAACGGUAUAUCGCAAGCCCCAUUUGGGCAAUGUUGGCGGAAGUUCAACCUAGUUCACAGGGAAGUUCAACGUACUACUAGCGGGGCAGGUCAGGUUGUGAUCAGAAUAGUGUUUAUAUAUAUAUAUAUAUAUAUAUAUAUAUAUAUAUAUAUAUAUAUAUAUAUAUAUAAAACUGGAACACCUUGCAUUUCAAAUUACGUUGGACCGACCAAAUUGUCGGUCAUAGCCACAGUUACAUUGUGAGGGAAAUCUGAUAGCCACAGCCGCUGUUCGAUGCAUCUACCUAUAGUUGCCAACUCAUGGGCAGGCUUGUUACAAUCUCUUGGGCAGUGAACAAUGCUCCACUUGUUAAAACUCGUUGGUAGGAGAUAUGUAGCCUCACGGAAGACAACACCAAGGUUGGAGCGGUCAUGCACCGUGGAGUUAAUGGCUUGAGCAAGUCCAAGACAUCCUGUCUCAAAAAUGACACGCCAAAUACCAUGCUCCUCAGCUAAGUGUAUGCCAUGCAAUAGCGCAGUUGCUUCAGCGUGCAGAGCUUCACUUAUGUGCACAAGCCUUCUAGCAGCAGCAAACAACACCUCACCUAUAUGAUCUCGAGCCACAGAGCCCCAACCCGUGGUCUGUUUAGCAACAUCGAAAACACUGUCAAUAUUUAUUUUAACCUUAUCCACCAUCGGUUUACUCCACAGAGGUUUGCUCAAAAUCUGCGCUUUCUUUGUUUUUGCAUAAAAUACACACCAUUCAGCAAAAUGCUUCUCAAAAGGAAGCAGAACUCCUCAGGUGUAGCUCUCUUUUUCUUAUGAUUGCCUUUAUUCCUCUCCGUCCACCACAGCCAUAGAAAGCAUAUGAUUCUCAGCUUCCUAUCCUCUGAAAGGGCAAAUAUGGUGGCGAGGAUUUCGCUCGGUGACUGACAUUGCAGCCGGUUUAACCGGGACGACUCCAGCUCACACACAUGCCAAAUCUUCUUGACCUCCUUACAUCUGAAAAAAGAUGUCCGCCAUCCUCCAGUAAUCUAUGGUAAAGGACACAGCUAGUAUCGAGUUCGAUCCCAAUCCGUUCAAUAUUCCUCAACAUAGGGUGACUAUUAUGAGCGACUCUCCACAAAAAAUGAUGCACUUUCCCGGGACAUCUAAUCUUCCAGAGGUUCUGCCACAUUUUUCCAUAAGCUGUAUCACCGGCGACGCCCUCACCCUGCUGCCUAGGGGUAAGCCGUUUCUUCAUGUCAAGGUGAACUCUAUACGCAGACCUCACUGAAAAUAAGCCCUUGCUGUCGAAUUGCCAAGCCAAGAAGUCCUCAUGUUGCUCAAAAAUUGGAAUCUUUAGUAUUAUAUCAGUCUCUUCCGGAUUAAACAUUUGUCUAACCAACAACUCAUCCUAGGAGUGUGUAUACGGGUCGAUAAGCUCUCAGACUUUAGUCAGGAUGGUAUAGCGAUGGGGAGACCUUGGAAACCGAACAACACCAGCAGGGAGCAAGGGGUCCUGCCAGAUUCGGGUAUGCUCACUCGAACCCACCCUCCACACCAUCCCCUCAUUCAUGACGGACACCCCUUGAAGGAUGCUCCGCCAAACAUAACGGAUGCCCGGGUCACUGUAGCUGCAAAAAUGUCACCGUCCGGGUAGUAUUUAGCACGUAGAACACGAGCAUAGAGCGAGUCUGGUGCCUGGAUCAACCUCCAAACUUGGCGAGACAACAUUGCAAUAUUGAAUGCGUGUAGAUCCCUAAAGCCAAGCCCUCCCUGUUCCUUUGGAUGGGUCAUCUUCUCCCAGCCAACCCAGUGAUGUUUAUGCUCAUCUCUUGGUUAUCCCAGCAAAAACGGCAGAUCAUGUGGCUUAUACUCUCACACAAGGACUUUGUCAGAUCAAAACAGGCCAUGGCAUAGGCUGGAAUUGCUUGGGCAACCGUUUUUAUUAGGAUUUCCUUACCCUUCUUUGACAUCAUCUUGAUUUUAUAACCUUGAAGUAGGUCCCGGAUUCUGUCUCGGAGGUAUUCAAAAGCAGGCUUGACGAGCCUUGCCCACAUAGCGAGGCAGCCCCAAAUACUUGCCCUGUUGACCUUCAUUCUGUAGGCCGAGAAGAUGCAGUAAGGUUUGUUUCCUAAGCUGCAACAUGUUCUUGCUGAAGAGCAUAGAAGACUUGUCCCGAUUAAUAAUUUGGCUCGACCCCUUCUCAUAUACUUCAAGAAUUUCAUUCACUAUGGACACACUCUCCUCGGUGGCCUCCAACAACAGCAAGGAAUCAUCAGCGAAAAGCAGGUGUGUGACGGUAGGGCCCUCAGGUGCUACUUUGAUGCCUCUAAUCGAACCAAUGGAUUCGUCAUGAUCAAGCAAAGCGGAGAAACCCUCAACACAAAUAAGAAACAAGUAUGGAGAAAUUGGGUCUCACUGCCUCAAACCUUGUCUUGGAAUAACUGUCUCGGUACAAGACCCAUUUACCUUAAAUCUGUAGCGUACAAUAUGCAUACACUUGCUGAUUUGUUCCACAAAGGCACUAUCAAAACCCAACCGUGUCAUGAUCUUCUCCAUAAAAUCCCAGUUCACCCUGUCGUAGGCCUUACUCAUAUCAAGUUUGAGUGCCACAUAGCUAGUGGCUCUAGUUCUCUUUCUCUUCAAAAAGUGCAUCAUCUCAUAAGCCAAAAUAGUGUUAUCAGAAAUGAGCCUGCCGGGCACGAAUGCACUCUGGUUUGGUGAUAUGAUAUCUCCCAGUAUGCACUUCAGUGUGUUGGCCAAAACCUUGGACAUGAGCUUAUACACAACAUUACAAAGGCUAAUAGAGCGUAGAUCCUUCAAUCUUUUUGGGUUCUGGACCUUUGGGAUAAGCACCACAAGGGUGUCGUUCCAUCCCUCCGGAAUACUGCCGCCUCGUAAUACUUGUAAAACCUCGCACACAACAACAUCAUCACCAAUCAGCUGCCAAUAGUGCUUAUAGAAGAUCGCUGGUAAGCCAUCAAUGCCCGGUGCUUUGAGAUCACCAAUGUUAUCUAGAGCCUUCUUAACCUCCUCUGCAGUAAAAUCCGCCGUUAAGUACUCAUUCAUUUGGGCAGAGACUUUUGGUGCUAUGUUAUUUAGAAUUACCGCAGCGUCAGCACCUGCAAUGGGGGUAAAUAAGCUAGAAAAAUAAUUAGUAAUGAGGGCCUUCAAGCCCUCCUCCCCAGUCACCACCACCCCGUCCUCCCUCACCAGCUUGGUUAUGGUAUUUUUCCGCCUUCGUUCAGACGCAUACACCUGCAGUCUCCUUUAGACAACCAAUCGGCAUGUGCCCUUUGCCGGCUUGCCACAUCAAUCUGUUCCUCAAGUCUCUCAAGCUUGUAUUUGACUGUUAGCUCCUUCCGAAUCAUAUUCUGUGACAAAGGUAGCCGCCGGAUCUCCUCUAGUUCCAGUUUCAGAAUCCUUGCUCGUUUUUGUAAAUCACCCAAAACAUCCCGACUCCAUACAUGUAAUGCGUUAUUGACGGCUGCAAGUCUUCUAGACACUGAAGGACCAGAAGCUCUCUCCCAUUACUGACGAACCAAGUUGUCGCAGUCCUCCUCAAGUAACCACCGGGCUUCAAAUCGCUUCAUCUAUGUACCACCUCCCUUAUUCAUCAUCCGCCUACUGCCAUCAACCCAUAGAGAAAUAUGUCUAUGGUCCGAGUGUUCAGGAUAACCAUUAACGACUUUAUAGUGGGGAAAACGCGCACACCACGUUGGGGUAGCCACCACUCUGUCAAGGUGCUCACGGAUAUAACCAUCAAUGCGAUAAUUGUUAUUCCUCCAUGUGAAAACAUCACCCUCAAAACCAAGGUCUUUAAGAUUACAAAAAUCUAAAGCAUCACGAAAGUUUUGAUUACCUUACAUGGAUGUUCACUCAACUUGGACGAAAAACUCAGUUUGGUCACUGGACUUAGAGUUACGUUGUUUACAAUCACUAAGGUGGUUUUAUUGAAUAGAAGUUGCUACUAUUUGUGUCAAAGAAGAACCCCACCAAUGCCUAUUAUACGAUAGACACGAUUGAUAUUUGAACCACUAAAAUAAGUAUGCCCCACAUUGAUACGCACAGACAAUUUAGCUUUUUUUUGCGGGAGAGGACAAUUUAACCAGUAACUAAAAAAAUGCAAGACAUAAUCCAGGAGGCUAUCUCAUUUGCCCACGCGUUAACAAGUAACUGAUUAAUACAUGAAGAUAUAAUAGGUAAAAAUUACUUCUAGAACAUUUUGAUAAGGAAAGAAUAAAUACAUGAAGAUACAAUAGGCAAAAAAUGAUUAUAAAGUAUUGGCCAAAACAUUAAUAUAGGAAAUAAUAAAAUGUCAUUAAAUCCAUUCUCCGAUCUCUAUAUAAAGACUAGCACGCCCUAUUCCGGUGACAGCGUUACUACAGAAGGACAACAACGCUACGAAGAGAAGUAUCCCAACAUGACGAGCACGAGAGACAACACUCGCGUUCUGUGCUUGAUGGCUCUCGUGGCCAUGUCUACCACCAUCAUUUCCUGCAUGCAGCAGGUACCUACUCCCUUCAUUCACAAAUGUAACAUAUUAUAUAUAUUUUUAUGCAUACUACAUACAGACUGAAAUAAGUGAGCAAACAUAUUAAAAUGCACCCAUAUAUAUUUAAAUCAGAAAAAGUCAUCAUAGAAUGCUUUUACCACGCUUGCCACGUGGUGUAUUUAUUCUCUCUUUCAUGUGCAAAAUGAAUUACUUUCUUCAAUCUAAAUUCAUCAAAAUUCUAGCUUUAUCAAAAAAAAACUUUAUCAAAAUUCUAGCUUUGUCCAAGGUUAAAUCUUUUCAAUUUUGAUCAAGUUUAUAGAGGAAUAUGCUAAUAUUUACGACAUCAAAUAUAUACUAUGGAUACAUAUUUUAUGAUGGAACUAAUUUGGUGUUGUAGAUGUUGAAAUUUUCUCUAUAGACUUGGUCAAACUUAAAGAAGUCUGACUUAAGAUAAAGUUGGAAUUAUAACUAUUUUCUGGAAGGACGGAAGCACCCUGGUAAUCGAUUGUUAUGCAAUAUAAAUGCAUUAACGUGGUUAUCACGCCAUUGUUCAUAGGUACAACAUGUCUGGGUAUAACAAGCACUUUUACGAAAUUGUGUGUAGCCGCAAAAGGUUGUGCGCCCCCAAUCCAACCAAGUGGCAACGUUCUGUGCAAGGCUUAUUGUGUAGGCCAACGUUAUAAUAAGGAUAAAAGCUAUUGCUCACCAGAUAAUGGCGGCAUGUGCUGCUGCGAAAAGUAAUGAAUUACAUGUAUUGCCAUGUGCUGGAAAGAUAUGGUGCACCGUUGAGAAUAUCUAUCUAUGCACAUCGGAAAUUACUUCACAUGAAGAAUAAUCAAUAUAUAUACACUUCCGCUUCGAUACCCCCCCUAAACACACGGCUGUGAUUAUCCUAUACCCCUUUAUAAUGAUGGGCAUGAUGCUUUGCGCUCCACUACGCUGCUCUUUUGUUAAAAAAUAGCGCAAAAUUUAUAAGAACAAACUAGGCCGAAGCGUAAGACCAGUCCAUCGGCCCAUCAAUCCCGAUCUCCCAAGAAAACGUUAUGUGUUUUAUGCGCACUUCUAAGGGCUUGAUCUACUGACCUCUCGAAUAAUAAAGCUUGUAAAAAACUUGGGGCGACCAACUAGACAGUAGUUUAUGGUUAGAGAAAGUGAAAUAACCUUUAUGACUUCAGCAUUCUAUAAGUAUAUAAAAUUAUCAACAGUAGGAUUCCUAUCAUUUGUGGAGAUAUUUUCUAAAAUGCCAAAAUGCCUCCAUUCACUUGAGGCAGGUGAGGAAAGUGAAGCCUUCGCAUUUUGGAGGCGUUUCAUCAAAAUACUUUGAAAAGAUCUAUAUUAAAGCAAUUAAAAAGAACACCUCAAAAUACUUUUUAUGCACGCAACCUGCCAUAGACGACAACUUGAUCCAGUCGGACAUUUUUCUCUAACAAGAUAGGGCCAACUUAGAUUUUGACACAGGGACCUCGAUUUUGAUGGAUUGGCCCUGGAACACACGAACACUCCCAGCUCCAAGGAGGAACAACAUUUGCGAAAUUAAAAAACGUUCAUCGAUUAGAAUAAAAGUUCACGAAUUUGAAAAAAAAACAAAAAAGUUCAUUGAUUUGAAAACAAGUUCACGAAUUUGAAAAAAAAGUCCACAAAUUAAAUUUCCUACGCACACACAAGAUCAUGGUGAUGCAUAGCAAUGAGAGGGAAGAGUAUCGUCCACGUACCCUCGUAGACCGUAAGCGGAAGCAUUAUGAGAAUACGGUUGAUGUAGUCGAACGUCUUCAGAUCCGACCGAUCCAAGUACCGAACGCACGACACCGGUUCAACACACGUUCAGCUCGAUGAUGUCCCACUAACUCCGAUCCAGCAGAGCUUCACGGGAGAGUUCCGUCAGCACGACGACGUGAUGACGGUGAUGAUGUUGCUAACGACACAGGGCUUCGCCUAAGAACCGCUACGAUAUGAUCGAUGUGAAUUAUGGUGGAGGGGGGCACUGCACACGUCUUGGAACAAUCAACUUGUGUGUUCUAGGGUGCCCCCUGCCCCCAUAUAUAAUGGAGCAAGGGGGGAGGCUAGCUGUCCCCUGUAGGGCGCGCCAGGAGGAGCAGUCCUCCUCCUAGUAGGAGUAGGACUCCCCUUUCCUACUCCUAUUAGGAGGAGGAAAGGAAGUAGAGAGGGAGAAGGAAGGAGAGGGAGGAAAGGAGGAAAGGGGGGCCGGCCCCCUAGUUCAAUUCGGUUUGGGCUAGAGGGGCCGCGCGCCCUGCCUCAUCUCUUCCACCACUUCGCCCAUGAGGCCCAAUACUUCUUCCCCGUAUUCCCGUAACUCCCCGGUACUCCGAAAAAUACCUGAAUCACUAGGAACCUUUCCGAUGUCCGAAUAUAUUCGUCCAAUAUAUCGAUCUUUACGUCUCGACCAUUUCGAGACUCCUCGUCAUGUCCCCGAUCUCAUCCGGGACUCCGAACUACCUUCGGUACAUCAAAUCACAUAAACUCAUAUUACCGAUCGUUAAGCGUGCGGACCCUACGGGUUCGAGAACUAUGUAGACAUGACCAAGACACGUCUUUGGUAAAUAACCAAUAGCGGAACCUGGAUGUUCAUAUUGGCUCCUACAUAUUCUACGAAGAUCUUUAUCGAUCAAACCGCAUAACAACAUACGUUGUUCCCUUUGUCAUCGGUAUGUUACUUGCGUGUGAUUCGAUCGUUGGUAUCUCAAUACCUAGUUCAAUCUUGUUACCGGCAAGUCUCUUUACUCGUUCCAUAAUGCACUAUCCCGCAACUAACUCAUUAGUUGCAUUGCUUGCAAGGCUUAUAGUGAUGUGCAUUACCGAGAGGGCCCAGAGACACCUCUCUGACAAUCGGAGUGACAAAUCCUAAUCUCGAUCUAUGCCAACUCAACAAGUACCAUCGGAGACACCUGUAGAGCACAUUUAGAAUCACCCAGUUACGUUGUGACGUUUGGUAGUACACAAAGUGUUCCUUUGUUAAUCGGGAGUUUCAUAAUCUCAUAGUCAUAGGAACAUGUAUAAGUCAUGAAGAAAGCAAUAGCAGUAAACUAAAACGAUCAAGUGCUAAGCUAAUGGAAUGGGUCAAGUCAAUCACAUCAUUCUCCUAAUGAUGUGAUCCCGUUUAUCAAAUGACAACUCAUGUCCAUGGUUAGGAAACAUAACCAUCUUUGAUCAACGAGCUAGUCAAGUAGAUGCAUACUAGUGACACUCUGUUUCUCUAUGUAUUCACACAUGUACUAAGUUUCCGGUUAAUACAAUUCUAGCAUGAAUAAUAAACAUUUAUCAUGAUUUAAGGAAAUAAAUAAUAACUUUAUUAUUGCCUCUAGGGCAUAUUUCCUUCACUAGGCCGCUGUGUCGCGCCAAGUGCGUGUCCAGGCGCUGGCACCGCCUCAUCUCGGACCCCCACCACCACAGGAGGCUCCCCCAGACCCUCGCUGGCGUCUUCUACCUCACCAGGGACGAGUGGCACUCCCCCUAGGAGGUCUGCCAUUUCGCCAGCCUCCUCCCGGAGCAGGGAUGCGGGGCUCUCGUCCACCCCUCCCUCUCCUUCCUGCCUUGUUACGAGUGCUGCAAGCUGGUGGACUCCUGCAACGCCCUCCCCUUUGUUGGGGAACGUAGCAUGCAAUUUCAAAAAAAUUCUUAUGCUCACGCAAGAUCUAUCUAGGAGAUGCAUAGCAACGAGAGGGGGAGAGUGUGUCCAUGUACCCUCGUAGACCGAAAGUGGAAGCGUUAGCUUAAUGCGGUUGAUGUAGUCGAACGUCUUCUCGAUCCAAAUGAUCAAGCACCGACGUACGACACCUUCGAGUUUUGCACACAUUCAGCUUGAUGACGUCCCUCGAAGUCUUGAUCCAGCAAAGUGUCGAGGGAGAGUUCCGUCAGCACGACGGUGUGGUGACGACGAUGGUGAAGUGAUCCGCGCAGGGCUUCGCCUAAGCACUACGUGAAUAUGACUGGAGGCGUAAACUGUGGAGGGGAGCGCCGCACACGACUUGGAACAAUUGAUGUGUGUUAGAGGUGCCCCCAGCCCUCGUAUAUAAAGGAGGGAGAGGGGAGGAGGCCGGCCCUAGGCGCGCCCCAAGUAGGAGGAGUCCUACUCCUACUUGGGCUCCUAGUAGGAUUCGGCCCCCCUUCCUUUUAUCGGAGGGGGAAAGGGGGAAGGAGAGAGAGGGAGAAGGAAAGGGGGGCGCCGCCCCUCCCCUAGUCCAAUUCGGACUCCUCCCUUGUGGGGGGCGCGCCACCCCUAUGUGGGCUGGUGUGCCUCCCUCCUAUGGCCCAUAUGGCCCAUAUCUUCCCCCGGGGGGUUUCGGUAACCCCCUGGUACUCCGAUAUGUACUCGAUACAUUCCGAAACACUUCUGGUGUCUGAAUACUAUCAUCCAAUAUAUCAAUCUUUACCUCUCGACCAUUUUGAGACUCCUCGUCAUGUCCGUGAUCUCAUCCGGGACUCCGAACAACAUUCGGUCACCAAAUCACAUAACUCAUAUAAUACAAAAUCGUCAUCGAACGUUAAGCAUGCGGACCCUACGGGUUUGAGAACUAUGUAGACAUGACCAAAACACCUAUCCAGUCAAUAACCAAUAGCGGAACCGUGAUGCUCAUAUUGGUUCCUACAUAUUCUACGAAGAUCUUUAUCGGUCAAACCGUAAUGACAAUAUACGUCAUUCCCUUUGUCAUCGGUAUGUUACUUGCCCGAGAUUCGACCGUCGGUAUCUUCAUACCUAGUUCAAUCUCGUUACCGGCAAGUCUCUUUACUCGUUCCGUAAUGCAUCAUCCCGCAACUAACUCAUUAGUCACAUUUCUUGCAAGGCUUAUCAUGAUGGGCAUUACCGAGAGGGCCCAGAGAUACCUCUCCGAUACUCGGAGUGACAAAUCCUAAUCUCGAUCUAUGCCAACCCAACAAACACCUUCAGAGAUACCUGUAGAGCAUCUUUAUAAUCACCCAUUUACGUUGUGACGUUUGAGAGCACACAAGGUAUUCCUCCGGUAUUGGGGAGUUGCAUAAUCUCAUAGUCAAAGGAAUAUGUAUAAGUCAUGAAGAAAGCAAUAACAAUAAAACUCAACGAUCAUUAUGCUAAGCUAAAGGAAUAUGUAUAAGUCAUGAAGAAAGCCUAGGCAGGGCCUUCCCCGGCCCGCGCUCAGUCGCCGCCGCCCCGCGGGCUCCCCUAACCGCGCCCCCGCGCCGGAUCUCCGCUCCGGCGACGCCCCGCCGCCUUGUUCACCACGCCGCCUCGCUUCCCCACCGAAGCCCGCGCCAUGCCUCGGCGUCAGUGCUCGCCGCCUACUGUCCUGCUCCGAAUCCGGCCGGAUCCCGCGUCCCUGCGACCGGAUCCGCUGGCUCCCCACUGCCGCGGCCUUCCCUUCGCUGCCUUCGCCUUGCUCCCUCGCCGUCGCGGCUCCAUCGUCGUCCCCGCGUGCGGGCACAUGCGCAGUCGGCUACGUGGGCCCCAUGGCCCGUCCCCACCGGCCCGCUCCAUGCUGGCCCGAUCCACCUCUUCCUCCUCUCUGGCCCAAGUGGCCCAAGGUGAGCGAGCCCACCUAAGUCCGCGCCCGUGCGCACUUUAGCUAUCCUGCGCCCAUGUAAUUUUGUCCAAGUCUGGAAAAAUCCAUCUCAUGAGUGCAUGUUCAUCAUAGCAUAUCUAUGUGCAUUUUUCUCCAUUAUACAUGCAUGAUAUAUCAAAAUGUUCAUUGUGAGAUGCUCUUCAUUUCAUUCCAUUGUGACAUGCUUGUUUGAGUCCAUCUUGAUGCCCAAAUCACUGAUGCAAGAGUGCUAUAAAUUGUUAGGUGCUGUUACUUAGCAGGUUAUGCUGAUUUGUCAUUUUUGUCACAUUUUUUGUGUGAUUAAUAUGGACAUGAGCUCUACAUGCGUUUUGAUCUAUGCCAUGCCAUCUUUCCAGGGGUGUUUGCCAUGUAUUUUUGUGAUCUAUGUGGUGACUAGCACAAGCAUGCAAAGUAGCCUUCGUGAUAUUGCUGAUUUCAGGGACUUAGGAUUUUGCUAAGUCCUUUUCCUGAUGUUAUUUUAUGCCAUGUAACCAUGAUGCUUCAAUGCGAUCCAUGCUUUGUUUGAGUAUCUUCAGUAAGGAUGAUUUGUCAUAUCUUUGCGCUCUAUCCAUCCAUGCCCCUGUUUGCAAUUAUGGAGUGCUCUAGCAUGUCUUAAUCUUGCUCUACUUUUGCUAUAAAAUGUUCCUGGCAGAUUAUUUACAUGUUAAUCAAUUUUGCCAUGGUUGUUGUAGUUGAUCAAAGCAUGAUAUGAUCUUUCUCUUGCCAUGAUUAGCUUCAUGAACAUGUAUUCUUGCCGAUUCUAUGCUUGUUUUGUCAUGCAAUGUCUUGUGGUGAGUGAAUCGAGCUCGCAAAUAUGCCAUCAUAACUCUGUUUAUGCGAUGCUCAGUUUUUUGCUAAGUCUGAAUCUUUUAAUUAAACUUGCUAUGUUUACAUGGGUGCCAUCAUAUCUUAUGUGCCUUUUUUGCUCAUGAUCAUUAAGGGACUUUUGUUCUAUGCAUUUAGUAGUUUCAUUCCAAGCCUUUGUUUGCUAUGAUCUAUUCCUGCAGCAUGUUGUUUGCUUGCUCUAAACAUUGCUUCCUGAUGUUAAUUUCUGGCAUGUUAGUUUUUUUCACCAAGUCUGUGAAGCUGAUAUCUUUUGCACUUUUUCCAUGCUUGUUUGAACCUGCUCUUGUUGUUUUAGCCGUAGCUCAGUGUUCAUGUUUUUCAAGCAUCUUGAGUAAAUCACUGCCAUAUGCCUUGUUGCUAUGUUGGAGUGCAGUAGCUUAGUUUCUUGUUGCAUUCUAGGUGGCAUUGUGGUGUUAAUCGCAGAAUUGUGUCAUUCUUGUUUUGCUUGUCAUUUGCAAACCGUGCAUCCGAUUCCGGUGAUCUUUAUAUCGAUUUCGACCGAAAUCAUCUCAUCUUUCCAGCGGCACACUUGGUUUGCCAAGUUGAUGCCUGGUUCAAUCUUUCCCUUCCGAAGCAUGCAUAUGCACUGCAUAUCACAUCCCGCAUGUCAUGCCAUGUUUUGCAUCAUGUUGCUUGUGCAUUGCACCAUGGUUGAUUGUUGUUCCUUUGCUUGUGUUCUUGCCUUGGGUAGAGCCGGGAGACGAGUACGUGAUCAAGGAACCUGUUGAGUACGCUAACGAGGAGCAAGCUUUCAUCAACUUUGAGAACUUUGUAGGCAAGAUGACCAUACCCUCGAAAUCACUUCUAUCUUUGCUUGCUAGUUGUUCGUUCUAUUGCUAUGCCACGCUACCUACCACUUGCUAUAUCAUGCCUCCCAUAUUGCCAUGUCAAGCCUCUAACCCACCUUUCCUAGCAAACCGUUAUUUGGCUAUGUUACCGCUUUGCUCAGCCCCUCUUAUAGCGUUGCUAGUUGCAGGUGAAGAUGAAGUUUGUUCUAUGUUGGAACAUGGAUAUUGUUGGGAUAUCAUUAUUAUAUCUUGUUUACUUUAAUGCAUUUAUAUACUUGGUAAAGGGUGGAAGGCUCGGCCUUAUGCCUGGUGUUUUGUUCCACUCUUGCCGCCCUAGUUUCCGUCAUACCGGUGUUAUGUUCCUUGAUUUUGCGUUCCUUACGCGGUUGGGUGUUAUGGGAACCCCUUGAUAGUUCACCUUGAAUAAAACUCCUCCAGCAAGGCCUAACCUUGGUUUUACCAUUUGCCUACCUACCACCACAUACCUUCCCUUGGGUUCUGCAGACUCAAGGGUCAUCUUUAUUUUAAACCUGCCCGGGCCAGUGCUUCUCUGAGUGUUGGUCCGAAACGGGCAGCCUGCGGGGCCACCUCGGGGCAACUCGAGGGUUGGUUUUACUCGUAGCUUGACCUAUCCGGUGUGCCCUGAGAAUGAGAUACGUGCGACUCCUAUCGGGAUUUGUUGGCACAUCGGGCGGCUUUGCUGGUCUUGUUUUACCAUUGUCAAAAUGUCUUGUAACCGGGAUUCCGAGACUGAUCGGGUCUUCCCGCGAGAAGGAAUAUCCUUCAUUGACCGUGAGAGCUUGUGAUGGGCUAAGUUGGGACACCCCUGCAGGGUUUUGAACUUUCGAAAGCCGUGCCCGUGGUUAUGGAAAGAUGGGAAUUUGUUAAUGUCCGGUUGUAGAUAACUUGACACAUCACUUAACUAAAAUGAAUCAACUGCAUGUGUAGCCGUGAUGGUCUCUUUUCGGCGGAGUCCGGGAAGAGAACACGGUCUCGUGUUAUGCUUGAACGUAAGUAGUUUCAGGAUCACUUCUUGAUCACUUAUUAGCUUCUCAACCGUGCUUUGCUUCUCUUCUCGCUCUCUUUUGCGUAAGUUAGCUACCAUAUAUGCUAGUGCUUGCUGCAGCUCCACCUCACCACCCUUUCCUACCCUUAAGCUUAAAUAGUUUUGAUCAUGAGGGUGUGAGAUUGCUGAGUCCCCGUGACUCACAUAUACUUCCAAAUAGAUGCAGGUGCCGAUGAUGCCAGUGCAGGGGACGCUACCGAACUCAAGUGGGAGUUCGACAAGGAUUCGGGCCGUUACUAUGUUUCUUUUCCAGAUGAUCAGUAGAGGAGCCCAGUUGGGGCGAUUGGGGAUCUAGCAUUUGGGGUUGUCUUUCUUUAUUUUGGUUCCGUAGUCGGAUCUUGAUUGUAUUCUGGAUGAUGUAUGACAUAUUUAUGUAUUGUGUGAAGUGGCGAUUGUAAGCCAACUCUUUACCCCUUUCUUAUUCAGUACAUGGGAUGUGUAAAGAUUACCCCUCUUGCGACACGCCUACCAUGCGGUUAUGCCUCUAAGUCGUGCCCCGACACGUGGGAGAUAUAGCCGCAUCGUGGGUGUUACAGGUUGGUAAUUAGAGCCUUCCCCAACUUAGGAGCCCCCUGCUUGAUCGAAUCGCUGAUGUUGUUGAGUCUAGAACAAAAUGUUUUGAGUCUUAGGAUUAUAUAUAUCGGAGAGUAGGAUUCUUUUUACUCCUCAGUCCCUUCGUUGCUCUGGUGAGGCCUCCUGACGUAGAAUUUUGACUCUUCUCUCCUCAAAUUUCACGAUUUUUUUGAGAUCACGCGGGUAUAUUGGAAUUGUUUUGAUGGUUUUGUGACGAGAACAUUGUUCUUGGUGCCUCCUGACAUUUAGGGGUUGUGGCAGUGUCCCGGGGAGUUGAGCUCCGAGGUGUUGUUGUCACAAUUUUAUCGUUGCAGUUCUGGAAUACCUGAGUUCGCCGACAUCGAAAAUCUCUUUUAUGCAGUUUUUGGUGAGAUAACCUCGGCGCCACCCAGUACUAGGGCGGGAGUUCCGGAGUAUCGCCAUAACUCGUAUAACGAAUGCUUUUCGAAGGUUGAGGUAAAUGAUUUCCGAAGGUUUCUUGGUUAUGUGUUGAAGGAUGGAUACAGCUGGAUGUAGGAUUUGUUAGUUUUGGGUGAGAUAUUAUGCUUCCCCUGUAUCCCCAACACCUGAUUGCAUAACCAGAAAGUUUUGGGAGUUUAUAAGUGGGAAUUCAAGUAUCACGUAGGAUAUCUUUCCAACAGACACAUGUUACAAUAUGGGAUCUACCAUAUGUUUGUUUCCGGCUUAUUUCCUAAGUCAAUCCUUUGUUUUUGUUUUGGUUUGUGGUAUUCGAGGUGCUUCGAAGUCAAGUGUUGAUUCCAUACCUUUCCUAAGCGUUGUUCUUAUACGCCUAUGUGAAUACCAAUCCUUUAUGAUAAUCGAGAUUUUCAUGUCAAUCCUUUUCAACCGGCGUGUUUCUCUUCAAGUGGAUCCGAUCCUUUCAACAUUCGCAAGAUCACCUCUCAGUUUUCCCAACAUUGUUCGUUUCAUCCGUUCCCAAGUUGUCUUUGUUUUUCCCGCCCUCCCACCCCUUUUUCUUCAAGGACUCAGAUUUCUUAAUCAAAUAUCCUUUUAUUAACGAUAAGUCUCUCCAUUCUUUUCCGCCAAUGUUCUUAUCCGGUGAUUCUCAGGAAGAUACUAACGGAGCUUCAAGUUCAUCAUUCUUCGUUCUAUUUAUCCUCUGGUGGGUUCAAUUCAAGCUUUGUCGAUCAUAUCUUUGCCUCAUCUCAAAUGCUUCCUCAUGCUGGUGCACCUCUUAAUCAUUCACUUCUCGCUAUUCAUUGUUUCGGAGUGCUGAAGAUAUCUCGAAGAUUCGUGUUUCCACUCUGCAUUCAUUCAAGCUCUUUCGAGGAUGUUAUCUCUUUUGAGCCAUUUAAUUCAACUGAUGCAAUCUCCCUUUCAAGUAAUCGUUCAAUGGUGUAUCUUUUGAGUGGGCCCUAACCCACAGGUCUUUUUCCAGGAUCUUAUCUGACUCUUCUAAUUUUUUUCCGGAGUUAUUCUAAAAUUCAUUUCAAAGUUUGACGUAAGAAUGAUUUGUCAUCAGUCAAAUGUCUUUCUCCAAGAUCCUUCAAAUUCUUUUCAUUGUUGGUUCAACCUUUCUAAUUUUCAUUCCGGAGUGUCUCAACAAAUGCAUGGUGGUGUUUCUCGUCAUCAUUCUUAGAAUUGAAGACCGAAGAAGAGUUUUCCUCCAAAUCUUAUCCAUUCUUUCAAAGAUUUGUGAUUCUAGCUUGAUGCCAUCCUCACAAUGAUUUUCGAUUGUGAGAUAUUCUUUUCACCCACCCGGAGCAAUUCAGGAGUCUUUUUAGUUUGCUUCUCUAGAGCCCAUCAUCUCAGAAUUAUUCAUUACUGCUUUCAGCUCUUAUUCUCCAAAUCUUACCGUGCAUCAUUCAAGUUUUAUCUAAUCAGCUCGUGAUCUUUUCAUUCACUUGUAUCAAAAUCCCCUCAAGUAUCUUCAUUCGUCUUCCAAUUCUUUCCAGUGAUUUGUGCCUUUGCUACUUUCAUUUUUAAUUCUUACGACGGCUCGUUCAAGAAUUCUAUUCCAUUGCUAUUGUAUCAAUUCAUUCGUUCUUCCCAAUCCUACCAGUGGUUCGCAGAAGAUCUUCCCAAGUUGGCGCUAUAUCUAUCUUAAUCCUUUCUACGAGAAUAAGUAGUAUGUCAAAUCCGUUGUUUGUCAUCAAUUUAAAUUGGUGAAGGAUACACAUAACAUAAUUCUUAUUCUUGUUCAUCCAAGUGAUUAAUUCCUUAUUCUGGAGGCUCAUCAAAUUCUCGGUUUUGUUGUUUCAUCUUUUCUUUUCCCGAAGUUCCAAGCUCUCAUCAUCAUGACGAUCCAUCUAAUCAUUGCAAGGAUUCAACCUUAUUCUCUUCAUCCUUCAUUCUGUUUGAUCAUCCUUUUAUUACCGGAGUUCUUCAUGGAGGCUCUACAUGAUGACUCAUCAAGGAUUAAUUCCUUCUCCGAGUGUUGAUCGAGAUUCUUUUCAAAGGAGCUCAAGUAUUCUUCAUCUUGCAUUCCGAAGUGAAAUUCUUUCUACCUUAUCUUUUGGGAUGGUGAUAUGCCAUUCUUGACAAUUUUCUUUCAUGUUUCAUGAUUCACAAGUUGUUAAGAAUGAGAUAUUUUAAACCCAUCAUUUUCUCUUCGUUCAGGAGAUGCUUUGUAACCCGUCAACCUCUUCAUUGGAGUUAUCUUGGGUUAUAUUUCACCUAAAGCCUUCCCUAAGGAAUGUUGCUUAUUGUGGUGUCUAUCAAUGAUCCAAGUUUUUCUCCUAUCCUCUCGGUGAAAGGAGUUGUCAUCUCCUUGUUCAUAUCAAUCUAAUCUAUCGUUUCCGUUAGUGGCAGAAUUUCACCUCAAGAUUUCAAGAUGUUUUCCAUAAGCCCACAACAAGCUUACUCUUUUCAUUGUUGGUUUCCAACAACCCCGUUAUAACCUUCUUGGAAGGAUGCUUUCAAAUUCAUUCGAGGUAGAAGAUGUUGUUUUCUUCUUCGUUACUUUCAAUCCGUUCUAUCUUUUGUUCCGGAGGCAUUGUGAUGUUGCACUUUUCGACCCAUCAUCCCAUUUUUUGACGAAGAUCAUGUUCUUUCCUUUGCUUAUCCAUUUAACCAAAGUGUUGUGCCCUUUGAUCAACUUCUUUUCGCCUUAUCAAGUCUUGCAUCUCUUUUCAACCGGAGUGCUGUCCGAAUUUGUUCUUCCUUGUUCCUCUUUUCUAACGGAGAUUGUCAACUUCGUUUACCUCCGUUGUAUUCUUUUCUCAAAAUGGUUUAACCUUUCAAGGUUCUUUGGUUUCACGCGUUCGUCAAAGAAGCAACUUAGUUUUACCUCUUCUCUUCCUCUUCCGUUUCCUCCGGUGCCAUCCUAGAUCUCGGGAUGAGAUCCUCUCGUAGUGGUGGAGUGUUGUAACGCCCCGGAUGCAACUUUCCAUAUUUGUACUUCGACUCAGGCCAUUGUCGGCUCUAAGUUACGAUAUUCCCUUUGUGGUUGGGUUUUGUCUUUGUUUUGCUUUUGUUCAUGUCAUGCAUUUCAUAUCAUGUCAUCAUGUGCAUCUCAUUUGCAUAUGUGUUCGUCUCAUGCAUCCGAGCAUUUUCCCUUUGUCCAUUUUGCAAUCCGACACUCCUAUGUGCACCGGCCCCCCCCUUUUGUCUCUUUGCGUGAGCGGGUGUUAAACAUUCUCGUAAUGGACCGAGAUUUGCCAAGCGGCCUUGGUACACCACCAGUAGACCGCCUGUCAAAUUUCGUGCCAUUUGGAGUCCGUUUGAUACUCCAACGGUUUACCGUGGAACCGUAAAGGCCUCUUUUGUGUUGCAGCCCAACACCCCUCCAAAACGGCCCAAUAACCCUUCCAAACCACUCCCACGUCCUCCGUCGUUGGAUCACGAUCGCGUGGGCGAAAACUACACUCCGUUUGGACACUCCUACCUCCUCCUAGCUAUAUAUACCCCUCCUCAAAUUCGCGGACGAAACCCUAGCUCUCCCUUUCCCCACGCCGCUGGACGUUUCUUCCCCACCGAUGGAUGUGUUCGCCGCCUCCACCACCGCCAUGUGUCAGCGCGUGAUUCGCUGCGCCGCCCGCACCCACAUCACCGCGCCUCCGCAUGCCAGCCCGCCGGGGCCCAGGAAGGGCCCUCCCCGGCCCGCGCUCGGUCGCUGCCGGCCCGCGGGCUCCCCGAGCCGCGCCCCCACGCCGGAUCUCCGCUCUGGCGACGCCCCGCCGCCUCAUUCACCGCGCCGCCUCGCUUCCCCACUGGAGCCCGCGCCGUGCCUCGGCGUCAAUGCUCGCCACCGACCGUCCUGCUCCGGAUCCGGCCGGAUCACGCGUCCCCGCGGCCGGAUCUGCCGGCUCCCCACUGCCCCGGCCUUCUCUUCUCCGCCUUCGCCGAGCUCCCUCACCAUCGCGGCUCCAUCGUCGUCCCUGCGUGCGGGCACACGUGAAGUCAGCCACGUGGGCCCCGCGGCCCAUCCUCGCCGGCCUGCUGCGUGCUAGCCCGAUCCGCCUUUCCCUCCUCUCUGGCCCAAGUGGCCCAAGGUGAGCGAGCCCACCUAAGUCCUCGCCCGUGCACACUUUAGCUAUCCUGCGCCCAUGUAAUUUUGUCUAAGUCUGAAAAAAUCCAUCUCAUGAGUGCAUGUUCAUCAUAGCAUAUCUAUGUGCAUUUUGCUCCAUUAUACAUGCAUGAUAUAUCAAAAUGUUCAUUGUGAGAUGCUCUUCAAUUCAUUCCAUUGUGGCAUGCUUGUUUGAGUCCAUCUUGAUGCCCAAAUCACUGAUGCAAGAGUGCUUUAAAUUGUUAGGUGCUGUUACUUAGCAGGUUAUGCUGAUUUGUCAUUUUUGUCACAUUUGUUGUGUGAUUCAUAUGGACAUGAGCUCUACAUGUGUUUUGAUCUAUGCCAUGCCAUCUUUCUAGGGGUGUUUGCCAUGUAUUUUUGUGAUCUAUGUGGUGACUAGCACAAACAUGCAAAGUAGCCUUCGUGAUAUUGCUGAUUUCAGGGACUUAGGAUUUUGCUAAGUCCUUUUCCUGAUGUUAUUUUAUGCCAUGUAACCAUGAUGCUAUAGUGAGAUCCAUGCUUUGUUUGAGUAUAUUCAGUAAGGAUGAUUUGGUCAUAUGGUUGUGCUCCAUCCAUCCAUGCCCCUGUUUGCAAUUAUGGAGUGCUCUAGCAUGUCUUUAGCUUGCUCUACUUUUGCUAUAAAAUGUUCCUAGUAGAUUGUUUACAUGUUAAUCAAUUUUGCCAUGGUUGUUAUAGUUGAUCCAAGCAUGCUAUGAUUUUUAUCUUGCCAUGAUUAGCUUCAUGAACAUGUAUUCUUGCUUAUUCUAUGCUUUUUUUGUCAUGCAAUGUCUUGUGGUGAGUGAAUCGAGCUCGCAAAUAUGCCUUCAUAACUCUAUUUAUGCCAUGCUCAGUUUUCUGCUAAGUCUGAAUCUGUUAAUUAAACUUGCUAUGUUUACAUGGGUGCCAUCAUAUCUUCUGUGCCCUUUUGGCUCAUGAUCAGUAAGGGACUUUUGUUCUAUGCAUUUAGUUGUUUCAUUCCAUGCCUUUGUUUGCUAUGAUCUGUUCCUGUAGCAUGUUGUUUGCUUGCUCUAAACAUUGCUUCUUGAUGUUAAUUUCUGGCAUGUUAGUUUUUUUCACCAAGGCUGUGAAGCUGAUAUAUUUUGCACUUUUGCCAUGCUUGUUUGAACCUGCUCUUGUGUGUUUUAGCCGUAGCUCAGUGUUCAUGUUUUGUCAAGCAUCUUGAGUACAUCACUGCCAUAUGCCUUGUUGCUAUGUUGGAGUGCAGUAGCUUAGUUUCUUGUUGCAUUCUAGGUGGCAUCAUGCUGUUAAUCGCAGAAUUGUGCCAUUCUUGUUUUGCUUGUCAUUUGCAAACCGUGCAUCCGAUUCCGGUGAUCUUUAUAUCAAUUUCGACCGAAAUCAUCUCAUAUUUCCAGCGGCACACUUGGUUUGCUAAGUUGAUGCCUGGUUCAAUCUUACCCUUCCAAAGCACGCAUAUGCAUUGCAUAUCACAUCCCGCAUGUCAUGCCAUGUUUUGCAUCAUGUUGCUUGUGCAUUGCAACAUGGUUGAUUGUUGUUCCUUUGCUUGUGUUCUUUCCUUGGGUAGAGCCGGGAGACGAGUACGUGAUCAAGGAACCUGUUGAGUACGCUAACGAGGAGCAAGCUUUCGUCAACUCUGAGAACUUUGCAGGCAAGAUGACCAUACCCUCGAAAUCACUUCUAUCUUUGCUUGCUAAUUGUUCAUUCUAUUGCUAUGCCGCGCUACCUACAACUUGCUAUAUCAUGCCUCCCAUAUUGCCAUGUCAAGCCUCUAACCCACCUUUCCUAGCAAACCAUUGUUUGGCUAUGUUACCGCUUUGCCCAGCCCCUCUUAUAGCGUUGCUAGUUAUAGGUGAAGAUGAAGUUUGUUCCAUGUUGGAACAUGGAUAUUGUUGGGAUAUCAUUAUUAUAUCUUGUUUACUUUAAUGCAUCUAUAUACUUGGUAAAGGGUGGAAGGCUCGGCCUUAUGCCUGGUGUUUUGUUCCACUCUUGCCGCCCUAGUUUCCGUCAUACCGGUGUUAUGUUCCUUGAUUUUGCGUUCCUUACGCGGUUGGGUGUUAUGGGAACCCCUUGGCAGUUCGCCUUGAAUAAAACUCCUCCAGCAAGGUCCAACCUUGGUUUUACCAUUUGCCUACCUACCACCACAUACCUUCCCUUGGGUUCUGCAGACUCAAGGGUCAUCUUUAUUUUAAACCCCCCGGGCCAGUGCUCCUCUGAGUGUUGGUCCGAAACGAGCAGCCUGCGGGGCCACCUCCGGGCAACUCGAGGGUUGGUUUUACUCGUAGAUUGACCUAUCCGGUGUGCCCUGAGAACGAGAUACGUGCGACUCCUAUCGGGAUUUGUCGACACAUCAGGCGUCUUUGCUGGUCUUGUUUUACCAUUGUCGAAAUGUCUUGUAACCGGGAUUCCGAGACUGAUCGGGUCUUCCCACGAGAAGGAAUAUCCUUCAUUGACUGUGAGAGCUUGUGAUGGGCUAAGUUGGGACACCCCUGCAGGGUUUUGAACUUUCGAAAGCCGUGCCCGCGGUUAUGGGAGAUGGGAAUUUGUUAAUGUCCGGUUGUAGAUAACUUGACACAUAACUUAACUAAAAUGAAUCAACCGCGUGUGUAGCCGUGAUGUCUUUUUUCGGCGGAGUCCGGGAAGAGAACACGGUCUCGUGUUAUGCUUGAACGUAAGUAGUUUCAGGAUCACUUCUUGAUCACUUAUUAGCUUCUCGACCGUGCUUUGCUUCUCUUCUUGCUCUCUUUUGCGUAAGUUAGCUACCGUAUAUGCUAGUGCUUGCUGCAGCUCCACCUCACCACCCUUUCCUACCAUUAAGCUUAAAUAGUUUUGAUCGCGAGGGUGUGAGAUUGCAGAGUCCCCGUGACUCACAAAUACUUCCAAAUAGAUGCAGGUGCCGAUGAUGCCAGUGCAGGGGACGCUACCGAACUCAAGUGGGAGUUCGGCGAGGAUUCGGGCCGUUACUUUGUUUCUUUUCCGGAUUAUUAGUAGAGGAGCCCAGUUGGGGCGAUCGGGGAUCUAGCAUUUGGGGUUGUCUUUAUUUAUUUUGGUUCCAUAGUCGGAUCUUGAUUGUAUUUUGGAUGAUGUGUGACAUAUUUAUGUAUUGCGUGAAGUGGCGAUUGUAAGCCAACUCUUUAGCCCUUUCUUAUUCAGUACAUGGGAUGUGUAAAGAUUACCCCUCUUGCGACAUGCCUACCAUGCGGUUAUGCCUCUAAGUCGUGCCCCGACACGUGGGAGAUAUAACUGCAUCGUGGGUGUUACAAGUUGGUAAUCAGAGCCUUCCCCGACUUAGGAGCCCCCUGCUUGAUCGAAUUGCUGACGUUGUUGAGUCUAGAACAAAAUGUUUUGAGUCUUAGGAUUAUAUAUAUUGGAGAGUAGGAUUGUUUUUACUCCUCAGUCCCUUCGUCGCUCUGGUGAGGCCUCCUAACAUAGAGUUUUGACUCUUCUCUCCUCAAAUUUCACGAUUUUUUUGGGAUCACACGGGUAUCAUUGAAUCGUUCCAAUGGUUUUGCGACGAGAACAUUGUUCUUGGUGCCUCCUGACAUUUAGGGGUUGUGGCAGUGUCCCGGGGAGUUGAGCUCCGAGGUGUUGUUGUCACAAUUUUAUCGUUGCAGUUCUGGAAUACCUGAGUUCGCUGACAUCGAAAAUCUCUUUUAUGCAGUUGUUGGUGAGUUAACCUCGACGCCACCCAGUAUUCGGGCCGUUACUGAUAUGUCUCCAACGUAUCUAUAAUUUUUGAUUGUUCCAUGCUAUUAUAUUAUCUGUUUUGGAUGUUUAUGGGCUUUAUUAUACACUUUUAUAUUAUUUUUGGGACUAAGCUAUUAACCCCGAGCCCAGUGCCAGUUUUUGUUUUUCCUUGUUUUAGAGUAUCGAUGAAAAGGAAAAUCAAACAGAGUCCAAUUGACCUGAAACUUCAUGAAACUUAUUUUCGGACCAGAAGAAGCCCAUAGAGUAUCGAAGAUGGACCAGGAGAGUCCCGGGAUGCCCACGAGGGUGGGGGGCGCGCUCCCUACCUCGUGGACAGCCCGGAGAUCCACCGACGUACUUCUUCCUCCUAUAUAUACCCAUAUACCCUAAAAAACUACAAGGCGCAGAAUACAUCGGGAGUUCCGCCGCCAGAAGCCUCCGUAGCCACCGAAAACCAAUCUAGACCCAUUUUGGCACCCUGCCGGAGGGGGGAACCCUCACCGGUGGCCAUCUUCAUCAUCCUGGUGCUCUCCAUGACGAGGAGGGAGCUAGUUCUCUCUCGAGGCUGAGGGUAUGUACCAGUAGCUAUGUGUUUGAUCUCUCUCUCUCUCUCUCUCUCUCUCUCUCUCUCGUGUUCUUGAGGUGAUACGAUCUUGAUGUAUCGCGAGCUUUGCUAUUGUAGUUGGAUCUUAUGAUGUUUCUCCCCCUCUACUCUCUUGUGAUGAAUUGAGUUUUCCCUUUGAAUUUAUCUUAUCGAAUUGAGUCUUUAAGGAUUUGAGAACACUUGAUGUAUGUCUUGCGUGGGAUACCCAUGGUGACAAUGGGGUAUUCUAUUGAUCCACUUGAUGUAUGUUUUAGUGAUCAACUUGCGGGUUCUGCCCAUGAACCUAUGCAUAGGGGUUGGCACACGUUUUCGUCUUGACUCUCCGGUAGAAUCUUCGGGGCACUCUUUGAAAUUCUUUGUGUUGGUUUGAAUAGAUGAAUCUGAGAUUGUGGGAUGCAUAUCUUAUAAUCAUACCCACGGAUACUUGAGGUGACAUUGGAGUAUCUAGGUGACAUUAGGGUUUUGGUUGAUUUGCGUCUUAAGGUGUUAUUCUAGUACAAACUCUAUGAUAGAUGGAACGGAAAGAAUAGCUUCAUGUUAUUUUACUACAGACUCUUGAAUAGAUCGAUCAGAAAGGAUAACUUUGAGGUGGUUUUGUACCCUACCAUAAUCUCUUCAUUUGUUCUCCGCUAUUAGUUACUUUGGAGUGACUCUUUGUUGCAUGUUGAGGGAUAGUUAUAUGAUCCAAUUAUGUUAUUAUUGUUGCGGGAACUUGCACUAGUGAAAGUAUGAACCCUAGGCCUUGUUUCAACGCAUUGCAAUACCGUUUACGCUCACUUUUAUCAUUAGUUACCUUGCUGUUUUUAUAUUUUCAGAUUACAAAAACCUAUAUCUGCCAUCCGUAUUGCACUUGUAUCACCAUCUCUUCGCCGAACUAGUGCACCUAUACAAUUUACCAUUGUAUUGGGUGUGUUGGGGACACAAGAGACUCUUUGUUAUUUGGUUGCAGGGUUGUUUGAGGGAGACCAUCUUCAUCCUACGCCUCGCACGGAUUGAUAAGCCUUAGGUCAUCCACUUGAGGGAAAUUUGCUACUGUCCUACAAACCUCAGCACUUGGAGGCCCAACAACGUCUACAAGAAGAAGGUUGUGUAGUAGACAUCAAGCUCUUUUCUGGCGUCGUUGCCAGGGAGGUUAGCGCUUGCAGGUAUAUCUUUAGAUCUUGCAAUCGAAUCUUUUUGUUUCUUGUUAUAUCACUAGUUUAGUUUAUAAAAGAAAACUACAAAAAAUGGAAUUAAGGGUACCUCAUAUGCUUCAUCUUUUUAAUGUACUUCGUGAAAAUGAUGGGAAGGAAAAUUGUGCUCAAGUACUAGAAGAAGAAUGCAUUAGAAUGUUUGGCACUAAAUAUUUGAAUGAUGAGCAUGAUUGCAAUUUUGUUAGUAUGAAUUCCUUGAACAUCCAUGAUGCUAAUGAUAUGCAAAGCCACAAGCUUGGGGAAGCUAUGUUUGAUGAAGUUGAUAUUUUUUGUCCCCCAAGUUUUGAUGAGAAAAUUUAUUAUUAUGAAAGCAUGCCUCCUAUUUAUGAUGAUUAUAUUGAUGAAAGUGGAUUUGAAGAGGUCAUGACUUUAUUUAGUGAUGAUUCCACUAUCUUGGAAGAGGUUUCAAUCGAUUAUGAUGAGAACAAAGUUGCUGCUUAUGAUAAUUAUUGUGAUGAUACAUAUGCUAUAAAAAGUAGUGAUGAUUAUAUUAAAACUUGUCAUGACUAUGAUUACCCUUUUCCUGAAUAGUACUCUUUUAAUGUGGCAACAAUUUAUAGUAUUCGAGUCUCUUAUGAUACUCCCACUAUUCUGAAUGAGAAGAAUUUUGCUUAUGUGGAGAGUAAUAAAAUUUCUAUGCUUGUAGAUCAUGAAAAGAAUGUUUUAUGUGUUAGUUAUAUUGUUGAAUUCAUUCAUGAUGCUACUGAAAAUUAUUAUGAGGGAGGAACAUAUGCUUGUAGGAAUUGCAAUAAUAUCAAGUUUCCUCUAUAUGCGUUGAAAAUCUUGAAGUUAUCCUUGUUUUACCUUCCUAUGUAAGUUGAUUCUUGUUCCAAGAAGUUGUUCGCUCACAAAAUCCCUAUGCAUAGGAAGUGGGUUAGACUUAAAUGUGAUAGUCAUAUUAUUCAUGAUGCUCUCUGUUACAAUUCUUAUCUUUUAUGUGAGCAUCGUUGAAAUCAUCAUGCCUAGAUAGGGGCAUUAAACGAAAGCGCUUGUUGGGAGGCAACCCAAUCUUAUUAUUGUUCUUUACUUUUUGCUCCUUUUUAGUAAUAAAUAAUUCAUCUAGCCUCUGUUUAGAUGUGGUUUUAUGUUUUAAUUAGUGUUUGUGCCAAGUAGAACCUUUGGGAAGACUUGGGUGAAGUCUUUGUGAUCUUGCUGUAAAAAACAGAAACUUUAGUGCUCACGAGAUUAGCUGCCAUUUUUUUUACUGGAGAGUGCUAUUAAGUUGAUUCUUUUUUAAGAGGAUUAAUAGACAAAUUCCUCAGAUCCACCAAUUUAUUUGAGAAUUUUAUGAGUUCCAGAAGCAUACAUUUGAUCCAGAUUACUACAGACUGUUCUGUUUUUGACAGAUUCUGUUUUCUAUGUGUUGUUUGCUUAUUUUGAUGAAUCUAUGAGUAGUAUCGGAUGGUAUGAACCAUAGAUGAGUUGGAAUACAGUAUAAUAUUACACCAAUAUGAAUUUAGAAUGAGUUCACAACAGUACCUAAGUGGUGAUUUAUUUUCUUAUACUAACGGAGCUUACGAGUUUUCUGUUCAGUUUUGUGUUGUGAAGUUUUCAAGUUUUGGGUAAAGAUUCGAUGGAUUAUGGAACAAGGAGUGGCAAGAGCCUAAGCUUGGGGAUGCCCAAGGCACCCCAAGGUAAUAUUCAAGGACAACCAAAAGCCUAAGCUUGGGGAUGCCCUGGAAGGCAUCCCCUCUUUCGUCUUCGUUCAUCGGUAACUUUACUUGGAGCUAUAUUUUUAUUUACCACAUGAUAUGUGUUUUGCUUGGAGCGUCACUUUAUUUUAUUUAGUUUUUCUUGCUGUUUGAAUAAAAUACCAAGAUCUGAAAUUCUUAAAUGUUAGAGAGUCUUCACAUAGUUGCAUAAUUAUCCGACUACUCAUUGAUCUUCACUUAUAUCUUUUGGAGUAGUUUUUCAUUUGCUCUAGUGCUUCACUUAUAUCUGUUUAGAGCAUGUUGGUGGUUUUAUUUUAUAGAAAUAGAUGAACUCUCAUGCGCCACUUAUAUUAUUUUGAGAGUCCUAAACAGCAUGGCAAUUUUCUUUGGUUAUGAAUUUAGUCCUAAUAUGAUGGGCAUCCAAGAGGGAUACAAUAAAAACUUUCAUAUAAGUGCAUUGAAUACUAAGAGAAGUUUGAUACUUGAUGAUUGUUUUGAGAUAUGGAGAUGGUGAUAUUAGAUCAUGCUAGUUGAGUAGUUGUGAAUUUGAGAAAUACUUGUGUUGAAGUUUGUGAUUCCCAUAGCAUGCACGUAUGGUGAACCGUUAUGUGAUGAAGUCGGAGCAUGAUUUAUUUAUUGAUUGUCUUCCUUAUGAGUGGCGGUCGGGGACGAGCGAUGGUCUUUUCCUACCAAUCUAUCCCCCUAGGAGCAUGCGCGUAGUACCUUGUUUCUAUAACUAAUAUAUUUUUGCAAUAAGUAUGUGAGUUCUUUAUGACUAAUGUUGAGUCCAUGGAUUAUACGCACUCUCACCCUUCCACCAUUGCUAGCCUCUCUUGUGCCGUGCAAUUUUCGCCGGUACCAUAUCACCCACCAUUACCUUCCUAAAAAUAGCCACCAUAUCUACCUAUUAUGGCAUUUCCAAAGCCAUUCCGAGAUAUAUUGCCAUGCAACUUUCCACCGUUCCGUUUAUUAUGACACGCUCCAUCAUUGUCAUAUUGCUAUGCAUGAUCAUGUAGUUGACAUCGUAUUUGUGGCAAAGCCACCAUUCAUAAUUCUUUCAUACAUGCCACUCAUGAGUCAUUGCACAUCCCGGUACACCGCCGGAGGCAUUCAUAUUGAGUCAUAUCUUGUUCUAAGUAUCGAGUUGUAAUUCUUGAGUUGUAAGUAAAUAAAAGUGUGAUGAUCAUCAUUUUUAUAGCAUUGUCCCAAGUGAGGAAUGGAUGAUGGAGACUAUGAUUCCCCCACAAGUCGGGAUGAGACUCCGGACUAAAAAAAGAGGCCAUAAAAAGAGGAAAGGCCCAAAUAAAAAAAUGAGAGAAAAAGAGAGAAGGGGCAAUGCUACUAUCCUUUUACCACACUUGUGCUUCAAAGUAGCAUCAUGAUCUUCAUGAUAGAGAGUCUCCUAUGUUGUCACUUUCAUAUACUAGUGGGAAUCUUUAAUUAUAGAACUUGGCUUGAAUAUUCCAAUGAUGGGCUUCCUCAAAAUGCCCUAGGUCUUCGGGAGCAAGCAAGUUGGAUGCACACCCACUUAGUUUCCAGUUUGAGCUUUCAUAAACUUAUAGCUCUGGCAAUCCCUACUCACUCACAUUGAUAUCUAUUGAUGGGCAUCUCCAUAGCCCGUUGAUACACCUAGUUGAUGUGAGACUAUCUUCUCCUUUUUGUCUUCUCCACAACCACCAUUCUAUUCCACCUAUAGUGCUAUAUCCAUGGCUUACGCUCAUAUAUUGCGUGAAGAUUGAAAAAGUUUGAGAACAUCAAAAGUAUGAAACAAUUGCAUGGCUUGUCAUCGGGGUUGUGCAUGAUUUAAAUAUGUUGUGUGGUGAAGAUGGAGCAUAGCCAGACUAUAUGAUUUUGUAGGGACAACUUUCUUUGGCCAUGUUAUUUUGAGAAGCCAUAAUUACUUUGUUAGUAUGCUUGAAGUAUUAUUAUUUUUAUGUCAAUAUUAAACUUUUGUCUUGAAUCUUAUGGAUCUGAAUAUUCUAGCCAUAAUAAAGAAGAUUACAUUGAUAAAUAUGUUAGGUAGCAUUCCACAUCAAAAAUUCUAUUUUUAUCAUUUACCUACUCGAGGACGAGCAUGAAUUAAGCUUGGGGAUGCUGAUACGUCUCCAACGUAUCUAUAGUUUUUGAUUGUUCCAUGCUAUUAUAUUAUAAACCUUGGAUGUCUUAUAUGCUAUUUUAUAUGAUUUUUGGGACUAACCUAUUAACCUAGAGCCCAGUGCCAGUUUCUAUUUUUUCCUUGUUUUAGAGUAUCGUAGAAAAGGAAAAUCAAACGGAGUCCAAUUGACCUGAAACUUCACGGAACUUAUUUUUGGAAGGAAAGCAACCCGAGAGACUUGGAGUCCACGUAAGGGAAGCAACGAGGAAGCCACGAGGCAGGGGGCACGCCCUCCACCCUCAUGGCUCCCCUGACGUACUUCUUCCGCCUAUAUAUCUCCAUAUACCCUAAAACAAUCGGGGAGCACAAUAGAUCAGGAGUUCCGCCACCAGAAGCCUCCGUAGCCACCGAAAGCCAAUCUAGACCCGUUCUGGCACCCUGCCGGAGGGGGCAAUCCCUCUCCGGCGGCCAUCUUCAUUAUCCCGGUGCUCUCCAUGACGAGGAGGGAGUAGUUCACCCUCGGGGCUGAGGGUAUGUACCAGUAGCUAUGUGUUUGAUCUCUCUCUCUCUCUCUCUCAUGUUCUUGAGGUGAUACGAUCUUGAUAUAUUGCGAGCUUUGCUAUUAUAGUUGGAUCUUAUGUUUCUCCUCCACCUCUACUCUCUUGUAAUGGAUUGAGUUUCCCCUUUGAAGUUAUCUUAUCGGAUUGAGUCUUUAAAGAUUUGAGAACACUUGAUGUAUGUCUUACCGUGCGUAUCUGUGGUGACAAUGGGAUAUCACAUGAUUCACUUGAUGUAUGUUUUGGUGACCAACUUGCGGGUUCCGCCCAUGAACUUAUGCAUAGGGGUUGGCACACGUUUUCGUCGUGAUUCUCCGGUAGAAACUUUGGGGCACUCUUUGAGGUUCUAUGUGUUGGUUGAAUAGAUGAAUCUGAGAUUGUGUGACACAUAUCGUAUAAUCAUACCCACGGAUACUUGAGGUGACAUUGGAGUAUCUAGGUGACAUUAGGGUUUUGGUUGAUUUGUGUCUUAAGGUGUUAUUCUAGUAUGAACUCUAGGGAUGUUUGUGACACUUAUAGGAAUAUCCCAACGGAUUGAUUGGAAAGAAUAACUUUGAGGUGGUUUCGUACCCUACCAUAAUCUCUUCGUUUGUUCUCCGCUAUUAGUGACUUUGGAGUGACUCUUUGUUGCAUGUUGAGGGAUAGUUAUGUGAUCCAAUUAUGUUAUUAUUGUUGAGAGAACUUGCACCAGCGAAAGUAUGAACCCUAGGCCUUAUUUCCUAGCAUUGCAAUACCGUUUACGCUCACUUUUACCAUUAGUUACCUUGCUGUUUUUAUAUUUUCAGAUUACAAAAACCAAUAUCUGCCAUCCAUAUUGCACUUGUAUCACCAUCUCUUCGCCGAACUAGUGCACCUAUACAAUUUACCAUUGUAUUGGGUGUGUUGGGGACACAAGAGACUCUUUGUUAUUUGGUUGCAGGGUUGUUUGAGGGAGACCCUCUUCAUCCUACGCCUCCCACAGAUUGAUAAACCUUAGGUCAUCCACUUGAGGGAAAUUUGCUACUGUCCUACAAACCUCUGCACUUGGAGGACCAACAACGUCUACAAGAAGAAGGUUGUGUAGUAGACAUCAGUUACUAUGUUUCUUUUCCGGAUGAUCAGUAGAGGAGCCCAGUUGGGUCGAUCGGGGAUCUAAAAUUUGGGGUUGUCUUUCUUUAUUUUGGUUCCGUAGUCGGAUCUUGAUUGUAUUCUGGAUGAUGUAUGACAUAUUUAUGUAUUGUGUGAAGUGGCGAUUGUAAGCCAACUCUUGACCCCUUUCUUAUUCAGUACAAGGGAUGUGUAAAGAUUACCCCUCUUGCGACAUGCCUACCAUGCGGUUAUGCCUCUAAGUCGUGUCCCGACACGUGGGAGAUAUAGAUGCAUCGUGGGUGUUACACACAUGCCCAAGGUAAGCUUGGCUACUCCAUAGGCUUUGUGAUGAACGUGUUUUCUUCAGUUUUCAGGAUGGUCAUGUUGACGAUUUCAAGAACUUGAUUGCAAGGUAUGGCUAUAGCUAUUGGUCAUGCAAUAUUGCGAGGCUUGAAAAACAUACUUGUUCCACAUAACUUUGAUUGUGCUCUCAUAGGUAAAACCAAAAUCUGUCCAAUACAAAAUUGGGAUAGCUUAACAUGCUCAGAAGGGUAAGAUUAUUCCAUUGGAGUUAUCAUGUCCAAUAUUCAGAAGAGGAUAUUCAUGUUGAUGCAUUAUCCAUAAUUAUUCUCGUUGUAAGGACAUGAUUCCAAGGGGCAGUGGCGGAGCCAGGAUUUGAGUAUANNNNNNNNNNNNNNNNNNNNNNNNNNNNNNNNNNNNNNNNNNNNNNNNNNNNNNNNNNNNNNNNNNNNNNNNNNNNNNNNNNNNNNNNNNNNNNNNNNNNNNNNNNNNNNNNNNNNNNNNNNNNNNNNNNNNNNNNNNNNNNNNNNNNNNNNNNNNNNNNNNNNNNNNNNNNNNNNNNNNNNNNNNNNNNNNNNNNNNNNNNNNNNNNNNNNNNNNNNNNNNNNNNNNNNNNNNNNNNNNNNNNNNNNNNNNNNNNNNNNNNNNNNNNNNNNNNNNNNNNNNNNNNNNNNNNNNNNNNNNNNNNNNNNNNCUUCUAGUCCCCUUGGCUCCGCCCCUGCCAAGGGGGUCAUGGAAAGUAAGCAAGCAUGUGAAAUAAUGUUUAUUUCCUUAAAUUGGUUGAAAUUUUCUAUGCUAGUGCUUAAUUUAUAUGCUCGAACUUUUAGGUUUGGAUUUACUUUUGUAAUGGGAAGCUUGCAUUAGUUGUUGCAGGAAAAAAUGCAUUGCUCAUAAAGAAGUAUUCUGGGCUUUUGAUAUAUAAAUUAUGGUGUUUAGAUAUUCUAUAUUUUAGAACCUAAUGUUGCAUACCGAGCACUAUUUUUGCUAGUUGAAAGCUCCACCAGGUGCCUUCUACAGAGUAGUUAGUUGCCAGACUCCAUUGUUAUUGUAUUUCUUAGCUAUUCGAUGUGUAUAUAAUAGUGUAAAUGCAUCAUAAAAUAACAAAAAUGUAUUGAAUGCAUAAUAGAAGUGUAUAGCAUUUGCCCUUGGAGAAACUUGUAUGGAGUCAUAUUGUGAUCUUCUAGAUUUAUGUUAUGAUGUUACAAGCUCAAAAUAGUGAGUUUCAUUUCACAUAUUACUAUACUAGACUCGGCCUUGUUCACCGUUUUAAUGCCUGCUGUCGGUGUAAAACUGAAAGCCCAAUUUGUUUCCAACUAAGGACCAAAACUGCACUUGGAUGAUCAUUUUCAAUAAUUUUUUCAUUGUUGUUAUUUUGUUUUUCAUGUUCCAGUAACUUCAACCUGAUUCUUGUUUCUACCUUGAUGUUAGGCCCUAGGAUGUUGAAGCUUUUUUUGAGAGAAUGCCAUCAUGGCUACUUUAUUGCAUAGGUAAUAUAGUUACAUCAUUUACAAGACAUUCAAUCAGGAAGUCUGGGUGAUCAUUCUCCCAUUUACAAGCUACAUUCUUAUCAAAAGCAUUCUUUGCUAAACUAUGCACCGCUACGUUGGCUUCCCUCAAGCAAUGCGAAAACUGAACUGAACCUAUCAUGCCAGCCAGGAUAAAGCAAUCCGCGUAUAUUGCUGAAGCUUCAUUCCAGAUUCUGUCCUGACCUGAGCAUGCGUUAAUGACCUCCACCGAAUCUGAUUCAAUUUGGAUUGAUUGUAGCCCGAUCUCAUUUGCUAGCAUGAGAACCUGUUUCAUCGCUAAUAUUUCUGCUGUAUAAGCAUCAGGUACAUGGGGCAACAAGGAACAUGCAGCGGCAAUAAACACACCUUAGCUAUCUCGAAUCACCACACCUGUGGAACCGCUGAAUGUUUCAUGAUGAAAGGAGGCGUCAACAUUCACCUUAAUAUUUCCUCUUGGAGGUUUGCUCCAUUUUACCCUAGGAUGUUGAAGCUGCUUUGUAGUGAAGGUAAAGAUGGUUCUGAGCCGAUGGAAUCUCUUGGCUGAUAUGUACAAGUCUACAUGGAUGGUGAUAUCUAUUUUUUUUGUUUGGUUAGAGGGACAAUAUGUGAUGGGAUUACUCCAUGUUAUUUUAUUGAACACAGUACAGACGCAAGUGCUCAUGUACACGCACAUACACCCAUCCCUAUGAAUGCAUACACACACCCUACCCCUAUGAGCACCUCCGAAAGACUGAGCCGACAUAUUAUCUUGAAAUUUCUGAAGUCGCCGUAGGCACCUCGUCAUCAACAGGGACGUCUCCUCCCACUGAAUGCGCAUCGCAGGAAAUCCUAAAAUAAUUUCAGGAACAAAUGCGAGCACCAGGGCUUGAACCCUGAUGGGCUGGGGAUACCACAGUCCCUCUGACCAUCCAGACCAUCCAACCACUAUUAUAGGAACAAUUCAUGUGUGUGAUAUCUACAAUAGGAUACUAUUUUUAUACUAGAAUCAAUGUUGAGGAUAUCUCUUAUCGUUAUCGUCUCGGUCAGCUAAGGAUUAGAGAUUAAUCGGAAAUCGGGCGACUAAUCGAUUUUAUCGGUCGACUAUUAAUCGGGUACUUUUUGCAAAUCUUAGAUUCCUAACACUAAAAUACGCUAUAUUCAACACCAAAACAUUAUUUGACAAAAGUGUUACCUUGAUUCCUAGCCUUUGAAUCCUCGUAUAAUGACAAACAAAAUAGGACACAAGUACAUAUUAUGUAACAAAGUCCACAAAACAUAAAUAAACAUAGUUUUGGCAAACAUAGUGCUAUGAAUAGGUCUGAUUUAUCGGUAGAUUCCUGAUAAAUCGUUUGUCAGAGUGAUAAAUCGGUCCAAAAGAUAAAUAGUGAAGAUAAGUCAUAAUCUUAUCGAUCACCCCCUGAUUAGCGCUAAAUCAGAAGAUUAAUCGCUGAAUCGGAAGAUUUCUUGAACAGUGACUAGAAUAGACAAGAUGGUAAGUAUAAUUCAUGGGGCUUUACAGAGUCACCAUUCCAUUGUUUUCCUAGAAGAUGGACAUGGGAAUUUAUUACCAACCAAAUCCUCUUCAAAAGGCACCACACUACCAACAGUAAGUAACAAUCCUGGUUUAUUUUGCACUUUUCAUAUGACAUUUUGCUCCUGAUCAUGAACCCUGGAUUAGGGUGUAUAGUAAUGUAGAAACUGUAUGCUUCUAUGUACACAUAUAGAGUGAAUUACAAUCAUAUGAUUUAAAACCAGAGUUUUGAUCAAGUUUAGCCAAAACAACAUUAAAACAAGGAGAAACCUUUGUUUCUUCUGAAUACGCAUAAAAAGCAUAUCAUACAUUUAUAGAAUGAAGAGGGUAUAAACACCCAUCCACGAGUUUACAAUAGUGCGACUUCUCGCAAUACAUCCACCUAGACAGCCGAUGAAAAAUCAGUUUCAAAUCCUCUUUGAACUUGCCCGCUAAUUGCCACAACUCCUCCACUAGGACCUUAUCAAUGACAUCGACCACAAAUAGCGAGGCAUUCUCAAACACAAUAUUUUUCCAAUAUUUUCCAUAUCUCCCACAUCACCAGGGUCACGAGUGUCUACCGAUUUUUCUUGAGUUUCUGCAUGGGGCUCAGCGUCCCAACAGGCAAUCAUCCAUCCCCACGUCUAUUCGCUAUUACCCAAGCCGACAUCACUUCAUACUAGAUCGAUCGUGCAAAGACGCAGGAAACCACCAGGUGGUCAAUGCUUUCUUGUUCCUUGUCACAAAGCGGGCAAGCUUCCUGAUGCGAAGUCCUCGGCUAGCUAGUCGAUCAGAGGUCCAAAACCUAUUAGGGAGGGCAAGCUCGGAGAAGAAAUUGCAUCGCAGGGGCCCUCCAGAUUGGCAAGUGAGCGGAUUAAGAUCCCGAGGGUUCCCAAGUCUAGCGCACCGAUUCCUAGACUCACUCAUGAAGAACCACUGGGGAGAUUGCGUCCCUCAAUGAAAAUUACUCUCCCAGCUUUGUGGACUCCAGAUUUGGCCCCAAAUCAAGCGGCCAUGCCAGGUGCAUGGUGUCAUGAACUAUCCUGGUGGCCCACACCCGAGGUCUGAUCCUCUUGUAAGGGCGUGGGCUGAAUUCCUGGAACCAAAAUCCAUGCAAUCUCAUGUCUUCCAAAAAGAACGACGAUCUACCAUCUUGGGAUAGGAAAUGGGAGUUUUGGGUGUGAAGACUUUUAGUCCUUUGAUAGCGUGUUUGGUAGUUUAAGGGAAAGGGAUUGGGAAUUUAUGAGAGGGAGUUGGCUGAGGGAUUAGGCUUGGGAAGUGGCAAGUUAGUCCCAGUAAUUUGGUAUGGGGUGGGGUUAUUUAUGGGAAUAAUUUCCAUGAACAAAGAAAAUAAAGGGUAGGUUAGAUGAGAUGUGCUCCUAUUUGGCAUUGCAUCUGCAGAUCAGGGAGUAGUUAGCGUUGGCCGGUUAGUUUGGAGGAAUUUUGUGGCGGGAGGUGGGCCACCAAAUAUGUAAUGAUAUGUUUUUAGAUGUCCAAUUCCCAUUCCUCCGCUGAAUUACGAGGGUGCCCCGGGUAGAGAUUAAUGGGAGUUGGCCCUCCUAAUUCCCUUCCCCUUCCCUUGCUAAUUCCCAAACCCCUGAACCAAUCAACAUAUUUUUAGUCUCACUAAUCUUAAACUCCCAUUCCCUACCCCCAACUCUCCCAACCAAACACGCUAUGAUUGUUUGGGGGUAACAACAGUUAAAGAGGGAAUAGGGAGGGGAAUUCAUGUAUUAAACUCCCUCAAAUUACUUACCUGGGGGAGGCCUGGUAAUUCAGAUGGAGAAAGGGAAUUAGCAUUUAACUUCCAUUCCCUUUCCCUUGGAUUGCCAAACAAGCUGUAAGGUCUAGAGGUGUCAGUACCCCGUAGCCAUAGCUAACGCACACCAAUAACAAUGUUCAACCAUAUGAAAUUAGGGAGUCCAAGCGCACCAGUCCAUUUGGGCAAUUUUUCAACCAUCUAAAAAAUUAAGGAGAAACAUGUUUUUUUGAAAAGGAGGAUCACCCUGGCCUCUGCAUCUGGGCGAUGCAUGCAACUAUUUCAUUAAUUUUUCACAAAGACCUUAUAAAGUAGUACAUCAGGCAAUCUGAAACGACCAUCUUAGCAACAACGGUCGCUACUCCUAUCCAUUUGAUGAAGGGAUGCCGAUAGUCCGAGCCUAAUACCAAAUAGACAUCACACCAAAGCCUAACAUCUAAAGCGGAGGCCCCAACCGAGCCACAUACUGGGUUUGGGGUACAAACCGGUCCAACGCACUCUCAUGUGUCAUCGUCGUCAUCUUCCAUCAAUCCAUCUUCAGAGGAGAAACUAACGCACUGGCUUUGCCAGGCCCCUCUGCCAUUGAAGCCACCAUGACGCCAGACUCCUCCUGCGCGAGUCCAUCUCUGUGCAUCGGAUGCCGAGUCUCCACUGCGCCACGCCGUCGAGAUCCGCCGCCAUCAAUGAGUAAGAUGAAGCACCGCUCCACUAAAGAAGCCGUCCACUGGUCCCUCGAGCUCAUUUAUACCUCCAUGAAUGACGGCCCCAAGGGGGAAACGACACCAGAGCACUGCCGUCAUCCAAUCUACUGAUCUAGGGUCUCCCCCGAAGGUAGCGGAUAGAGGUCUGGAGCUUCUCCAUGGCAAUGCCUUCAAGAAGAUAAUGACAGAAAAGAGUGCCGCCAUCUCCGGUCUUGGCAACAAGACGAGGACUAGCUUUUCACUCGGAUCUGCUCGACGAACCUCAAUCUCGCAUCAUGCGCACAGACCACGACCGAUCUACGUCGCCUCGGAGCGAUCAAGCCACUAUGGAUCUCCGCCGCCUCAGAUCCAGGGCACACUUCCGCUUGCCCGGGUGCCUCGUGCCACCCUCGUGCGCGAGAAGGAGAGUCUCCUCCGCCACCGCCAUCAGCCGACGGGCUUAGCCCGACUGCUUCCUGCAGCGGCGACAGAGGGGAGGGAUGGGAGGGGGAGUGAUCGGCGACUAAGGUUGGGGCCCCUCAACCGCCUGUGCGGGGGGCGUUAGAGGGGAGAGGAAGGGAGGAAGCGGCGGGCGGCAGCGCUGCUGUGUGGCGGCGGCGACGCUGCUGCUAGGUUAGCUCGCGUAGGUUAGCGGCUAUGAAGAUUUAUUAGAACGACACCUAAGGAGAAACAUGUGCAUCUAUGAAAUCUUCAUGAUUCUAAAGAAGCCUCUAAUAGGCCAGUUUUCGGCCUCUUACCACAAUUCUAUAGAACUGGAACACCUUGCAUUCCAAAUUACGUUGGACCGACCAAAUUGGCGGUCACAGCCACAAUUACAUUGUGAGGGAAAUCUGAUAGCCAGAGCCAUUGUUCGAUGCAUCUACCUAUAGUUGCCAACUCAUGGGCAGGCUUGUUACAAUCUCUUGGGCAGUGAACAAUGCUCCACUUGUUAAAACUCGUUGGUAGGAGAUAUCUAGCCUCACGGAAGACAGCACCAAGGUUGGAGCCGUAAUGCACCAUGGAAUUAAUGGCUUGAGCAAGUCCAAGACAGUCUGUCUCAAAAAUGACACGCCCCAUACCAUGCUCCACAGCUAAGUGUAUGGCAUGCAACAGCACAGUUGGUUCAGCAUGCAGAGCUUCACUUAUGUGCACAAGCCUUCCAGCAGCAGCAAACAACACCUCACCUGUAUGAUCUCGAGCCACAUAGCCCCAACCCGUGGUCUGUUUAGCAACAUCAAAAGCACUGUCAAUAUUGAUUUUAACCUUAUCCACCAUCGGUUUACUCCACAGAGGUUUGCUCAGAAUCUGCGCUUUCUUUUUUUUUGCAUAAAAGACACACCAUUCAGCAACAUGCUUCUCCAAAAGGAAGCAGAACUCCUCAAGUGUAGCUCUCUUUUGCUUAUGAUUGCCUUCAUUCCUCUCCGUCCACCACAACAACAUAAAGCAUAUGAUUCUCAGCUUCGUGUCCUCUGAAAGGGCAAAUAUGGUGGCGAGGAUUUCGCUCGGUGACUGACAUUGCAGCCGGUUUAACCGGGACGACUCCAGCUCAUACACACGCCAAAUCUUCUUGACCUCCUUACAUCUGAAAAAAAGAUGUCCGCCAUCCUUUGGUAAUCUAUGGUAAAGGACACAUCUAGUAUCGAGUUUGAUCCCAAUCCAUUCAAUAUUCCUCAGCAUAGGGUGACUAUUAUGAGAGACUCUCCACAAAAAAUGAUACAAUUUCCCGGGACAUCUAAUCUUCCAGAGGUUCUGCCACAUUUUUCCAUAAGUUGUAUCACCGGCGGCACCCUCACCCUGCUGCCUAGGGGUGAUGUCUACUACACAACCUUCUUCUUGUAGACGUUGUUGGGCCUCCAAGUGCAGAGGUUUGUAGGACAGUAGCAAAUUUCCCUCAAGUGGAUGACCUAAGGUUUAUCAAUCCAUAGGAGGCGUAGGAUGAAGAUGGUCUCUCUCAAACAACCCUGUAACCAAAUAACAAAGAGUCUCUUGUGUCCCCAACAUACCCAGUACAAUGGUAAAUUGUAUAGGUGCACUAGUUCGGUGAAGAGAUGGUGAUACAAGUGCAAUAUGGAUGAUAGAUAUGGGUAUUUGUAAUCUGAAAAUAUAAAAACAGCAAGGUAACUAAUGAUAAAAGUGAGCACAAACGGUAUUGCAAUGCUAGGAAAUAAGGCCUAGGGUUCAUACUUUCACUAGUGCAAGUUCUCUCAACAAUAAUAACAUAUUUGGAUCAUAUAACUAUCCCUCAACAUGCAACAAAGAGUCACUCCAAAGUCACUAAUAGAGGAGAACAAACGAAGAGAUUAUGGUAGGGUACGAAACCACCUCAAAGUUAUCCUUUCUGAUCGAUCUAUUCAAGAGUCCGUAGUAAAAUAACAUGAAGAUAUUCUUUCCGUUCAAUCUAUCAUAGAGUUCGUACUAGAAUAACACCUUAAGACACAAAUCAACAAAAACCCUAAUGUCACCUAGAUACUCCAAUGUCAGCUCAAGUAUCCGUGGGUAUGAUUAUACGAUAUGCAUCACACAAUCUCAGAUUCAUCUAUUCAAACCAACACAAAGUACUUCAAAGAGUGCCCCAAAGUUUCUAUCAGAGAGUCAAGACGAAAACGUGUGCCAACCCCUAUGCAUAGGUUCAUGGGUGGAACCCGCAAGUUGAUCACCAAAACAUACAUUGAUACGUCUCCAACCUUUCUAUAAUUUUUGAUUGCUCCAUGCUAUAUUAUCUUCUGUUUUGGACAUUAUUGGGCUUUAUUAUUCACUUUUAUAUUAUUUUUGGGACUAACCUAUUAACCGGAGGCCCAGCCCAGAAUUGCUGUUUUUGCCUAUUUCAGAGUUUCACAGAAAAAGAAUAUGAAACGGAGUCCAAACGGAAUGAAACCUUCGGGAACGUGAUUUAUGGAACGAACAAGAUCCAGGAGACUUGGACCCUACGUCAAGCAACCAAUAGGGAGGCCACGAGGUAGGGGGCGCGCCUACCCCCCAGACGCGCUCUCUACCCUUGUGUCCCCCCUGUUGCUCCACCGACGUACUCCUUCCUCCUAUAUAUACCUACAUACCCCCAAACAAUCAGAUACAGAGCCAAAACCCUAAUUCCACCGUCGUAACUUUCUGUAUCCAUGAGAUCCCAUCUUGGGGCCUGUUCCGGAGCUCCGCCGGAGGGGGCAUCGAUCACGGAGGGCUUCUACAUCAACACCAUAGCCUCUCCGAUGAUGUGUGAGUAGUUUACCUCAGACCUUCGGGUCCAUAGUUAUUAGCUAGAUGGCUUCUUCUCUCUUUUUGGAUCUCAAUACAAUGUUCUCCCCCUCUCUCGUGGAGAUCUAUUCGAUGUAAUCUUCUUUUUGCGGUGUGUUCGUUGAGACCGAUGAAUUGUGGGUUUAUGAUCAAGUUUAUCUAUGAAAAAUAUUUGAUUCUUCUCUGAAUUCUUUUAUGUAUGACUGGUUAUAUUUGCAAGUCUCUUCGAAUUAUCAGUUUGGUUUGGUCUACUAGAUUGAUCUUUCUUGCAAUGGGAGAAGUGCUUAGCUUUGGGUUCAAUCUUGCGGUGUCCUUUCCCACUGGCAGUAGGGGCAGCAAGGCACAUAUUGUAUUGUUCCCAUCGAGGAUAACAAGAUGGGGUUUUUAUCAUAUUGCAUGAAUUUAUCCCUCUACGUCAUGUCAUCUUGCUUAAAGCAUUACCCUGUUCUUAUGAACUUAAUACUCUAGAUGCAUGCUGGAUAGCGGUCGAUGUGUGGAGUAAUAGUAGUAGAUGCAGGCAGGAGUCGGUCUACUUGUCUCGAGCGUGAUGCCUAUAUACAUGAUCAUACCUAGAUAUUCUCAUAACUAUGCUCAAUUUUGUCAAUUGCUCAACAGUAAUUUGUUCACCCACCGUAAAAUACUGAUGCUCUUGAGAGAAGCCACUAGUGAAACAUAUGGCCCCCGGGUCUAUCUUCCAUCAUAUUAAUCUUCCAACACUUAGUUAUUUUCAUUGACUUUUAUUUUACCUUGCAUCUUUAUCAUAAAAAUACCAAAAAUAUUAUCUUAUCAUAUCUAUCAGAUCUCACUCUCGUAAGUGACCGUGUAGGGAUUGACAACCCCUCAUCGCGUUGGUUGCGAUGAUUUAUUUGUUUUGUGUAGGUGCGAGGGACUCGCGCGUAGCCUCCUACUGGAUUGAUACCUUGGUUCUCAAAAACUAAGGAAAAUACUUACACUACUUUGCUGCAUCACCCUUUCCUCUUCAAGGGAAAACCAACGCGGUGCUCAAGAGGUAGCAAGAAGGAUUUCUGGCGCCGUUGCCGGGGAGGUAUACGCAAAAGUCAACAUACCAAGUACCCAUCACAAACCCUUAUCUUACGCAUUACAUUAUUUGCCAUUUGCCUCUCAUUUUCCUCUCCCCCACUUCACCCUUGCCGUUUUAUUCGCCCUCUCUCUCUAUCCUCCCUAUCUUUCUCUAUUAGCCUCUUUUUGCCCGUUCCUCGUUUGCUUGUGUGUUGGAUUGCUUGCUUGUCACGAUGGCUCAAGAUAACACUAAAUUGUGUGACUUUACCAAUACCAACAACAAUGAUUUUAUUAGCACUCUGAUUGCUCCUCUUACCGAUGCUGAAUCUUGUGAAAUUAAUGCCGCCUUCCUGAAUCUUGUCAUGAAAGAUCCGUUUUCCGGCCUUCCUAGUGAAGAUGCCGCUACCCAUCUAAAUAGCUUCGUUGAUUUAUAUGAUAUGCAAAAGAAGAAAGAUGUGGACAAUGAUAUUGUUAAAUUGAAGCUAUUUCCUUUUUCGCUUAGAGAUCGUGCUAAAGCUUGGUUUUCGUCUUUGCCUAAAGAUAGUAUUGAUUCUUGGAACAAGUGCAAAGAUGCUUUUAUCUCUAAGUAUUUUCCUCCCGCUAAGAUCAUCUCCCUUAGAAAUGAUAUUUUGAAUUUUAAGCAACUUUAUCAUGAACAUGUUGCACAAGCUUGGGAGAGGACGAAAUUAAUGAUACAUAAUUGAACAACACAUGGUUUGAAUUUAUGGAUGAUUAUACAAAUUUUUUAUGCCGGAUUGAAUUUUGCUUCUAGAAAUCUUUUAGAUUCGGCCGUGGGAGGCACUUAUAUGGAAAUCACUUUUGGAGAAGCUACUAAACUCCUAGAUAAUAUUAUGGCUAAUUAUUCUCAAUGGCACACUGAAAGAUCUACUAAUAAAAAAGUGUAUGCGAUAGAAGAAACUAAUGUUUUGAGUGGAAAGUUGGAAGAACUUAUGAAAUUAUUUGCUACUAAGAGUGUUUCUUUUGAUCCUAAUGAUAUGCCUUUGUCUACUUUUAUUGAGAAUAAUAAUGAAUCUAUGGAUGUGAAUUUUUUUGGUAGAAUUUUUUUUGGUAACAACACGCAUAGAGGAAACUUUAACCCUAGGCCUUAUCCUAGUAAUUCCUCUAAUAAUUAUGGUAAUUCCUACAACAAUUCUUAUGGAAAUUUUAAUAAGAUUCCCUCUGAAUUUGAGAUUAGUGUUAAGGAAUUUAUGAAUUCACAAAAUAAUUUCAAUGCUUUGCUUGAAGAGAAACUGCUUAAAGUUGAUGAUUUGGCUAGGAACGUUGAUAGAAUUUCUCUUGAUGUUGAUUCUUUAAAACUUAGAUCUAUUCCACCUAAGCAUGAUAUCAAUGAGUCUCUCAAAGCCAUGAGAAUUUCCAUUGAUGAGUGCAAAGAAAGAACCGCUAGGAUGCGUGCUAAGAAAGAUUCCUUUAUAAGAGCGUGUUCUUCUAGUUUCCAUGGUAAUAAAGAUGAAGAUCUAAAAGUUAUUGAUGUGUCCCCUAUUAAAUCUUUGUUUUGCAAUAUGAAUCUUGAUAAUGGUGGGACUGAAUAUGAUCCACCUUUACCUAGAAGGCGUUCCAAAAAUUCGGAGUUUUUAGAUCUUGAUGCUAAAUUUGAUAAAAGUGGGUUUGAAGAGAUCAGAACUCUAGAUGUUAAUGAACCUACUAUUUUGGAUUUCAAGGAAUUUAAUUAUUAUAGCUGCUCUUUGAUAGAUUGUAUUUCCUUGUUGCAAUUCAUGCUAAAUUCUCCUUAUGCUUAUAGUCAAAAUAAAGCUUUUACCAAACAUAUCGUUGAUGCUUUGAUGCAAUCUUAUGAAGAAAAACUUGAGUUGGCAGUUUCUAUCCCUAGAAAACUUUAUGAUGAGUGGGAACCAACUAUUAAAAUUAAAAUUAAAGAUCAUGAAUGCUAUGCUUUGUGUGAUUUGGGUGCUAGUGUUUCCAUGAUUCCAAGGACUUUGUGUGAUUUGUUAGGUUUUCCGUGAUUUUGAUGAUUGCUCUUUAAACUUGCACCUUGCGGAUUCCAAUAUUAAGAAACCUAUGGGAAGAAUUAAUGAUGUUCUUAUUGUUGCAAAUAGGAAGUAUGUGCCCGUAGAUUUUAUUGUUCUUGACAUAGAUUGCAAUCCUUCAUGUCCUAUUAUUUUUGGUAGACCUUUCGUUAGAAUGAUUGCUGCAAUUAUUGAUAUGAAGGAAGGAAAUAUUAGAUUCCAAUUUCCGUUAAGGAAAGGUAUGUAACACUUUCCUAGAAAGAAAAUUAAAUUACCUUAUGAAUCUAUUAUGAGAGCCACUUAUGGAUUGCCUACCAAAGAUGGCAAUACCUAUCUUUAUCCUUGCUUUUUAUGCCUAGCUAGGGGCGUUAAACGCUAGCGCUUGUUGGGAGGCAACCCAAUUUUAUUUUUAUUCCUUGCUUUUUGCUCCUGUUUAGUAAUAAAUAAUUUAUCUAGCCUCUGUUUUGGUUGUGUUUUUUGUGUUUAAUUAUUGUUUGUGCCAAGUAGAACCGUUGGGAAGACUUGGGGAAAGUCUUGUUAAUCUUGCUGUAAAAACAGAAACUUUAGCGCUCACGAUAACUGCUGCCAUUUUUAUUUGGAAAUUUCUAUUUAGUUCAUUAUUUUUGAAGAUGAUUAAUAGAUAAAUUCCUCCCGUCCAGAAAUUUAUUUUAGAAUUUUUGGGGUUCCAUAUCUUGCGCUAGCUACAGAUUACUACAGACUGUUCUGUUUUUGGCAGAUUCUGUUUUUCAUGUGUUGUUUGCUUAUUUUGAUGAAUCUAUGGCUAGUAAAGUAAUUUAUAAACCAUAGAGAAGUUGGAAUACAGUAGGUUUAACACCAAUAUAAAUAAAGAAUGAGUUCAUUACAGUACCUUGAAGUGGUCUUUUGUUUUCUUUCGCUAACGGGGCUCACGAGAUUUUCUACUUUAAGUUUUGUGUUGUGAAGUUUUCAAGUUUUGGGUAAGGAUUUGAUGGAUUAUGGAACAAGGAGUGGCAAGAGCCUAAGCUUGGGGAUGCCCAUGGCACCCCCAAGAUAAUCGAAGGACACCUAAAAGCCAAAGAUUGGGGAUGCCCCGGAAGGCAUCCACUCUUUCGUCUACUUCUAUCGGUAACUUUACUUGGAGCUAUAUUUUUAUUCACCACAUGAUAUGUGUUUGGCUUGGAGCGUCUUGUAUUAUUUGAGUAUUUAUUUGUUAGUUUUCCACAAUCAUCCUUGCUGCACACACCUUUUUUGAGAGAUACACACAUGAUUUGGAAAUUAUUAGAAUAUUAUAUGUGCUUCACUUAUAUCUUUUGAGUUAUAUAGUUUUGCUCUAGUACUUCACUUAUAUCUUUUAGAGCACGGUGGUGGAUUUGUUUUAUAGAAACUAUUGAUCUCUCAUGCUUCACUUAGAUUAUUUUGAGAGUCUUAAAUGACAUGGUAAUUUGCUUAAAUAAUCCUAAUAUGCUAGGUAUACAAGAUUAGUAAAAACUUUCUUAUGAGUGUGUUGAAUACUAAGAGAAGUUUGAUGCUUGAUGAUUGUUUUGAGAUAUAAAGAUGGUGAUAUUAGAGUCAUUAUAGUUGAGUAGUUGUGAAUUUGAGAGAUACUUGUGUAAAAGUUUGUGAUUCCCAUAGCAUGCACGUAUGGUGAACCUUUAUGUGAUGAAGUCGGAGCAUGAUUUAUUUAUUGAUUGUUCCUUAUGAGUGGCGGUCGGGGACGGGCGAUGGUCUUUUCCUACCAAUCUAUCCCCCUAGGAGCAUGCGCUUAAUACUUUGCUUUGAUAACUUGUAGAUUUUUGCAAUAAGUAUGUGAGUUCUUUAUGACUAAUGUUGAGUCCAUGGAUUAUACGCACUCUCACCCUUCCACCAUUGCUAGCCUCUCUAAUACCGCACACCUUUCGCCGGUAUCAUACACCCACCAUAUACCUUUCUCAAAACAGCCACCAUACCUACCUAUCAUGGCAUUUCCAUAGCCAUUCCGAGAUAUAUUGCCAUGCAACUUACCACCGUUCCAUUUAUUAUGACACACUUCAUCAUUGUCAUAUUGCUUUGCAUGAUCAUGUAGUUGACAUUGUAUUUGUGGCAAAGCCACCGUUCAUAAUUCUUUCAUACAUGUCACUCAUGAGUCAUUGCAUAUCCCGGUACACCGCCGGAGGCGUUCAUAUAGAGUCAUAUCUUGUUCUAAGUAUCGAGUUGUAAUUCUUGAGUUGUAAGAAAAUAAAAGUGUGAUGAUCAUCAUUAUUAGAGCAUUGCCCAGUGAGGGAAGGAUGAUGGAGACUAUGAUUCCCCCACAAGUCGGGAUGAGACUCCGGACGAAAAAAAGAGGCCAUAAAAAGGGAGAAAAGGCCCAAAUAAAAAAACACGAGAGAAAAAGAGAGAAGGGACAAUGCUACUAUCCUUUUACCACACUUGUGCUUCAAAGUAGCACCAUGAUCUUCAUGAUAGAGAGUCUCCUAUGAUAUCAGUUUCAUAUACUAGUGGGAAUUUUUCAUUAUAGAACUUGGCUUGCAUAUUCCAAUGAUGGGCUUCCUCAAAAUGCCCUAGGUCUUCGUGAACAAGCGAGUUGGAUGCACACCCACUUAGUUUCUUUUUGAGCUUUAAUAUACUUAUAGCUUUAGUGCAUCUGUUGCAUGGCAGUCCCUACUCACUCACAUUGAUAUCUAUUGAUGGACAUCUCCAUAGCCCGUUGAUACGCCUAGUUGAUGUGAGACUAUCUUCUCCCUUUUGUCUUCUCCACAACAACCAUUCUAUUCCACCUAUAGUGCUAUGUCCAUGGCUCACGCUCAUGUAUUGCGUGAAGAUUGAAAAAAGUUUGAGAAUGUCAAAAGUAUGAAACAAUUGCUUGGCUUGUCAUCGGGGUUGUGCAUGAUUUAAAUACUUUGUGUGGUGAAGAUAGAGCAUAGCCAUACUAUAUGAUUUUGUAGGGAUAACUUUCUUUGGCCAUGUUAUUUUGAGGAGACAUAAUUGCUUAGUUAGUAUGCUUGAAGUAUUAUUAUUUUUAUGUCAAUAUUAAACUUUUGUCUUGAAUCUUUAGGAUCUGAAUAUUCAUACCACAAUUAAGAAGAAUUACAUUGAAAUUAUGCCUAGUAGCAUUACACAUCAAAUAUUCUGUUUUUAUCAUUUACCUACUCGAGGACGAGCAGGAAUUAAGCUUGGGGAUGCUUGAUACGUCUCCAACGUAUCUAUAAUUUUUGAUUGCUCCAUGCUAUAUUAUCUUCUGUUCUGGACAUUAUUGGGCUUUAUUAUUCACUUUUAUAUUAUUUUUGGGACUAACCUAUAACCGGUGGCCCAUCCCAGAAUUGCUGUUUUUUUUGCCUAUUUCAGAGUUUCGUAGAAAAAGAAUAUCAAAUGGAGUGCAAAUGGGAUGAAACCUUCGGGAACAUGAUUUGUGGAACGAACAAGAUCAAAGAGACUUGGACCCUACAUCAAGCAACCAAUAGGGAGGCCACGAGGUAGGGGGGCGCGCCUACCCCCCUAGGCACGCCCUCCACCCUCGUGGGCCCCCUGUUGCUCCACCGACGUACUCCUUCCUCCUAUAUAUACCUACGUACCCCCAAACAACCAGAUACGGAGCCAAAACCCUAAUUCCACCGCCGUAACUUUUUGUAUCCACGAGAUCCCAUAUUGGGGCCUGUUCCGAAGCUCCGCCGGAGGGGGCAUCGAUCACGGAGGGCUUCUACAUCAACACCAUAGCCUCUCUGAUGAUGUGUGAGUAGUUUACCUCAGACCUUCGGGUCCAUAGUUAUUAGCUAGAUGGCUUCUUCUCUCUUUUUGGAUCUCAAUACAAUGUUCCCCCCCUCUCUUGUGGAGAUCUAUUCGAUGUAAUCUUCUUUUUGCGGUGUGUUUGUUGAGACCGAUGAAUUGUGGGUUUAUGAUCAAGUUUAUCCAUGAACAAUAUUUGAUUCUUCUCUGAAUUCUUUUAUGUCUGAUUGGUUAUCUUUGCAAGUCUCUUUGAAUUAUCAGUUAUGUUUGGCCUACUAGAUUGAUCUUUCUUGCAAUGGGAGAAGUGCUUAGCUUUGGGUUCAAUCUUGCGGUGUCCUUUCCCAGUGACAGUAGGGGCAGCAAGGCACGUAUUGUAUUGUUGCCAUCGAGGAUAACAAGAUGUUUUUUUAUCAUAUUGCAUGAAUUUAUCCCUCUACAUCAUGUCAUCUUGCUUAAAGCGUUACUCUGUUCUUAUGAACUUAAUACUCUAGAUGCAUGCUGGAUAGCGGUCGAUGUGUGGAGUAAUAGUAUUAGAUGCAGGCAGGAGUCGGUCUACUUGUAUCGGACGUGAUGACUAUAUACAUGAUCAUACCUAGAUAUUCUCAUAACUAUGCUCAAUUAUGUCAAUUACUCAACAGUAAUUUGUUCACCCACCGUAAAAUACUUAUGCUCUUGAGAGAAUCCACUAGUGAAACCUAUGGCCCCCAGGUCUACCUUCCAUCAUAUUAAUCUUCCAACACUUAGUUAUUUUCAUUGCCUUUUAUUUUACCUUGUAUCUUUAUCAUAAAAAUACCAAAAAUAUUAUCUUAUCAUAUCUAUCAGAUCUCACUCUUGUAAGUGACCGUGUAGGGAUUGACAACCCCUUAUCGCGUUGGUCGCGAGGAUUUAUUUGUUUUGUGUAGGUGCGAGGGACUCGCGUGUAGCCUCCUACCGGAUUGAUAUAUUGGUUCUCAAAAACUGAGGGAAAUACUUAUGCUACUUUGCUGCAUCACCCUUUCCUCUUCAAGGGAAAACCAAUGCAGUGCUCAAGAGGUAGCAUACAUCAAGUGGAUCAAUAGAAUACCCCAUUGUCACCACGGGUAUCCCACGCAAGACAUACAUCAAGUGUUCUCAAAUCCUUAAAGACUCAAUCCGAUAAGAUAACUUCAAAGGGAAAACUCAAUCCAUUACAAGAGAGUAGAGGGGGGAGAAAACAUCAUAAGAUCCAACUAUAAUAGCAAAGCUCGUAAUACAUCAAGAUCGUAUCAUCUCAAGAACACGAGAGAGAGAGAUCAAACACAUAGCUACUGGUACAUACCCUCAGCCCCGAGGGAGAACUACUCCCUCCUCGUCAUGGAGAGCACCGGGAUGAUGAAGAUGGCCACCGAAGAGGGAUUCCCCCUCCGGUAGGGUGCCAGAAUGGGUCUAGGUUGGUUUUCGGUGGCUACGAAGGCUUCUGGUGGCGGAACUCACGAUCUAUUGUGCUCCCCAAAGUUUUUAGGGUAUAUUGGUAUAUAUAGGAGGAAGAAGUACGUCGGUGGAUCUCCGGCUGUCCACGAGGCAGGGGGUGCGCCCAGGGGGGUGGGUGCGUCCCCCACCCUCGUUGGCAGCUCGGGACUCUCCUGGUCCAUCUCCGAUACUCCAUGGGCUUAUUAUGGUCCAAAAAUAAGUUCAGUGAAGUUUCAGGCGAUACUCUAAAACAUGGAAAAAAACAGAAACUGGCACUGGGCUCUAGGUUAAUAGGUUAGACCCAAAAAUCAUAUAAAAUAGCAUAUAAACGCAUAUAAAACAUCCAAGGUUGAUAAUAUAAUAGCAUGGAACAAUCAAAAAUUAUAGAUACGUUGGAGACGUAUCAGCAUCCCCAAGCUUAAUUCCUGCUUGUCCUCGAGUAGGUAAAUGAUAAAAAUAGAAAUUUUGAUGUGGAAUGCUACCCAACAUAUUUCUCUAUGUAAUUCUUCUUUAUUUUGGCAAGAAUAUUCAGAUCCAUAAGAUUCAAGAAUUUUUUUUAAUAUUGACAUAAAAAUAAUAAUACUUCAAGCAUACUAACAAAGUAAUCAUGUCUUCUCAAAAUAACAUGGCCAAAGAAAGCUAUCCCUAUAAAAUCAUAUAGUCUAGCUAUGCUCCAUCUUCACCACACAAUGUAUUUAAAUCAUGCACAACCCCGAUGACAAGCCCAACAAUUGUUUCAUACUUUUAAUGUUCUCAAACUUUUUCAAUCUUCACGCAAUAUAUGAGCGUGAGCCAUGGAUAUAGCACUAUAUGUGGAAUAGAAGGGUGGUUGUGGAGAAGACAAAAAGGGAGAAGAUAGUCUCACAUCAACUAGGCGUAUUAACGGGCUAUGGAGAUGCCAAUCAACAUAUAUCAAUGUGAGUGAGUAGGCAUUGCCAUGCAACGGAUUCACAAGAGCUAUAAGUGUAUGAAAGCUCAAAAAGAAACUAAGUGGGUGUGCAUCCAACUCGCUUGCUCACGAAGACCUAGGGCAUUUUGAGAAAGCCCAUCAUUGGAAUAUACAAGCCAAGUUCUAUAAUGAAAGAUUCCCACUAGUAUAUGAAAGUGAUAACAUAGGAGACUCUCUAUCAUGAAGAUCAUGGUGCUACUUUGAAGCACAAGUGUGGUAAAAGGAUAGCUGCAUUGUCCCUUCUCUCUUUUUCUCUCAUUUUUUUAUUUGGGCCUUUUCUAUUUUUUUAUGGCCUCUCUUUUUAGCCUGGAGUCUCAUCCCGACUUGUGGGGGAAUCAUAGUCUCCAUCAUCCUUUCCUCACUUGGGACAAUGCUCUAAAAUGAUGAUCAUCACACUUUUAUUUACUUACAACUCAACAAUUACAACUCAAUACUUAGGACAAAAUAUGGCUCUUAUGUCAAUGCCUUCGGCGGUGUACCGGGAUGGGCAAUGAAUCAUGAGUGACAUGUAUGAAGAUUUAUGAAUGAUGGCUUUGCCACAAAUAUGAUAUCAACUACAUGAUCAUGCAAGCAAUAUGAUAAUGAUGAAGCAUGUCAUAAUAGACGGAACGAUGGUAAGUUGCAUGGCGAUAUAUCUCGGAAUGGCUAUGGAAAUGCCAUGAUAGGUAGGUAUGGUGGCUCUUUUGAGAGGGUAUAUGGUGGGUUUAAGGUACCGGCAAAAGUUGAGCGGUACUAGAGAGGCUAGCAGUGGUGGAAGGGUGAGAGUGCGUAUAAUCCAUGGACUCAACAUUAGUCAUAAAGAACUCACAUACUUAUUGCAAAAAUCUAUUAGUUAUUGAAACAAAGUAUUACGCGCAUGCUCCAUGGGGGAUAGAUUGGUAGGAAAAGACCAUCGCUCAUCCCCGACCGCCACUCAUAAGGAAGACAAUCAAUAAAUAAGUCAUGCUCCGACUUCAUCACAUAACGGUUCACCAUACGUGCAUGCUACGGGAAUCACAAACUUCAACACAAGUAUUUAUCAAAUUCAUAAACACCCAACUAGCAUGACUCUAAUAUCACCAUCUUCAUAUCUCAAAACAAUCAUCGAGUAUCAAACUUCUCAUAGUAUUCAAUGCACUUUAUAUGAAAGUUUUUAUUAUACCAAUCUUGGAUGCCCAUCAUAUUAGGACUAAAUUCAUAACCAAAGCAAAUUAGAAUGCUAUUUAGGACUCUCGAAAUAAUAUAAGUGACGCAUGAGAGUUCAUCUAUUUCUAUAAAAUAAAACCACCACCGUGCUCUAGAAAGAUAUAAGUGAAGCACUAGAGCAAGAGCAAACUACUCCGAAAGAUAUAAGUGAAGAUCAAUGAGUAGUCAAAUAAUUCUGCAACUAUGUGAAGACUCUCUAACAUUUCAUAAUUUCAGAUCUUGGUAUUUUAUUCAAACAGCAAGCAAAACAAAAGAAAAUAAAAUGACGCUCCAAGCAAAACACAUAUCAUGUGGUGAAUAAAAAUAUAGCUCCAAGUAAAGUUACCGAUGAACGAAGACGAAAGAGGGGAUGCCUUCCGGGGCAUCCCCAAGCUUAGGCUUUUGGUUGUACUUGAAUAUUACCUUGGGGUACCUUGGGCAUCCCCAAGAUUAGGCUCUUGCCACUCCUUGUUCCAUAAUCCAUCGAAUCUUUACCCAAAACUUGAAAACUUCACAACACAAAACUUAACAGAAAACUCGUAAGCUCCGUUAGUAUAAGAAAAUAAAUCACCACUUAGGUACUGUUGUGAACGCAUUCUAAAUUCAUAUUGGUGUAAUAUCUACUGUAUUCCAACUCAUCUAUGGUUCAUACCCUCCGAUACUACUCAUAGAUUCAUCAAAAUAAGCAAACAACACAUAGAAAACAGAAUCUGUCAAAAACAGAACAAUCUGUAGUAAUAUGGAUCAAACGUAUACUUGUGUAAAUCAUAAAAUUCUAAAAUAAAUUGUUGGACCUGAGUAAUUUGUCUAUUAAUACUCUUCCAAAAUAAUUAACUUAAUAGCACUCUCCAGUAAAAAAUGGCAGCAAUUCUCGUGAGUGCUAAAGUUUUUGUUUUUUACAGCAAGAUCAACAAGACUUUCCCCAAGUCUUCCCAAAGGUUCUACUUGGCACAAACACUAAUUAAAACAUAAAACCACAUAUAACCAGAGGCUAGAUAUAUUAUUUAUCACUAAACAGGAGCAAAAAUGAAGGGACAAAAAUAAAAUUGGGUUGCCUCCCAACAAGCGCCAUCGUUUAACGCCCCCAGAUAGGCAUGAUGAUUUCAAUGAUGCUCACAUAAAAGAUAAGAAUUGUAACAUAAAGAGAGCAUCAUGAAGAACAUGACUAGAAAAUUUAAGUCUAACCAACUUCCUAUGCAUAAGGAUUUUGUGAGCAAACAACUUAUAGGAACAAUAAUCAACUAGCAUAGGAAGGCAAAACAAGCAUAACUUUAAAACUUUAAGCACAUAGAGAGGAAACUUGAUAUUAUUGCAAUUACUACAAGCAUAUGUUCCUCCCUCAUAAUAAUUUUCAGUAGCAUCAUGAAUGAAUUCAACAAUAUAACUAUCACAUAAAGAAUUCUUUUCAUGAUCUACAAGCAUAUAAUUUUUAUUACUCUCCACAUAAGCAAAUUUAUUGUCAUGGAUAAUAGUGGGAGCAAACUCAACAAAAUAACUAUCAUGUGAGGCAUAAUCCAAUUGAAAACUAAAAUCAUGAUGACAAGUUUCAUGGAUAUCAUUAUUCUUUAUAGCAUAGAAGUCAUCACAAUAAUCAUCAUAGAUAGAAACUUUGUUCUCAUAAUCAAUUGGAACCUCUUCUGAAAUAGUGGAUUCAUCACAAAAUAAAGUCAUGACCUCUCCAAAUCCACUUUCAUCAAUAUAAUCAUCAUAAAUAGGAGGCAUGCUUUCAUCAUAAUAAAUUUGCUCAUCAAAACUUGGGGGACAAAAAUAUCAUCUUCAUCAAACAUAGCUUCCCCAAGCUUGUGGCUUUGCAUAUCAUUAGCAUCACGGAUAUUCAAAGAAUUAAUACUAACAACAUUGCAAUCAUGCUCAUCAUUCAAAGAUUUAGUGCCAAACAUUCUAAUGCAUUCUUCUUCUAACACUUUGGCAAAAUUUGCCUUUCCAUCAUACUCAUGAAAGAUAUUAAAAAGAUGAAGCGUAUGAGACAAACUCAAUUCCAUUUUUAGUUUUCUUUUAUAAACUAAACUAGUGCUAAAACAAGAAACAAAAAGAUUCAAUUGCAAUAUCUCAAGAUAUACCUUCAAGCGCUAACCUCCCCAGCAAUGGCGCCAGAAAAGAGCUUGAUGUCUACUACACAACCUUCUUCUUGUAGACAUUGUUGGGCCUCCAAGUGCAGAGGUUUGUAGGACAGUAGCAAAUUUCCCUCAAGUGGAUGACAUAAGGUUUAUCAAUCCGUAGGAGGCGUAGGAUGAAGAUGGUCUCUCUCAAAUAACUCUGCAACCAAAUAACAAAGAGUCUCUUGUGUCCCCAACACACCCAAUACAAUGGUAAAUUGUAUAGGUGCACUAGUUCGGUGAAGAGAUGGUGAUACAAGUGCAAUAUGGAUGAUAGAUAUGGGUAUUUGUAAUCUGAAAAUAUAAGAACAGCAAGGUAACUAAUAAUAAAAGUGAGCACAAACGGUAUUGCAAUGCUAGGAAAUAAGGCCUAGGGUUCAUACUUUCACUAGUGCAAGUUCUCUCAACAAUAAUAACAUAAUUGGAUCAUAUAACUAUCCCUCAACAUGCAACAAAGAGCCACUCCAAAGGCACUAAUAGCGGAGAACAAACGAAGAGAUUAUGGUAGGGUACGAAACCACCUCAAAGUUAUCCUUUCUGAUCGAUUUAUUCAAGAGUCCGUAGUAAAAUAACAUGAAGAUAUUCUUUCCGUUCAAUCUAUCAUAGAGUUCGUACUAGAAUAACACCUUAAGACACAAAUCAACAAAAACCCUAAUGUCACCUAGAUACUCCAAUGUCACCUCAAGUAUCCGUGGGUAUGAUUAUACGAUAUGCAUCACACAAUCUCAGAUUCAUCUAUUCAAACCAACACAAAGUACUUCAAAGAGUGCCCCAAAGUUUCUACAGGAGAGUCAAGACGAAAACGUGUGCCAAACCCUAUGCAUAGGUUCAUGGGCGGAACCCACAAGUUGAUCACCAAAACAUACAUCAAGUGGAUCAAUAGAAUACCCCAUUGUCACCACGGGUAUCCCUCACAAGACAUAUAUCAAGUGUUCUCAAAUCCUUAAAGACUCAAUCCGAUNNNNNNNNNNNNNNNNNNNNNNNNNNNNNNNNNNNNNNNNNNNNNNNNNNNNNNNNNNNNNNNNNNNNNNNNNNNNNNNNNNNNNNNNNNNNNNNNNNNNNNNNNNNNNNNNNNNNNNNNNNNNNNNNNNNNNNNNNNNNNNNNNNNNNNNNNNNNNNNNNNNNNNNNNNNNNNNNNNNNNNNNNNNNNNNNNNNNNNNNNNNNNNNNNNNNNNNNNNNNNNNNNNNNNNNNNNNNNNNNNNNNNNNNNNNNNNNNNNNNNNNNNNNNNNNNNNNNNNNNNNNNNNNNNNAUAGCAAAGCUCGCGAUACAUCAAGUUCGUAUCACCUCAAGAACACGAGAGAGAAAUCAAAUACAUAGCUACUGGUGCAUACCCUCAGCCCUGAGGGAGAACUACUCCCUCCUCGUCAUGGAGAGCACCGGGAUGAUGAAGAUGGCCACCGGAGAUGGAUUCCCCCUCCGACAGGGUGCCGGAACGGGUCUAGAUUGGUUUUCGGUGGCUACAGAGGCUUCUGGCGGCGGAACUUCCUAUCUAUUAUGCUCCCCAAAGUUUUUAGGGUAUAUGGGUAUAUAUAGGAGGAAGAAGUACGUCGGUGGAUCUCCCUGCUAUCCACGAGGCAGGGGGCGCGCCCCCACCCUCAUGGGAAGCCCGGGACUCUCCUGGUUCAUCUCCGAUACUCCGUGGGCUUCUUCUAGUCCAAAAAUAAGUUCCGUGAAGUUUCAGGUCAAUUGAACUCUGUCUGAUUUUCCUUUUCUACGAUACUCUAAAACAAGGAAAAAACAAAAACUGGCACUGGGCUCUAGGUUAAUAGGUUAGACCCAAAAAUCAUAUAAAAUAGCAUAUAAAUGCAUACAAAACAUCCAAGGUUGAUAAUAUAAUAGCAUGGAACAAUAAAAAAUUAUAGAUACGUUGGAGACGUAUCAGGGGGCCAUCCGUUUCUUCAUGUCAAGGUGAACUCUGUACGCAGACCUCACUGAAAAUAAGCCCUUGCUAUCGAAUUGCCAAGCCAAAAAGUCCUCAUGUUGCUCAAAAAUUGGAAUCUUUAGUACUAUAUCAGUCUCUUCCGGAUUGAACAUUUGUCUAACCAACAGCUCAUCCCAGGAGUGUGUAUACGGGUCGAUAAGCUCUGAGAUUUUAUUCAGGAUGGUAUUGUGAUGGGGAGACCUUGGGAACCGAACAACACCAGUAGGGAGCAAGGGGUCCUGCCAGAUCCGGAUAUGCUCACCCGAACCCACCCUCCACACCAUCCCCUCCUUCACGAUGGACACCCCUUGAAGGAUGCUCUGACAAACAUAACUGAUGCCCAGGGUCGCUGUAGCUGCAAAAAUGUCGCCGUCCGGGUAGUAUUUAGCACGUAGAACACGAGCAUAGAGCGAGUCCGGUGCCUGGAUCAGCCUCCAAACUUGGCGAGACAACAUUGCAAUAUUGAAUGCGUGUAGAUCCCUAAACCCAAGCCCUCCCUGUUAUUUCGGAUGGGUCAUCUUCUCCCAGCCAACCCAGUGAUGUUUAUGCUCAUCUCUUGGUUAUCCCACCAAAAACGGCAGAUCAUGUGGCUAAUACUCUCACACAAGGACUUUGCCAGAUCAAAACAGGCCAUGGCAUAGGCUGGAAUUGCUUGGGUAACCAUUUUUAUUAGGAUUUCCUUACCCUUCUUUGACAAAAUCUUGAUUUUAUAACCCUGAAGUAGGUCCCGGAUUCUAUCUCGGAGGCAUUCAAAAGCAGGCCUGACGAGCCUUGCCCACAUAGCGAGGCAGCCCCAAAUACUUGCCCUGUUGACCUUCGUUCUGUAGGCCGAGAAGAUGCAGUAAGGUUUGUUACCUAAGCUGCGGCGUGUUCUUGCUGAAGAGCACGGAAGACUUUUCCCGAUUAAUAAUUUGGCCCAACCCCUUCUCAUAUACUUCAAGAAUUUCAUUCACUAUGGACACACUCUCUUCGGUGGCCUCCAACAACAGCAAGGAAUCAUCAGCGAAAAGCAGGUGUGUGACGGUAGGGGCCUCAGGUGCUACUUUGAUGCCUCUAAUCGAACCCAUGGAUUCUUCAUGAUCAAGCAAAGCGGAGAAACCCUCAACACAAAUAAGAAAUAAGUAUGGAGAAAUUGGGUCUCCCUGCCUCAAACCUUGUCCUGGAAUAACUGUCUCGGUACAAGACCCAUUUACCUUAAAUCUGUAGCGUACAGUACGCAUACACUUGCUGAUUUGUUCCACAAAGGCAUUAUCAAAACCCAACCGUGUCAUGAUCUUCUGCAUAAAAUCCCAGUUCACCCUGUCGUAGGCUUUACUCAUAUCAAGUUCGAGUGCCGCAUAGCUAGUGGCUCCAGUUCUCUUUCUCUUCAAAAAGUGUAUCAUCUCAUAAGCCAAAAUAGUGUUAUCGGAAAUGAGCCUGCCGGGCACGAACACACUCUGGUUUGGUGAUACGAUAUCUCCCAGUAUGCACUUCAGUCUGUUGGCCAAAACCUUGGACACGAGCUUAUACACAACAUUACAGAGGCUAAUAGGGCGUAGAUCCUUCAAUCUUUUUGGGUUCUGGACCUUUGGGAUAAGCAUCACAAGGGUGUCAUUCCAUCCCUCCGGAAUACUGCCGGCUCGUAAUACUUGUAAAACCUCGCGCACAACAACAUCAUCACCAAUCAACUGCCAAUAGUGCUUAUAGAAGAUCGCUGGUAAGCCAUCAACGCCCGGUGCUUUGAGAUCACCAAUGUUAUCUAGAGCCUUCUUAACCUCCUCUGUAGUAAAAUCCGCCGUUAAGUACUCGUUCAUUUGGGCAGAGACUUUUGGUGCUAUGUUAUUUAGAAUUACUGCAGCGUCAGCAUCUGCCAUGGCGGUAAAUAAGCUAGAAAAAUAAUUAGUAAUGAGGGCCUUCAAGCCCUCCUCCCCAGUCACCACCACCCCGUCCUCCCUCACCAGCUUGGUUAUGGUAUUUUUCCGCCUCUGUUCAGACGCAUACACCUGGAAAUAUUUAGUGUUGCAGUCUCCUUUAGACAACCAAUCAGCAUGUGCCCUUUGCCGGCUUGCCACAUCAAUCUGUUCCUCAAGUCUCUCAAGCUUGUAUUUGACUGUUAGCUCCUUCUGAAUCAUAUUCUGUGACAAAGGUAGCCGCCGGAUCUCCUCUAGUUCCAGUUUCAGAAUCCUUGCUCGUUUUUGUAAAUCACCCAAAACAUCCCGACUCCAUACAUGUAAUGCGUUAUUGACGGCUGCAAGUCUUCUAGCCACUGAAGGACCAGUAGCUCUCUCCCAUUACUGACGAACCAAGUUGUCGCAGUCCUCCUCAAGUAACCACCGGGCUUCAAAUCGCUUCAUCUGUGUACCACCUCCCUUAUUCAUCAUCCGCCAACUGCCAUCAACCCAUAGAGAAAUAGGUCUAUGGUCCGAGUGUUCAGGAUAACCAUUAACGACUUUAUAGUGGGGAAAACAUGCACACCACGUUGGGGUAGCCACCACUCUGUCAAGGCGCUCACGGAUAUAACCAUCAAUGCGAUAAUUGUUAUUCCUCCAGGUGAAAACAUCACCCUCAAAACCAAGGUCUUUAAGAUUACAAAAAUCAAAAGCAUCACGAAAGUUUUGAUUACCUUACAUGGAUGUUCACUCAACUUGGACGAAAAACUCAGUUUGGUCACUGGACUUAGAGUUAUGUUGUUUACAAUCACUAAGGUGGUUUUAUUGAAUAGAACUUGCUACUAUUUGUUUCAAAGAAGAACUCCACCAAUGCCUAUUAUAUGAUAGACACGAUUGAUAUUUGAACCAGUAAAUAAAGUAUGCCCCACACUGAUACGCACGGACAAUUUAACUUUUUUUUGCGGGAGAGUACAAUUUAACCAGUAACUAAAAAAAUGCAAGACAUAAUCCAGGAGGCUAUCUCAUUUGCCCGCGCGUUAACAAGGAACUGAUUAAUACAUGAAGAUGUAAUAGGUAAAAAAUACUUCUAGAACAUUUUGAUAAGGAAAGAAUAAAUACAUGAAGAUAUGAUAGGCAAAAAUUGAUUAUAAAGUAUUUGCCAAAACAUUAAUAUAGGAAAUAAUAAAAUGUCAUUAAAUCCAUUCUCCGAUCUCUAUAUAAAGACUAGCACGCCCUAUUCCGGUGACAGCGUCGCUACAGAAGGACAACAACGCUACAAAGAGAAGGAUCCCCAACAUGACGAGCACCAGAGACAACACUCGCGUUUUGUGCUUGAUGGCUCUCGUGGCCAUGUCUACCACCAUCAUUUCCUGCCAUGCAGCAGGUACCUACUCCCUUCAUUCACAAAUGUAACAUAUUAUAUAUAUUUUUAUGCAUACUACAUAUAGACUGAAAUAAGUGAGCAAACAUACUAAAAUGCACCCAUAUACAUUUAAAUCAAAAAAAAGUCAUCAUAGAAUGCUUUUACCACGCUUGCCACAUGGUGUAUUUAUUCUCUCUUUCAUGUGCAAAAUGAAUUACUUUCUUCAAUCUAAAUUCAUCAAAAUUCUAGCUUUAUCAAAAAAACUUUAUCAAAAUUCUAGCUUUGUCCUAGGUUUAAUCUUUUCAAUUUUGAUCAAGUUUAUAGAGAAAUAUGCUAAUACUUACGACAUCAAAUAUAUACUAUGGAUACAUAUUUUAUGAUGGAACUAAUUUGGUGUUGUAGAUGUUGAAAUUUUCUCUAUAGACUUGGUCAAACUUAAAGAAGUCUGACUUAAGAUAAAGUUGGAAUUAUAACUAUUUUCUGGAAGGAAGGAAGCACCCUGGUAAUCGAUUGCUAUGCAAUAUAAAUGCACUAACGUGGUUAUCACUCCAUUGUUCGUAGGUACAACAGGUCUAGGUAUAACAAGCACUUUUACGAAAUUGUGUGUAGCCGCAAAAGGUUGUGCGCCCCCAAUCCAACCUAGUGGCAACGUUCCGUGCAAGGCUUAUUGUGUAGGCCAAGGUUACAAUAAGGAUAAAAGCUAUUGCUCACCAGAUAAUGGCGGCCUGUGCUGCUGCUAAAAGUAAUGAAUUACAUGUAUUGCCAUGUGCUGGAAAUAUAUGGUGUACCGUUGAGAAUAUCUAUCUAUGCACAUCGGAAAUUACUUCACAUGAAGAAUAAUCAAUAUAUAUACACUUCCGCUUCGAUACACCCCCCGCCCCCUAAACACACGGCUGUGAUUACCGUAUACCCCUUUAUAAUGAUGGGCAUGAUGCUUUGCCGCUCCACUACGCUGCUCUUUUAUUAAAAAAUAGCAUAAAAUUUAUAAGAACAAACUAGGCCGAAGCGUAAGACCGGUCCAUCGGCCCAUCAAUCUCGAUCUCCCAAGAGAACGUUAUGUGUUUUAUGCGCACUUCUAAGGGCUCGAGUCUGUCAAAGCGACGGCCUGUGUAUUUCCCUCAUGUUAGGGUUUCGCUUCUCUCGCCGCCUCUGGCGACGUUGAGGUUUACCAUUCCUCGCGCCGGUGGAAUCGGGGCCUGCUUCGCCGGGAUCGGGGCAGCCCUGCGCUACCAAGUUUCGGGGGCUGGUCUUGCAUCGCCGGGUCGCUAAGGUUUUUCCUUUUUCUCGGGGAGAUCGGCUUGUCUACGGGUCUAUUCGCGAUGACAGGCAAGGGGAAAUCAUGGGCGGAUGGCCGCAAGGGCAAGGGCAAUUUGGAGGAGAUGAUGAGAGAGCUGGCCCUCAAGGAAGACGAUCUAGAUGAUGUGAUCUUCGAGGAUGAUGAUGCCCCAGCAGAGGAGGCGCUCCGCUGAAUGAUCUUAGCCCGAGUCCAUAUGGACAAGGGUUUCAACAACUAUUGGUUUUUUAACAACAUGAGAUCAGCAUGGGAUCUUGCCAGGCCAGUCAAGAUAAAAACCCUGGAGGAAAACCUUUUUCAGAUGCAGUUUGAUUGCUUGGGGGACUGGGAGCGAGUAACCCAGGGUGGCCCAUGGCACUUCAGGGGGAAUCCAGUCCUCAUCGCCCCGUAUGAUGGAUUCUCAAAACCAUCUUCGAUUGAGCUGUGGACGUUCGAGAUAUGGGCAAGGAUCAUCGAGCUUCCAAUCGCCUACCCUGGGAAGGUUCAGGCGCUUGCAUCAAAGAUUGGGAAGUUUGUCGACUCCGAGCCUUCUUCUUUUUUAUUUCGAAGGAAACUUCUACAGAGUAAGAGUUAGAUUGGACGUUCAUCAUCCGCUGAAGAAGGCUAUAUCCUUGAUUCGGGGAGGACAGAGGGAAAUUUUUGCGGUGAAGUUCGAGCGACUGCCAAACUGGUGUCAAGUUUGCGGCAUGAUGGGGCAUGCGUUCAAAGAACAUGGCGACGGGGUGCAUCCCCCUUAUGCUCUUGUGUUCAAAAAUCUAAGGGCUCCGGUGACCACUGCCUGGGGAACCCGGCGCCGAAGCAGGAACCAGCAGAAUAGCUAUCAGAACCAGAAGGAGGAGCAUGUGGUGCAUAAUCCAGUGACAAGCCAGGAAGCAGAAGCUGCUGAAGGGAUGGACCUGGAUAAUAUCAAGAAGCGCUCAUCUGACCAGGUCAUUGGCUCCCCGAACGCAUUUCUGACGGGUCGGGAACUGGUACCGGUGUCGAAGCCAGGUGGGAGUACGGUGCCAAUCAGCCCACCACCGAAGCAAGACCCAAAGCGCUCAAAACUCAUGGGUCAGUCGGUGAAGAUAGCAAGUUCAGGAGAAACGGAUGGGACAACUGGUACGGUGAAGAAGAACCCCACUGGGGGAAAGGGCUUGGAUGCGAUAUCGGCGGCCUCCGCGACGGAGGACAGCCGAAUGCAAUGAAUCUUCUAUGCUAGAACUGCCGGGGGAUUGGCAACGCCCCGACAAUUCAAGAGCUGCGCGAACUCGCGAAUAAGUUUGCCCCUAGAGUGCUUUGUAUAGUUGAAACCCAAAUCAGUGGGGAGAGAGCUAAAAAUUUAAAAAGUUCUUUAGGUUACGAUUGUUCUUUUGCUGUUGAUGCCUCCGGUAGGAGUGGAGGUUUGGCUGUUUUUUGGAAUAAUGAAAUAAAAGUCGAUAUUUUGGGUUUCUCUAAGUACCAUAUUGAUGGCAAGGUUCUAGGUGUAGGAGAUCAACCUUGGAGGCUCUCUUGUUGAAAGUGCAACUACCCUAGGUGGUUUUGGUAAUUCAUAACAACAUAUAGCUCAUUGAGCUAAUGCUAUUCCAAGAUGAUUAUUUCAGGAAAGCUCAAUGAUUGGCAUGGCAUGGAUGUGAAAGUGGAACCCUCAAAAUGCUAAGGACAAAGGAUUGGCUCAAGCUCAAAAGCUCAAGACUCUUCAUUUUAUAUUUUAGUGAUCCAAGAUCACAUUGAGUCUUUAGGAAAAGCCAAUACUAUCAAGGAGGGAUGAGGUGUUGCUUAAUGAGCCUCUUGCUUCAUGUGCUUAGUGAUAUGCUCCAAAACCCUCAACUACUUUCCCCAUAUCCACAUAUGACCUAAACCCUAAGCCAAACUCGGUCCUACCGAUUCUUUCUAUCCGGUGCCACCGAGUUUCACUUGUCAUAAGCCACUGCCAAACCCUAGCAAUUCGGUUCUACCGAUAGGGAUCUCGGUCUCACCGAGAUGGGAUUGCAAACUCUCUAUUUCCCUUUCGUAACUUUUUGGUCUCACGAAAGAGCGAAUCGGUCCCACUGAGAUUGCAGUGUAAACUCUUUGUUUCAUUUUUGUAACUUUUCGGUCUCACCGAAAGAGCAAAUCGAUCCCACCGAGUUUACCUGACCAACUCUCUGGUUAGCUUAUUACCAAACUCGGUCUCACCAAGUUUGUGUAAUCGGUCUCACCGAGAUUACGUUAUGCCCAAACCCUAACCAUAUCGGUCCUACCGAGUUGCAUGUCAGUCCCACCGAAAAUCUCUAACGGUCACUAGGUUUACCUUUUCGGUCCGACCGAGUUUUUUGAUUCGGUCCCACCGAGAUUGGAAAACUAUGUGUAACGGUUGGAUUUUGUGUGGAGUCUAUAUAUACCCCUCCACCUCCUCUUCAUUCGUGGAGAGAGCCAUCAGAACACAUACACAAUUCCAACUCAUAUGUUCUGAGAGAGAACCACCUACUCAUGUGUUGAGACCAAGAUAUUCCAUUCCUACCAUAUGAAUCUUGAUCUCUAGCCUUCCCCGAGUUGCUUUCCACUCAAAUCUUCUUUCCACCAGAUCCAAAUCCUAUGAGAGAGAGUUGAGUGUUGGGGAGACUAUCAUUUGAAGCACAAGAGCAAGGAGUUCAUUACCUACACACCAUUUGUUACUUCUUGGAGAGUGGUGUCUCCUAGAUUGGCUAGGUGUCACUUGGGAGCCUCCGACAAGAUUGUGGAGUUGAACCAAGGAGUUUGUAAGGGCAAGGAGAUCACCUACUUCGUGAAGAUCUACCGCUAGUGAGGCAAGUCCUUCGCGGGCGAUGGCCAUGGUGGGAUAGACAAGGUUGCUUCUUCGUGGACCCUUCGUGGGUGGUUGCUUCUUCGUGGACCCCUCGUGGGUGGAGCCCUCCAUGGACUCGCGCAACAAUUACCCUUCGUGGGUGGAGCCCUCCGUGGACUCGCGCAACCGUUACCCUUCGUGGGUUGAAGUCUCCAUCAAUGUGGAUGUAGGAUAGCACCACCUAUCCGAACCACGGGAAAAACAUCCGUGUCUCCAAUUGCGUUUGAAUUCUCCAAACCCUUCCCUUUACAUUCUUGCAAGUUGCAUGCUUUACUUUCCGCUGCCAAUAUACUCUUUGCAUGCUUGCUUGAAUUGUGUGAUGAUUGCUUGACUUGUCCUACAAUAGCUAAAAUCUGCCAAGAACUAAAAUUGGGAAAAGGUUAAGUUUUUAUUUGGUCAAGUAGUCUAAUCACCCCCCCUCUAGACAUACUUUUGAUCCUACAAGUGGUAUCAGAGCUUUGGUCUCCAUUUGCUUUGAUCUCCAUAGCUUUUGGUGGUCAUAGCCUUGGUUUCACAACCUAGGAGAGUAUGGCAUCUAGCAAGGGAAAUUAUCAUCGUAGAGGUCCUUACUUUGAUGGUACUAAUUUUCCUAGUUGGAAGCAUAAAAUGAAAAUGCAUAUUCUUGGACAUAACCCCGCCGUUUGGGCUAUUGUGUGUGUUGGUUUGCAAGGUGACUUCUUUGAUGGGAAAGAACCAAACCGUGAAGCUACCGCGGAUGAGUUGAAGAUGUUGCAAUACAAUGCUCAAGCUUGUGAUAUUCUCUUCAACGGAUUGUGCCCCGAAGAAUUCAACAAAAUCAGCCGUCUUGAGAAUGCAAAGGAAAUUUGGGACACUUUGAUUGAUAUGCACGAAGGUACCGACUCCGUCAAGGAAUCCAAGUUGGAUGUGCUUCAAAGUCAACUUGACAAGUUCAAAAUGAAGGAUGGUGAAGGUGUCGCUGAAAUGUACUCUAGGCUUGCUCUCAUCACAAAUGAGAUUGCCGGCUUAGGAAGUGAAGAGAUGACCGAUAGAUUCAUCAUCAAGAAGAUUCUAAGAGCCUUGGAUGGAAAAUAUGAUACCGUGUGCACAUUGAUCCAAAUGAUGCCCAAUUACAAAGAUCUGAAGCCAACGGAGGUGAUUGGAAGAAUUGUUGCUCAUGAGAUGUCACUUAAGGAUAAAGAGGAACUUCACAAUAAAUCAAGUGGUGCCUACAAAGCCUCAUGUGAAGCCCCUACAUCAUCAAGUGAGAAACAAAACUUCAAUGAAGAAUUGAGCUUAAUGGUGAAGAACUUCAACAAGUUCUACAAGAGUAGAAGCAAAGAUAGAAGCUUCAAGUCAAGGUCCUACAAUGACAAAAGAUCUUCUAGUCGAGAGCGAAACUGCUACAGUUGUGGAAGACCCGGACACUAUUCCAAUGAGUGUACGGCUCCCUACAAGAGAAGAGAAGAUUCUCCAAAAGAAGAAGCAAAGAAUCACCACCAAGAGAGAGAAGGAGUAGAGAUGAUCGUUAUGAACGAAGAUACUCACGGAGAAGCAAGGAUUCGGAAAGGAAGGAAAAAUCAUCAAGGAGCUACACAAAACGAAGACAUCAAGCUCAUGUUGGUGAAUGGGUAUCCGGCUCCGACUCCGACAGCCACUCUGAGAAAAGUUAUCACUCCGACUCCGAAGAUACUCAAGAUGAAGGUGUUGCCGGUCUAGCACUUGUGUCAACCAACUCCUACAACAUCAUUGACUCACCAAAUGAAGGAAUUGGAAGAUACUUCAUGACCAAAGGUCCUAAGGUAACACACCCCGAGUAUGUUGAUUUCAAUAGUGAUGAAGAUGACUUGUUAGGUGAUGAUUUGCUUGUUGACAACUCUAGUGAUGAAUACUAUAAUGAAACAUCAAUUAAUCAUGCUAAUCAAGAUGAAACGAAUGACAAUGAUAAGGAGAAGAUUGAGGCUCUAACUAAAGAACUAAACACUCUUAAGUUAGCUCAUGAAACUAUCUUCGAAGAUCAUCGAGAACUUUUAAGAGCUCAUGAGAAAUUACGCUUUGAAAAGCUCAAUCUUGAGCAAGAGCAUGAGUUCUUAAAAGCAAUCAAUGAUGAUCUCCACAAGAAAAGUUCUCCUUACAUUUCCAAGCAUUUACUCUUAUCCACUUACAUGCCUCAAGUCAAGUCUAGUAACAAGAACAAGAAAGAUUCUUCCUCUAGCAGUAACAAUGAUCAUGCUAAAUCCAAUAUUGUUGCUUCUAGUAGUUCUCUUGAUUCCACUAAUGAUUCUCUUAGCCAAGUUACACUUGAGCAAGAAAAUAGCUUAUUGAAGGGAAUUAUAGAGAAAGGAGUGUACAAAAGCCUUGCCGGGAGUAAGCAAUUCGAGGAAAUUGUGCGCAAGCAAGGAAUGCACCGGAAGAAUCAAGGUGUUGGUUUUGAACGAAAGUUCAAUGCCAAUGGAGUUGAGUGGGAAGAAGAUCAAUACCCCAAGACAAAGUUUGUUCCUCAACAAGAAAAGUAUGAUACUUCUUUCAAGGGGACACAAGCUCAAGAUGAUCUUCCACCACAAGACUACAAGCAAAAAGGCAAGGACAAGCUUCAAGAGGAAAUUGAUGCAUUUGAAGAAGCUCCUAAGACCUUAGUCAAGUGGAUUCCCAAGACUACUUCAAGUUCCACUUCAUCAAGUACGACUACAACUCCAAGGAUUCCCAUCAAGAUGGUGUGGAUCCAAAAGAAGAAGAACUAGAGAGUUCUUGAGGGUGACUCCGCCAACAUACUUCACUCUUAUCAUUUUGGAAAGAACAAGUGCAAUCAACUUCCACAUCUUGCACUAGUUCAAGGAGUCACAAACCCUCUUGUUGGUAAGACAAGGGACAAGGUAACCUAAAAGUUUUCAUGGACAUCAUCUUGUGUGUGCAUCACUCUAUGUCUAUGGAUAUCCUUGUUUGUUCCUUGCGGGACUAACCCAUGUAGGUAUUGAAAGUGCAAUUCACUCAAAGGGAUAGCUCCAAGUGAUCUACAUCAACAUUGAGCAUCCACAUCUUCAACAUCUACAUGAAGUCAUCAUCGACAAAACCCGAGGUUAGUUCAUCCCUCUAAGGGGGGAUAUCACAUCUAGGGGGAGUUUUACUCUAAGACUUGAGCUAAAGCAACUCUAAAGAUGUGAACACAACAAUGCUUUAUGUAAAAGUGGUAACCCCACUUGAGCUUAAACGAUGAGUAUGACCUAUGAUCAAGUGUUCUCACUUGACUCCUAAGUAAAUAUAAUCAUAUAUAGAUGACCUUGUCAUCGCAAAUUGCUUGGUAGAUGCUAGAAUUGGUUGUGCAUGCCUUGUCACAUAUUUCAUUUGCCAUCUUAUUGUGUGAGCAUGCUGGUUGCAUAUUUUACUCAUUCGAGGACAUCCACUUGUUGUUUUGAUUGUUCGGUUUUAUUUCCUUUUGCCAAGUGGGUGGACAAGAAUGCCUAAGAACCUCCUCUAGCUAUCUAUGCUUUUCCCGUCUCAAACUCUAUUCAUGAUACAUCACAAAAUUUGAUCAAGUCAGAUUCGAACCACUCUGUGUGAGGAGCGCUCGGAGUCCCCGAUUCGUCAUAGACUUAAACUUCCAAAACCUCUUUAUGAUUCUCGGUCUGACCAAUACCCUACUUUCGGUCCUACCGAGAUCAUUAAGUUGAUAUAUGUUUUCGAUCUCGGUGCAACCGACUUGAACCAUUCGGUCACACCUAGUUGCAAUAACUGUGUACAGUUUUGCAUCUCGGUGCCACCAAGUCGUUCCACUCGGUCACACCGACAGGGUCGGGCUAUAUAUAGUCACGGGCAAAUUUUUUUUGGAAAUUUCUCCGAACCCCUUCGCGUGCGCGAUAGCCUGCUCUGCCAACUUGGUCUCCGGAUCGUCUCCUCGCCGCCAGCCGCCUCCAGUCGCUGGUCUCCAUCGCCGUCAACGGAAUUCUACCCCGCUGUUGCCGCCGUAGCGAGUCUCCGCCGAACUAGGGUAUGGGCUCGAUCUUUGUGCUAUUCCCCAAUCUGAUUCUUAGCACAUUGUGAUCGUCAUGAUUCUUGCCACGAUUGAAACACUCCUGUCCAGUCAAUGCGUUCGUAGAUUAGUUUUGAUUCGAAAAUUUUAGGGUUAGGUUUCCGCCGAAACCAUCUCGGACCCACCGAGUUGAAAAACUCGGUCCCACCGAUUUGGCUUAUGCCAUUGCACAAGUGAGACUCGGUCUGACCGAGAAUUACUUAUCGGUGUGACCGAUUUUGGAACUCUGUGAAACCCUAGCAGUCUCGGUGCCACCGAACCGUGACUCGGUCUGACCGAGUUCACUAGUUUAGGUUCCAAAACUGCUUCGGUAUCACCGAGUUUAAAAAUCGGUAGAUCCGAGAUGAUUUCAGUGGGAAACUAAAACUAAGUUUUUGAGUCAUUCUUUUGCAAAAAUCUCUGCAUUUUGUGAUGCUCAUCCACUCUAUCUCAUCUAUAACCUAUUCAGAGGGUCAGCAGUCAGAGUUUGCAACAUGUCUGAUCAGAGUGACAGCCAGAACUUGUCAGAGAAGCAAGUGCAGAUGAGUGAGGGCACUAGUCCCUCCAGCUCUUCAGAUGAUGGCAGCAGAAGUACCCCAAGCAAUUUGCCAAAAGUUGCCACCAGACAGAGGAAGAAGAGAACUUUAGAUACUGAGGAUGAAGAUUAUGUGGCAGAGGAAGAGGAAGCAACUUCCAAGAGAAUUGAGCCAGCUCAGGGCACAAAGCUAGGGUUAAAGAUCAAAAGGCCAGCAGGCAGGCAGCCUAUGCCAAAGGCCAGAGCUUCAAUCAAGAUUUCUGAGAAGCCCACUCCCAUAGAGCCAGUUGCUGCUGAAGGCAAGAAAAGGAAGGAAAGGGUGAAGAAGACCGUAGCCAGAGUGCUUGGAAAGGCUUCCAUCAUGGAAGAAGAGGAAGAAGAAGAGGUUGCUGCACCAGCACCUAAGGCACCCAAGCUAAUGGGUGAUGCUAUCAAAUCAGGGGCUACUGCAUCUAAGCCCAAGGAAGCACCCAAGGCUGCAUCAAAGGUCAAGAAAACACCAAAGAGGAAUACAAGAAGCAUCCCAGCUGCUGAGAAGAACAAGGCCCCAGUGCCUGAAGCUGCUGAAGAAGAUGAUGAAGAGCGAGUUCUCAGAAAACUCAAGCCCAAGAUCCCAGACCACAACGAUGCUCAUCCUGUGGCCAAGGAUAUGAAGCUCAGGAGAGACUCAGGGCUGAGGAAGUGGAGAGAAGCAGACCCGUAUGCUUCAAGGAGAAGAACUGCUGUGGAUUACAGAUUUCACACCAAGGAACAACAGGACUUCUAUGAGACAGUGCUGCUUGAUAAGAAGCCAAUAGUCUGUGAUAUGAGAUGGGUUGACUGGCAAUACAUCAAGGACAAUGAAGAACACUACCCUGGAGUGUAUGACAGCUUCAAUGCUUGUGGAGUAGCAGACUUUGUUGGGCAGAAGCUCACAAAGUGGAACGAGGAGCUUAUCAUGCAGUUCUACUCCACAUCACAUUUUUAUCCAGAUGAGAGGAUUGUAUGGAUGUCAGAAGGAACCAGAUAUCAGUCAACAGUUGCUGAGUGGGCACAACUCAUUAAUGCCCCAGAGGAGCAAGCAGAUGACUUGGACAUUUAUGCCAAGAAGAAGAUGAACCACAACUCUAUGUCCAAUAUGUACAAGGAAAUUCCAAACGAGGCUCUUGAAACUUUCAAAUUUGGCUCAGUGCACUAUCUUCUGUCAGGGCUGCCAACUAUCAAUUGGAUACUGAGGCACACCUUGUUGCCCAAGUCUGGAGGUCACAAGAUCAUCAGAGGCCAUGCAAUAAAUUUGCUUCAUAUAUUUGAUAUGCCACAGAAGUUCAAGGUGAUGAGCCUCAUGGUAGAGACCAUCAAGAGGACUGCAGCAGACCAGAAGAGGAGUUGUGGAUAUGCCCCACAAAUUCAGGAGCUCAUCAACUCAAAGAUGGGCACAUACAUAUACUUACUGGAUAAGGAACACCUGCCCAUCCGUCCAGAUUUUGAAGAUAAUCAAGUGGUCAUGACUGAGAAUGAACUAUCAUCUGCACAAGCACAAGCAAAGAAGGAGAAGGCAAGGAAGGAGAAAGCUGCCAAGAUGCCAACUCAAGAGGAGGCAUCUGAGUAUUUCUUGAAAACCAAACAAGAGCAGCUUGGUUACUUGAUUGCAUCCACACUGAGGAUUGAGCAAGGACUGGCCACCCUCACUCAGAAUCAGCAGAGCCUAGAGAGAAUCAUGGAACAAAAGUUCUAUGACUUGGAUGUCAAAGUAAUAGAGAUUCAGUCUGCAGUGGAACAACUUCAGGAUGACAUGCAGGAGAGGAGAGGCAAGACUACAACUGAUGCAUUUGCCAGAGCGCCAAGAGCUCAGAGAUCAUAUGCAGUGCCAGUUGCUGACCCCAGAGCCACCACGUAUGCACCAGCUACAGCCUUAGUUCCACCAGCUCCAGCGUCCACUUCAGCCUCAACUCCAACCACGUCUAUAGAAGGCUUCGUCCUUGGAGUGCUCCGGACUCCACCACCACCUGAAGAUCAAGCCUGAGUGUCGACUUAGCACCAUGCAUUUUCUAGGAACUUUUUGGUAACUAGUUGCCAAAGGGGGAGAAAAUGUAUAGAUCAUAGGCUUCGAGAGAGAGAGUGUUGCUUUUUUCUCUUGCUUUAUUUGGUGGUUUUUAGAACUUUGUUUGCUUUUGAGUGCUUGAGAUACUAUGUCAUUGCUCGUGUGACAUUGAUGAUCAUGUGUUUGAUCAUAAGCUACACUUAUGCAUGCUUGAUAUAUCUUAUCUAUCUUAUGUGAUCAUUCACUAUUCUUGGUGAUGAGUGCAUGUAUUUCAUUCUUAUUGUUUUAAGCGCUCCACCAAGAUGUAUGUGACAUGGAAGAGUAGCCCAUGACUCUAACUCUUUGUGCAUUUGCAGUCCAAAGCAAAUUUUAAAUAUGCACAAAUUUAGGGGGAGCUCUCACUUGUCACAUACUUCUCAAAGCGACGGUAUAUCUCAUGCUUAUUAUCAUUUGUCCAAGCUUUGAUCUAUAUGUUGUCAUCAAUUACCAAAAAGGGGGAGAUUGAAAGUGCAACUAUCCGUAGGUGGUUUUGGUAAUUCAUAACAACAUAUAGCUCAUUGAGCUAAUGCUAUUCCAAGAUGAUUAUUUCAGGAAAGCUCAAUGAUUGGCAUGGCAUGGAUGUGAAAGUGGAACCCUCAAAAUGCUAAGGACAAAGGAUUGGCUCAAGCUUAAAAGCUCAAGACUCUUCAUUUUAUAUUUUAGUGAUCCAAGAUCACAUUGAGUCUUUAGGAAAAGCCAAUACUAUCAAGGAGGGAUGAGGUGUUGCUUAAUGAGCCUCUUGCUUCAUGUGCUUAGUGAUAUGCUCCAAAACCCUCAACUACUUUCCCCAUAUCCACAUAUGACCUAAACCCUAAGCCAAACUCGGUCCUACCGAUUCUUUCUAUCCGGCGCCACUGAGUUUCACUUGUCAUAAGCCACUGCCAAACCCUAGCAAUUCGGUUCUACCGAUAGGGAUCUCGGUCUCACCGAGAUGGGAUUGCAAACUCCCUGUUUCCCUUUCAUAACUUUUCGGUCUCACCGAAAGAGCGAAUCGGUCCCACCGAGAUUGCAGUGUAAACUCUUUGUUUCCUUUUUGUAACUUUUCGGUCUCACUAAAGCGCAAAUUGGUUCCAUCGAGUUUACCUGACCAACUCUCUGGUUAGCUUAUUACCAAAUUCGGUCUCACCGAGUUUGUGUAAUCGGUCUCACCGAGAUUACGUUAUGCCCAAACCCUAACCAUAUCGGUCCUACCGAGUUGCAUGUCAGUCCCACCAAAAAUCUCUAACGGUCACUAGGUUUACCUUUUCGGUCCGACCGAGUUUUUUGAUUCGGUCCCACCGAGAUUGGAAAACUGUAUGUAACGGUUGGAUUUUGUGUGGAGGCUAUAUAUACCCCUCCACCUCCUCUUCAUUCGUGGAGAGAGCCAUCAGAACACAUACACAAUUCCAACUCAUAUGUUCUGAGAGAGAACCACCUACUCAUGUGUUGAGACCAAGAUAUUCCAUUCCUACCAUAUGAAUCUUGAUCUCUAGCCUUCCCCAAGUUGCUUUCCACUCAAAUCUUCUUUCCACCAGAUCCAAAUCCUAUGAGAGAGAGUUGAGUGUUGGGGAGACUAUCAUUUGAAGCACAAGAGCAAGGAGUUCAUUACCUACACACCAUUUGUUACUUCUUGGAGAGUGGUGUCUCCUAGAUUGGCUAGGUGUCACUUGGGAGCCUUCGACAAGAUUGUGGAGUUGAACCAAGGAGUUUGUAAGGGCAAGGAGAUCGCCUACUUCGUGAAGAUCUACCGCUAGUGAGGCCAGUCCUUCGUGGGCGAUGGCCAUGGUGGGAUAGACAAGGUUGCUUCUUCAUGGACCCUUCGUGGGUGGUUGCUUCUUCAUGGACCCCUCGUGGGUGGAGCCCUCCAUGGACUCGCGCAACCAUUACCCUUCGUGGGUGGAGCCCUCCGUGGACUCGCGCAACCGUUACCCUUCGUGGGUUGAAGUCUCCAUCAACGUGGAUGUAGGAUAGCAAUCCGAACCACGGGAAAAACAUCCGUGUCUCCAAUUGCGUUUGAAUUCUCCAAACCCUUCCCUUUACAUUCUUGCAAGUUGCAUGCUUUACUUUCCGCUGCCAAUAUACUCUUUGCAUGCUUGCUUGAAUUGUGUGAUGAUUGCUUGACUUGUCCUACAAUAGCUAAAAUCUGUCAAGAACUAAAAUUGGGAAAAUGUUAAGUUUUUAUUUGGUCAAGUAGUCUAAUCACCCCCCUCUAGACAUACUUUCGAUCCUACACUUGUUUCUAUGGUGAAGCUCAGACCCAUCUUCGCUAUCAUAUUUGGAACACGAUGAAAAAUUUGUCCACUCUCCAAGAUUUGCCGUGGGUGUGCUAGGUGAUUUCAAUGAGGUAUUGAAGCAUGAUGAACAUGAUGGCAUUGGGUCAAGGAGCCAAUCACAGAUUCAGGGCUUCAGAGACGCGGUUGAUGUUUGUGAUCUAAUUGACCUUGGAUACAAAGGCAUGAAGUGGACGUAUGAGAAAAAAGUAACAGGUGGCUCGUACACACGAGUCAGGCUGGACAGGGCUUUGGGAUCAGUGGACUGGUGUGGAUUGUUCCCACUGGCGGCUGUACAACAUAUCAUAUCUGCGACCUCGAAUCAUUCUGCCAUCUUGCUACAGCUAACCCAGCCGAUCAAGGGAUCGAAGAAGCCAAAGCAAUUCAGGUACGAGGUGAUGUGGGACACUCAUCCAGAGUUGAAGCCGACGGUGGCUGCAGCCUGGGAGAGCAACGGUCAUAAUCUAACAACGGGUGAAGUUCGCACAAAACUUGAGGCCCUAGCAAGUAAUCUCGGCGACUGGUCAAGAUCAACCUUUUGAAGCGUCCGAGGAGAAAUACGAAGCCUAAAGUAAGAACUAGAUCGCCUUCGGAGUGAUGUCAUGAGGGUUGGACCUUCCAAUGCAGAGAUCAAAAUCAAUGACCAUUUAAUUGAGCUAUAUCUGCGAGAAGAAUUGAUGUGGAGACAGCGGUCCCGGGUCCAAUGGCUAUCUGUGGGGGAUCGUAACUCUCGUUUCUUCCACAUGCGUGCUUCCAUGCGGAGAAGAAAGAACCUGAUAAAAGCCUUACAAAAACCAGAUGGAGACGUGACCAGGGAACUAACGGAGAUGCAGCAGAUGGCUUUGGAUUUUUACAAACAAUUAUACACUUCAGAGGGAGUUGAGGGGAUGCAGGACGUUCUGCAGCACGUGCCUACGAAGGUUACUGCCGAGAUGAAUGCAGCUUUGUUGGCUCUGUACGAGGCGAAGGAGGUCAAAAGCGCUCUCUUUCAGAUGUUUCCCACUAAAGCUCCUAGUCCAGACGGGUUCCCAGCUCAUUUUUUCAGAGGCACUGGGAUGUGUGUGGAGAAGUAGUUACAAGGGCAGUGCUAACCAUUGUUAGGGGUGAUGAGAGUCCCGCUUGUUUGAACGAUACCCUCCUUGUCCUUACUCCAAAGGUAUCUAAUCCAACCUUGCUAACUCAGUUCCGGCCCAUAAGCUUAUGUAACGUGUUUUACAAGAUCGCUUCGAAAGUGCUAGCAAAUCGCCUCAAGCUAAUUCUUCUAGAGAUCAUAUCGGAGGAGCUGUCGGUGUUUGUACCGGGGAGGCUUCUAACGGAUAAUAUAAUCUCAGCUUACGAAUGCUUACAUCUUAUGAAGAGGAACAUGUCAAAGAAUAACAAUUUUGCAGCUUUGAAACUUGAUAUGAUGAAGGCAUACGAUCGUGUGGAGUGGACCUAUCUGAGAUCGAUCAUGGAGAAGUUGGGUUUUGUGGCAUCAUGGGUGUCCGUUGUGAUGAAUAUGGUGAGCUUAGUAUCGUUUUCAUUAAUGUUUAAUGGUGUGAAGUCAGAAGUUUUUCAUCCUACAAGGGGAAUUCGACAGGGAGAUCCAAUCUCUCCAUACCUUUUCUUGUUAGCAGCAGAGGGCCUUUCGUGCCUAUUAAAAUCCUAGAACCAAUCAUCCCAGCUCAGCGGCAUUAAGGUGGCAUCGUCGGCGCCGGCGGUGAACCACCUUUUAUUCGCGGAUGAUAGCCUGCUGUUUUUCAGGGCAAGUGUUGAUGGAGCGGAAGCAGUAUCAAACCUGUUGGACAAAUAUUGUUUGUCUUCUGGUCAGCGGAUAAACAAGGACAAAUCUUCCAUAUUCUUUAGCAAGGGCUGUCCAGAAAUAGUUCGUGCUACGGUGAAAGGCCACUUGCAGGUUCCUAAUGAAUCUCUAAGCGACAGAUAUUUGGGUAUGCCAACGGAUGUGGGUCUUUCAAAGAAGGGUACUUUCAAAUAUUUGAGUGACAGAGUUUGGGACAAGGUAAAGGGAUGAAUGAGCAAGUGCCUGUCAGCGGGUGGGAAAGAUGUGUUAAUUAAAUCUGUAGCCCAAGCCAUCCCGGUGUUCUCAAUGUCAUGUUUUAAACUCCCAAGAGGCUUGUGUGACCAUAUCAAAUCCAUCAUCAGGAAAUUUUGGUGGGGCUGCAAGCAAGGAGAAUGCAAGCCGGCUUGGGUUUCAUGGGAUGUGAUGACACGCCCGAAACAUUUAGGCGGGCUGGGCUUCAGGGACCUUGAGAUUUUCAAUUUAGCUUUAUUGGCUCGCCAAGCUUGGAGACUCUUACAACAACCAGAGAGCUUGAGUGCGAGAAUUUUGAAGGCUGCAUACUACCCCAACAAUACGGUCCUAGACGCGGAGGUGGGGUCAAAACCAUCUCAGAUUUGGCGAGCUAUACUUGAAGGACAGGAUUUGUUGAAACAGGGGCUCAUCCGACGGAUUGGCAAUGGUCAAACUACGGAGAUAUGGAGCGACAACUGGAUACCGAAGGAGAUGACGCGACGGCCCAUCACAUCACUGGUUGCUCAGCCUCCUAGGUAUGUGUCGGAGUUGCUCUCCCCGGCGACAGCCUCCUGGAAUGAGACCACAGUCCGGUCAGUGUUCUUGCCCAUAGAUGUUGAUGCUAUCUUGAAAAUCCCAGUUUGUACAUGCAAUGUUGAGGACUUUUGGGCAUGGUACCCGGACAAGAAAGGCAAGUUCAGUGUUAGUUCAGCGUAUACGUUUUUUCUUAAGACAAAAAUGCAGAGGGAGGAGUGGCUGAACAAAAAUAGCGGUUCAUCUCACACCGAGAAAGACGAAAAAGCUUGGACAUCCUUGUGGAGACUUAAAAUCCCGUCGAAGGUGAGGAUCUUUCUUUGGAGGCUAGCUCAUCACUCACGCCCCACAACUGAUGUCUUGAAGAGAAGAAAUAUGUCAGAUAGAGAUGUGUGCCCGCUUUGUGGCUGCGAGGACUCAUGGAGACAUGCGUUGGUAGCAUGCACGAUUUCCCGAUGCGUGUGGGCAUUGUUGGACAAAAAUUUGGUGUCUCUCAUGGCUAAGAACGAGGAAUCCAACGCAAGAAUUUGGUUAUUUGAUCUUAAUGAGAAAUUGGACCAUGCUAGUUUCACAAGGAUGGUCAUCACGCUAUGGUCAAUAUGGUAUGCUAGGAGGAAGGCUAUUUAUGAAUCCAUAUUUCAGAGCCCCCAUCAUACAACAUCCUUUAUCAAUAAUUACAUUGACGAGUUGGAGCACAAUGUUGCUGGUCGAGUGCAGCAACAUACUGUUGCUGCACCACCACAACCGAACAGGUGGCUUCCUCCACCAAGUGGCAUCGCGAAGAUUAAUGUUGAUGGGGCUGUGGUACGAUCGCGGAGAGGAGGCGCAGUUACUGCCCUUUGCCGCGACCAUGAGGGGCACUAUUUGGGCUCUUCAGCGAUGGUUUACCAUGGGAUCACGGACCCCCUAACCUUGGAGACGUUUGCAUGCCGUGAGGCUCUUGCUUUGGCGGAUGACCUGGGACAGCAGAGAAUUUGCAUGGCAGCGGACUGCCAAGAGGCGGUUAAUGAUAUCAAUGGUGGAACAGGAGGCCCCAAUGCUGCGUUGGUACAUGAAAUAAUGAACCAUUGUAAUAGUUUUAUAACUUGCACUUUUGUUUUCGAGCGUAGGAACUUCAAUUUUGAAGCUCACCAUCUCGCCAAGUUUGCUUGUAAUCUACAUAUAGGUAGACAUGUUUGGUUGGGCAUCCCCCAUGACCCCAAUCUUGUACCUAUGACAAUUAAAAAAAGGGCAACCUGGUGCAUGUAGCUCCCGCUUGCGCAGGGUCCAGGGAAGGGUCCGACCACUUUGGGUCUAUAGUACGCAGCCUUUCCCUACAUACUUCUGAAUAAAUAAAUCAGGCGAGAUUUCUCAAAAAAAAACUUCUAAGGGCUCGAUCUACUGACCUCUCGAAUAAAGCUUGUAAAAAACAUGGGGCGACCAACUAGACAGUAGUUUAUGGUUAGAGAAAGUGAAAUAACCUUUAUGACUUCAUCAUUCUAUAAGUAUAUAAAAUAAUCAAUAGUAGGAUUCCUAUCAUUUGUGGAGAUAUUUUCUAAAAUGCCAAAACUCCUCCAUUCACUUGAGGCAGGUGAGGAAAGCCAAACCUUUGCUUUUUCGAAGCGUUUCAUCAAAAUACUUUGAAAAAAAUCUAUAUUAAAGCAAUUAAAAAGAACACCUCAAAAUACUUUUUAUGCAUGCAACCUGCCAUAGAUGACAACUUGAUCCAGUCGGACAUUUUUCUCUAACAAGAUAGGGCCAACUUAGAUUUUGACAAAGGGACCUCGAUUUUGAUGGACUGGCCCUGGAACACACGAACACUCCCAGCUCCAAGGAGGAACAACAUUUGCGAAAUUGAAAAAUGUUCAUCGAUUAGAAUAAAAGUUCACGAAUUUGAAAAAAACAAAAAAGUUCAUUGAUUUGAAAACAAGUUCACGAAUUUGAAAAAAAUUCCACAAAUUAAAUUUCCCACGCACACGGAAGAUCAUGGUGAUGUAUACCAAUGAGAGGGAAGAGUAUCGUCCACAUACCCUCGUAGACCGUAAGCGGAAGCAUUAUGAGAACACGAUUGAUGUAGUCGAACGUCUUCACGAUCCAACUGAUCCAAUUACCGAACGCACGGCACCUCCGUGUUUAGCACACGUUCAGCUCGAUGAUGUCCCACGAACUCCGAUCCAGCAGAGCUUCAUGGGAGAGUUACGUCAGCACGACGGCGUGAUGAUGGUGAUGAUGUUGCUACCGACGCAGGGCUUCACCUAAGCAUCGCUACGAUAUGAUCGAGGUGAAUUAUGGUGGAGGGAGGCACCACACACGUCUUGGAUCAAUGAACUUGUGUGUUCUAGGGUGCCCCCUACCCCCGUAUAUAAAGGAGCAAGGGGGGAGGCUGGCCGGCCCCUGUAGGGCGCGCCAGGAGUCCUCCUCCUCCUAGUAGGAGUAGGACUCCCCUUUCCUACUCCUAUUAGGAGGAGGAAAGGAAGGAGAGAGGGAGAAGGAAGGAGAGGGAUGAAAGGAGAAAAGGGGGCCCGCCCCUAGUCCAAUUCGGUUUGGGCUAGGGGGGCCGCGCGCCCUGCCUCCUCUCUUCCACCACUUGGCCCAUGAGGCCCAAUACUUCUUCCCCGUAUUCCCGUAACUCCCGGGUACUCCGAAAAAUACCUGAAUCACUCGGAACCUUUCCGAUGUCCGAAUAUAGUCGUCCAAUAUAUCGAUCUUUACGUCUCGACCAUUUCGAGACUCCUCGUCAUGUCCCCGAUCUCAUCCGAGACUCCGAACUACCUUCGGUACAUCAAAUCACAUAAACUCAUAUUACCGAUCGUCACCGAACGUUAAGCGUGCGGACCCUACGGGUUCGAGAACUAUGUAGACAUGACCGAGACAUGUCUCUGGUCAAUAACCAAUAGCGGAACCUGGAUGUUCAUAUUGGCUCCUACAUAUUCUACGAAGAUCUUUAUCGGUCAAAUCGCAUAACAACAUACUUUGUUCCCUUUGUCAUCGGUAUGUUACUUGCCCGAGAUUCGAUCGUCGGUAUCUCAAUACCUAGUUCAAUCUCGUUACCGGAAAGUCUCUUUACUCGUUCCGUAAUGCACUAUCCCGCAACUAACUCAUUAGUUGCAUUGCUUGCAAGGCUUAUAGUGAUGUGCAUUACCGAGAGGGCCCAGAGGCACCUCUCCGACAAUCGCUGUGACAAAUCCUAAUCUCAAUCUAUGCCAACUCAACAAGUACCAUCGGAGACACCUGUAGAGCACAUUUAUAAUCACCCAGUUACGUUGUGACGUUUGGUAGCACACAAAGUGUUCCUCUGGUAAUCGGGAGUUGCAUAAUCUCAUAGUCAUAGGAACAUGUAUAAGUCAUGAAGAAAGCAAUAGCAGUAAACUAAAACGAUCAAGUGCUAAGCUAACGGAAUGGGUCAAGUCAAUCACAUCAUUCUCCUAAUGAUGUGAUCCUGUUUAUCAAAUGACAACUCAUGUCCAUGGUUAGGAAACAUAACCAUCUUUGAUCAACGAGCUAGUCAAGUAGAGGCAUACUAGUGACACUCUGUUUGUCUAUGUAUUCACACAUGUACUAAGUUUCCAGAUAAUACAAUUCUAGCAUGAAUAAUAAACAUUUAUCAUGAUAUAAGGAAAUAAAUAAUAACUUUAUUAUUCCCUCUAGGGCAUAUUUCCUUGACUAGGCCGCUGUGUCGCGCCAAGUGCGUGUCCAGGCGCCGGCACCGCCUUAUCUCCGCCCCCCACCACCGCAGGAGGCUCCCCCAGACCCUCGCCGGCGUCUUCUACCUCACUAGGGACGAGUGGCACCCCCCCAGGAGGUCCGCCAUUUCGCCAGCCUCCUUCCGGAGCUGGGACGCGGGGCUCUCGUCCACCCCUCUCUCUCCUUCCCGCCUUGCUACGAGUGCUGCAAGCUGGCGGACUCCGGCAACGACCUCCUCCUUGUUGGGGAACGUAGCAUGCAAUUUCAAAAAAUUUCUUAUGCUCACACAAGAUCUAUCUAGGAGAUGCAUAGCAACGAGAGGGGGAGAGUGUGUCCACGUACCCUCGUAGACCGAAAGCGGAAGCGUUAGCUUAACACGGUUGAUGUAGUCGAACGUCUUCUCGAUCCAAACGAUCAAGCACCGACGUACGGCACCUUCGAGUUCUGCACACAUUCAGCUUGAUGACAUCCCUUGAACUCUUGAUCUAGCAAAGUGUCGAGGGAGAGUUCCGUCAGCACGACGGCGUGGUGACGACGAUGGUGAAGUGAUCCGCGCAGGGCUUCGCCUAAGCACUACGUGAAUAUGACUGGAGGCGUAAACUGUGGAGGGGAGCGCCGCACACGACUUGGAACAAUUGAUGUGUGUUAGAGGCGCCCCCAGCCCCCGUAUAUAAAGGAGGGAGAGGGGAGGAGGCCGGCCCUAGGCGCGCCCCAAGUAGGAGGAGUCCUACUUGGGCUCCUAGUAGGAUUCGGCCCCCCUUCCUUUUAUCAGAGGGGGAAAGGGGGAAGGAGAGAGAGGGAGAAGGAAAGGGGGGCACCGCCCCCUCCCCUAAUCCAAUUCGGACUCCUCCCUUGUGGGUGGCGUGCUACCCCUACGUGGGCUGGUGUGCCUCCCUCCUAUGCCCAUAUGGCCCAUAUCUUCCCCCGGGGGGUUUCAGUAACCCCCCGGUACACCGAUAUGUACCCGAUACAUUCCGAAACACUUCCGGUGUCCGAAUACUAUCAUCCAAUAUAUCAAUCUUUACCUCUCGACCAUUUUGGGACUCCUCGUCAUGUCCGUGAUCUCAUCUGGGACUCCAAACAAAAUCCGGUCACCAAAUCACAUAACUCAUAUAAUACAAAAUCGUCAUCGAACGUCAAGCAUGCGGACCCUACGGGUUCGAGAACUAUGUAGACAUGACCGAGACACCUCUCCGAUCAAUAACCAACAGCGGAACCGUGAUGCUCAUAUUGGUUCCUACAUAUUGUAUGAAGAUCUUUAUCGGUCAAACCAUAAUGACAAUAUACGUCAUUCCCUUUGUCAUCGGUAUGUUACUUGCCCGAGAUUCGCUCGUCGGUAUCUUCAUACCUAGUUCAAUCUCGUUACCGGCAAGUCUCUUUACUUGUUCUAUAAUGCAUCAUCCCGCAACUAACUCAUGAGUCACAUUGCUUGCAAGGCUUAUCAUGAUGUGCAUUACCAAGAGGGCCCAGAGAUACCUCUCCGAUACCCGGAGUGACAAAUCCUAAUCUCGAUCUAUGCCAACCCAACAAACACCUUCGGAGAUACGUGUAGAGCAUAAUAUCAUAGUCAAAGGAAUAUGUAUAAGUCAUGAAGAAAGGAAUAUGUAUACGUUUGAUAGACACAAGGUAUUCCUUCGGUAUUGGGGAGUUGCAUAAUCUCAUAGUCAAAGGAAUAUGUAUAAGUCAUGAAGAAAGCAAUAGCAAUAAAACUCAACGAUCAUUAUGCUAAGCUAACAGAUGGGUCUUGUCCAUCACAUCAUUCUCCUAAUGAUGUGAUCUCGUUCAUCAAAUGACAACUCAUGUCUACGGUUAGGAAACAUAACUAUCUUUGAUUAAUGAGCUAGUCUAGUAGAGGCUUACUAGGGACAUUGUGUUUUGUCUAUGUAUUCACACAUGUAUCAAGUUUCCGGUUAAUAUAAUUCUAGCAUGAACAAUAAACAUUUAUCAUGAUAUAAGGAAAUAUAAACAAUAACUUUAUUAUUCCCUCUAGGGCAUAUUUCCUUCACUCCUCUAUCACUAUUUCUUCGACGGUGAUCUCCCGGAGAUGUUCCACUACGUGGUGUGCAAUUCUGCCACCGGGACCUGGCUCGAAUUGCCCGAACCCUCCUAGGCUGCCGCCGCACCAAGCUUCCCACAACCUAUUUGGCUUUCGAUCCAGCCAUUUCCUCGCAUUUUUGUGUGUUUGAGUUCUCCGAGUUUGAGAACAGAUACUGCUUGGCUGGUGUAGCGAUUUACUCGUCCAGAAUAGGGGUGUGGACUUUCAAGAGAAGUUGCACGACCUCUGAGCUUAGAAUCUGCACUGACACGAGAAGCGUCUUCUUCAAUGACAUCUUGCAUCUUGUCAUGCCUAACUGUUCUAUACUGGCAGUGGAGACUGAUGGGGAGAGAUGGAGGAUCAUUCGUGUGCCACACCAGGAAGCAGAGUUGGAGCCUGCUUUUAUUGGCCAGUCCUAGGGGCACCUUUGUUACACGAAUAUAGUUCGUAGUGUCCUUGAUCCUCUAAGCCUGGCGAUCUGGGUUCUCGAGGAUUACAAUACAGAUGAAUGGAUACUGAAGCAUCAUGUGAGCAAUGAACAAUUGCUAGCGAAAAGAAACUGUCCACAUGGGAUCGAUCAUCCGUCCUUCCACCACUACUACUACAACAUUGUCGCUAUUCACCCGGAUUGCGGUUGAUUUUCUAUGUUGCUGGCAAGGAUAACACACUGAUGAAGUAUGACAUUGAUCUAAAUGAAGUGCAUGUUAUCCGCAAUCUUGGGUCUGACUGUUGUCGGGAAGCAUUUUUGGCGUAUGUUCCGUUGUACUUGGACACGCUGGAAGAACACCAAUCAAUUGCUGGUUGAAGUUUGCCAUGAAAGAUAUUUAGACCAUUGCAAGAGCUUGGUAUUCAGCCAGGAGCAGCACUAUAUUUAAGUCCUCUUAAAUUGGUGACAUCUAUUUCUUGCUAUGUUUGGAUGAUUCCUGCUUCAAUCUGUUAGUUUGUGCCAUUGUGCAACGUUUGGUUCUGUUAGAUGUCCUGCAAGGUAGCUUGAUGUAGGCUGGUUAUUUCAGUGGAGUACUUGAAGUUCUCUUAUUCUAGCGGAUGUUUUCUGUUUAUGCAUGUUAUUGCAGCUAAAUGUAGGGAAGACUUAACUAGUAAUCUUGUACUACGUACUUUACUAAAGUUGGUAUGGUCUUAUAUGCACUUUAUCUGUAGUCCCACUUGUUAAUUUAAGUUAGAUAUGUUAUAUGCAGCUACUCCAUUUUGUGCUUUCAAAGCACAUCCAUUUUUUAUUGUGGGUGUCUUUUCUCUGGGUGUUGGUACUACUGAAUCAUUACCUUUGUUUAAAUAAUUCAUACUAAGCUGUUUUGUCAUAUUUUUUCUUGUUGUUUCAAUAGGCUAUUUUCAAGGCUCCCUAAUAUAUUGCCAGAGUGCCAUUGGUUAUUCCAGUGACAACUCUCUGUUGAAGCUAUAGAGAGAACCAAGAUCAGAUUAUUGAUUUAUCAUCCCUCAUCCUCGGUUAUCUUCUAAUGCUUUGUCGCCUUUGAAUAAUUUUUUAAACUUGUAUGCUCUUUUCUGCAUAUGCUUUCCCUCUAAAAGUUGAACAAGGCUUGGAAAAGAUACUAUGUAUGCAAAGGAAAUACAAAGAGGAACAAGAGAAGAGAGAGAGAGAGAGCUGCGUGUUUAUUAAAUUGUUUAUAUUUUCAACCCCUUUUCUACUAAAGAUUAAUGUUUAUAUUAAAUUGUACCUACUCCCUCCGUCCGAAAAAGCUUGUCCCAAGCUUGGUGCUAGAUACAUCCAUUUGAGGGACAAGCUUUUUCAGAUGGAGGGAGUAUACGUUUUAGAGCAUUUUUCUAAAGUAAUUUUAAUAUAGAUCCAUGAGAAAUAAUAUUGUGCUAAAUACUGAUUGCUUGUCUUGUUCUCCUUAAUUUUACUUUAGUUUCCCAAUUAGACAUUGCCUUGAAGUUAAUUUCUCCAUUUUGUUCUUUGGUAUGCUGACUUCUUUCAGGCUUCAGUUUUGACCAACAAUGAAUAGACACACACAAAGUGUUUUCAGCAUAAAGAGGGUUGAAUUUACUAGAAGUUUGGGGGAGAACAACCCUAUCCUGUCCUUUUUUACUUUUCACCAUCGUUGAUGAUGCUAAUAGUGCUGUUGUGUUCUGUUAGAAUCUACUGAUGACAUGGUUGCCCUUCAACCAUGUUCGUUCCUUUCAAGAUUUGAUUGAGUUUGCUUACCAUGGUCGUUUCUUUGGGAAAUGAUUGAUCAAUACCCGUCCUUAGGAUAGAAAAUUGAACAUUUGUUUGUGAUUCAGUUGACUUGUUGUGGUUUCUCAAAGCAAAAUUAAUAAAAAUAAAAAUGCUUUGGGGCCUCAGACUGGUUGUUGCAAGAUUUUUGUUAGAAACAUUCAUAUCUAGACAAACCUAAAGUGUUUUGUCAGUUCGCAUGCUCUACAGAGCAAUCCAUAUNNNNNNNNNNNNNNNNNNNNNNNNNNNNNNNNNNNNNNNNNNNNNNNNNNNNNNNNNNNNNNNNNNNNNNNNNNNNNNNNNNNNNNNNNNNNNNNNNNNNNNNNNNNNNNNNNNNNNNNNNNNNNNNNNNNNNNNNNNNNNNNNNNNNNNNNNNNNNNNNNNNNNNNNNNNNNNNNNNNNNNNNNNNNNNNNNNNNNNNNNNNNNNNNNNNNNNNNNNNNNNNNNNNNNNNNNNNNNNNNNNNNNNNNNNNNNNNNNNNNNNNNNNNNNNNNNNNNNNNNNNNNNNNNNNNNNNNNNNNAUAUAUAUAAAUAUAUAUAUAUAUAUAUAUAUAUAUAUAUAUAUAUAUAUAUAUAUAUAUAUAUAUAUAUAUAUAUAUAUAUAUAUAUAUAUAUAUAUAUAUAUAUAUAUAUAUAUAUAUAUAUAUAUAUAUAUAUAUAUAUAUAUAUAUAUAUAUAUAUAUAUAUAUAUAUAUAUAUAUAUAUAUAUAUAUAUAUAUAUAUUUAUAUAUAUNNNNNNNNNNNNNNNNNNNNNNNNNNNNNNNNNNNNNNNNNNNNNNNNNNNNNNNNNNNNNNNNNNNNNNNNNNNNNNNNNNNNNNNNNNNNNNNNNNNNNNNNNNNACCCAUGGACUUCCUUUUUUCCUUUCCAGCCGAGAUACCCAACGUUGUGGUUCUAUGGUGUGUUCUCGGUAUGACAGUCUUCAACCGAACCCUUAAAACCUAUCCAUGGGUGGAAGCCCGGACAAAAUAAAGUCAUCCAAUCGGAUCCCCAAACUUCCGUUUUGUUUAGGGGAAGUGGUGGCAAAACUGUCCGAAACUCUGGAGGCUUAGAGCACGAGCAAUAAUCAGCAAGAAAAACUUUAUUGAUCCUCAUCGUCCGUCAAUGAGACACAACCGCUCAAAGAUCCAAGGUUACAUGCCGAGCAUAAUCAAUGACCUUAUUGUCAUGUCAAAGGAGAAACAUCCGUCUUAAAAAUCCAACAUGUUAUGGGGAUGAGCAUGCAAUGUAACAUGUUGGAUUCUUAAGAAGGUUGUGUAACAUGUUAGAUUUUUAAGACGGUUGUUUCUCCUUUGAUAUGACAAUUAGGUCAUUGAUUAUGCUUGCCAUGUAACCUUGGAUCUUUGAGCGGUUGUGUAUCAUUGACGCGACGAUCAUGAUCAAUAAAGAUUUUCUUGUUGAUUAUUGUGUGCCAUUUUUUAAGUUAAAUGAUUUGAAGAUUGCUCACCAUGCCUGUCGAUUAUUGUGUGGUAUGACAGCGCAAAGAUACAUCGGUGAACAUAUGUUGAUAUGCAUCCAAAUUAAUAAUAAAAUCUAAAUAUAGCAAAAGAAAAUCAACGAUUCUAAUCAUUUUUUAGCAAUUAUAUGAUCGACCGUAGUUUUGUGAAUAAAAUGACAUGCAUGUGUUGCCAAAAAAGAAAAAGAAAAAUGAACAUCCAUAUUGCUUCAGAUAAUUGUUUUUAUGGCUCUAAUUUUAUCUUCUUGCCUAGAAUACCAUGGAUAUCCAUUUUCGUGAAACUUUGCACCUCGAUCAUGUUUAUUACAACUUUUUUAGAAUCAUUUGAUGUUUUUGCUAUUUUCCCAAUUUUAGUGUUCAUCUAGGUGCAUGUGCGCCAUGUUUGAAAAAUCUACAUCGUUGCUCUUUUUCAUACAAAGCCCUAUCUAUCUAUUACUGGGAUUGCAAUUUCUCAAUCGGCUUCUAAACCGUUGGAUCUGCAAGGAUUCGUGUGGAUUUUUCCUUUUUGGUGUAUCACUUUUCAUUUUAGUACUUUUACAUCAUUCUUUUUUAUCUUUGUCUUGUCGGUAAUUUUUUCUUUCACGUGCUCAAUUACCAUUGCACGUCCACAUGUCGAGGACAACUAUAGUUAUGUGCAUGAAAGGCAGACACACUCCGGCUGAGGUUAACUAUAUCUACACACGAAGUCGGGCAAGCAUGCAACUGUACACGUUUGUCGGCUGGGCGCAACUACAGUCUACAGUUGUACACCUGCCGUCCGCAUACAACUUUUUUUUUUGCGAGUGUCCGCAUACAACUACAAUUGCACAUUCCUCAUUGGCCACACGCAAGUACAAUUGCACAAGCAAUACAUGUUUUACAAUUGGGUUGCUAGAUUUUUAAGUUGUAGUAUUUAUGUUUUUCAUAUUUAUGAAAAUAUAUUAGAACACUAGAUCUCAUGCAAUACAUGUUUUAAAUUAUCGUAACAUCUAUAGCCAUAUCUGAAAAUGCACAUAUUUGAAACAACCAUCCGAGGGACAGACCCUGUCAUGGUGCCCUGUGUUUUGGUGCAGCACAAAACAAGCACACAAUAUUUGGUCUUUUCUUCACCAAAUUAGAUCCAACAAGAAAAAUGCACAUUCUAAAAGCAGCAUCUACUUCUCUAUGGACAUCGCUGAAUGCAGAGCUUUAUGUCACACAACGACUACUUUUCCGUGUCAAAGACCGCUUAGUGGCCGGUAACGUGUGACUUGAAUUUUUUUCUAUUACACUAUACCUUUUUUAAACAAAACUAGAUAAUUGCCUGUGCCUUGUAAGGAUAUAAAUAUUCUAAUAGUAUGUUAGUUCAGGAUUUACCUGCUCAUAUUGAUGUGAUUAUGUAAAUAAAUGUUUAUCAAAUCAAUGUCAUAAUUUACCUAUCUAAAUAAAUUUAGUAUUUUAUUUGGUAAGAACUUACUGAGUUAACAAAAAACAUAAAUUCAUUUGGUAAGUCAAUAAAAUGUGGGAUAGUUAAGACUGUUUCAAGAAAAACCGGUAAAAACAAGAGAUCAGUGGGGGAAAAUCAAAACAGAGAGAGGAAGAGGAAAACGUAGGUAAGGUUUGACGAAGCACCGUGCCUACUAAUUGGUGUUUUUUUAAUCCUAUCCCUAACUAUGGUGUUAUUUUGUAAUUUUAUCCUCGGCCCAAUAUAAAUUAUAGCUAUGCCUAUUAGAAAUACAAAUCUCUAUCUCUAUCUCUACUACUUAAAAACAAUCCAACAUUUCCCCUCCGGUCUUGCGUUCUCAUUUUCUUCCGCCUCCAACCCGUUUGGAUUUUUUACCACCUCCCAUGACUACAAUUUUUUUCUUACCGAAAUGUUGUUUGCUCACAUGUUUAUCAACCGUAACCCUUUCCCUCUUCCCGCCUUGCGUGAACUGGUGUCUCAGUGAGAUCGGGUGGGUGGGCGUGCCUCAUGCAGGAUUUGGUCCGGAUGAUGCUCCUAUCCUCGAGAGCUCGACGCUGAGGGCGAUCCACCGCUGCCACUGCCAGCCUUCUGAUCCACAACUGAUAGACAUGUCUCGAGAUCACCAUGCGCCUAGGGCUUCGUGCACCAUGCAAAGGGACGUGACCACUGUGACGAGGCUGUGCAGCUCACCUCCAAGCACAUGCCCAAGGUAAGCUUGGCUACUCCAUAGGCUUUGUGAUAAAUGUGUUUUCUUCAGUUUUCAGGAUGGUCAUGUUGACGAUUUCAAGAACUUGAUUGCAAGGUAUGGCUAUAGCUAUUGGUCAUGCAAUAUUGCGAGGCUUGAAAAACAUACUUGUUCGACAUAACUUUGAUUGUGCUCUCAUAGGUAAAACCAAACUCUGUCCAAUACAAAAUUGGCAUAGCUUAACAUGCUCAAAAGGGUAAGCUUAUUUCAUUGGAGUUAUCAUGUCCAAUAUUCAGAAGAGGAUAUUCAUGUUGAUGCAUUAUCCAUAAUUAUUCUCGUUGUAAGGACGUGAUUCCAAGGGGGUCAUGGAAAGUAAGCAAGCAUGUGAAAUAAUGUUUAUUUCCUUAAAUUGGUUGAAAUUUUCUAUGCUAAUGCUUAAUUUAUAUGCUCGAACUUUCAGGUUUGGAUUUACUUUUGUAAUGGGAAGCUUGCAUCAGUUGUUGCAGAAAAAAAUGCAUUGCUCAUAAAGAAGUAUUCUGGGCUUUUGAGAUAUAAAUUUUGGUGUUUAGAUAUUCUAUAUUUUAGAACCUAAUGUUGCAUACCGAGCACUAUUUUUGCUAGUUGAAAGCUACACCGGGUGCCUUCUACAGAGUAGUUAGUUGUCAGACUCCAUUGUUAUUGUAUUUCUUACACUACUGGAAAACAGGUUAUUAAUGGCGCACCUAUUUUGGCUACUAAUGGCGCACAUUAGGUGUGCCAUUACUAGCACGCCAUUAGUAAGUUUUAGUAAUGGCGCACAUUUGGUACGCCAUUACUAUCCCAGACAGUAAUGGCGCACCUAAUAGUGCGCCAUUACUAACCCUUACGUGCGCCAUUAGUAAUAAAGCCAAGUGCGCCACUAGUAAUCUUAGAGGUGCGCCACUAGCUAAAAAGCUAGGUGCGCCAUCAAUAAAGGCUGAAAUGCGCCACUAAUAGUAUAUUUGAAAAACAAAAAAAUACAAAUUAAAAAAGCAACCUAUAAGGAAAAAUAAUUUAAAAACAAAAAAUGAAAUAGAACCAUAAUUUUUAUUAUAGCAAGAAUAUUACCAUGUCUUUACAAGUAUCUAAUAAAAAGAAAAUUGCACAGAAAUAAAACAAAAUCCUAUAACUAAUCUUCUACUCCCUCCGUCCAGGAAUACCUCUCGCAAGGGGAGGAAAUUUUGAACCAAAGUGCAUUUUACAUUACAACCCGUCAUAUUUCAAAUCAAAAUCAAUCGAGUCCACGUCCGAUCGGUAGCAGCGCCUCGUCCUGGCAUCGAGGAGAGCCAGAACUCAUCUCUUCGGUAGCUCGUCACCACCCUCCCGGCAACCUCCGACAUCACAUACCCACCCUCCCAGCGUCGAUCAACUGCUUUGAGGUAGCAGAUUCCUCCUCUGUGUCUGCUCCUGCAAUUAACACUUUGAAUGCAAUUAACAAUUUGAAUGUUAAUAAGAGGCAAAGACAAGAUGGAUCAGUAUAUAACUAUGGAGUACAUGCACAAUUAGAUGUUCAAGCUGUUUAAUGUCACUCCCAUCAUCACAAUUUCAUCUCAGGAAAUGGAGUAGAAUAGAUUUAAGCAUAGUGGGAGAACUUGGUGAUGUGAGCGAAGCAAACUGCCUACAUUCUAGAGAUAGAGGAAUAUAGAUAUUGUUCCAUACGAGUCUGCAAACUUACAAUAUAGGACCAUAUAGGCAGCCCUGUCAUUGCCAAAAAACAAAUAUCACAGGCAGGCAGGGAUUCUAGAAAUAGAGACCAACCAGAAUUAACAAGAUGACACAGGCCAACAACACAACACACUUGUGUAGUUUUAAAGAGCAGUGAACCCUUGAUAAUAUGGAACGAUAACAUAUAAAGCCCAUUCAUCGUCAGUAAAGUAAAUCUGUGUGUGCCAGACUAGCAGGACUGGAUUUAACCGAACAAUUAAUCACAGCGCACUACUGGACCUUAAAAGAGUUAGCUAGCUAGGGGGGAGGGGGAAGUAAAACUAAAGCAUUGCUGGGUUAAUCCAACAAAUUUGCGAUACAGACAGAGUUAAUCCAUUGGAGUCAGACUUGUUCGUCACCAAAAAAUACAUGCAAGUUACUAACUUGCUAGCGGACCAAGAAGCUACAUGAGGUGAUGCAUUUGUGACAGCCUCUGUUUCAUCCAAACUAGUGUAAAUGGAUUUGAGCAACCCUAAACCGUGUGCGUACUGUAUGGGCGGCCAAAUCUGAAGGCACAGGCGGAUGGGAGCAGCUUCUCUUUCUCCCCCUUGACCAAAUCAGGUCAGAGACACAAAUGCUCAGGAAUCAGAUCUGGAGAUGGAAAAAGAGCUAAGGUAGCAGCAACAGGAGAGGAUACCUUCCAUGGCGUGCGUGGUCCUGGUGGGGAAGGGGAAGGAGCAGCUUCCAUGUCGUUGUCCUCCUUCCUACAGAGAUGAGACCUCUCAUGGUGAGAAGUCCAUGGAAGGAGGAGCAUAGGGGUCCGGUGCUGUACCUCGUUCCUGUGGCAUGCAUGCUAGGGUUUCGGGCGCGAGGCAUGGCUGCUGGCAGGUCGGACUUCCAUGGCCGGCCUCGAGGACCUCGGUGGUCGCGGCCCAGGUGGACGGCGGCGCGCCGAAGCGCAAGGACCCACCCACCCACCCGAUGUGGAUCUGGGACCUUCCCUUCCUGAUCCGCGGAUGGGAGAGAAGGUUCUCGAUCUACGGAUGGGAGAGAAGGUGGGGCGCGGGAGAGGGUGGAGCGGGGACGGCGGCGGCUCCACCACUCCCAGAUCCAGCGCCAACGCUGCCUUCCGAUCCGUCGCCGCCGAGCUCGGGCUCCUUGGCUGCGACUGCCGCGAGGAGGCGCGAAGGGGACCGAAGAGAGAGGAGGGCAAGGGCCGCCGCGCAGGAAGAGGAGGGAGCACUGGGAGGCAGCAUGGAUCGGUGCCGGGGCAAGGCCGAGAGACGUGUGUGCGUGGUGUGAGGGAGAAGAGGAUAGGGUUUCCGCGCGAGAGAGAGAGGAGAGAGAUGGUGGGCGGUCGGGCUGCGGCACUUGCCUACAAAACCACAAUGGUGCACCGCAUGGAAAAGUGCGCCAUUAGUAUCAAAAAUAGCAAUGGUGCAUCAAGGGAAAAGUGCGCCAUUACUAUGUCCAGAAAUGGGUCAAAGCUUGGUCAAACAUAGUAGUGGCGCACUUUUUACUAGGUGCGUCAUUAGUAGUUUUGCAAAAAAAGGAAUAAAAAAUAUAAUAAAAAAACAACAUUAGUGGCGCACUUUCCGAUAGGUGCGCCAUUACUAGUUACAACUAGUAAUGGCGCACUGUGUCUGGAUGCGCCAUUAGUAUGUUUGGACAGACGCACUAGUUCAUUUUUUUUGAUACUAAUGGCGCACCCUGGGCCAGGUGCGCCAUUAGUAGUUUCAACUCUAAUAGCGUAUCAGAAGGUGGUGCGCCAUUAUCGCACCGCUUGUCUGGUGCGCCAUUAGUGUCAAUCCCAUCUAUAGCCCUUUUUCUAGUAGUGUUAGCCAUUCGAGGUGUAUAUAAUAGUGUAAAUGCUUCAUAAAAUAACAAAAAUGUAUUGAAUGCAUAAUAGAAGUGUAUAGCGUUUGCCCUUGGAGAAACUUGUAUGGAGUCAUAUUGUGAUCUUAUAGAUUUAUGUUAUGAUGUUACAAGCUCAAAAUAGUGAGUUUCAUUUCACAUAUUACUAUACUAGACUCGGCCUUGUUCACCGUUUUAAUGCCUACUGUCGGUGUAAAACUGAAAGCCCAAUUUGUUUCCAACUAAGGACCAAAACUGCACUUGGAUGAUCAUUUUCAAUAAUUUUUUCAUUGUUGUUAUUUUGUUUUCCAUGUUCCAGUAACGACAACCUGAUACUUGUUUCUACCUUGAUGUUAGGCCCUAGGACAUGUUAAAGUUUUUUUCGAGGGAAUGCCAUCAUGGCUACUUUAUUGCAUAGGUAAUAUAGUUGCAUCAUUUACAAGGCAUUCAAUCAGGAAGUCUGGGGGAUCAUCCUCCCAUUUACAAGCUACAUUCUCAUGAAAAACAUUCUUUGCCCUACGUUGGCUUCCCUAAAGCAAUGCGAAAACUGAACUGAACCUAUCAUGCCAGCCAGGAUAAAACAAUCCGCGUAUAUUGCUGAAGCUUCGUUCCAGAUUCUGUCCUGACCUGAGCAUGCGUUAAUGACCUCCACCGAAUCUGAUUCAAUUUGGAUUGAGUGUAGCCCCAUUUCAUUUUCUAGCAUGAGACCCUGUUUCAUCACUAAUAUUUCUGCUGUAUAAGCAUCAGGUACAUGGGGCAACAAGGAACAUGCAGCGGCAAUAAACACACCAUAGCUAUCUCGAAUCACCACACCUGUGGAACCGCUGAAUGUUUCAUGAUGAAAGGAGGCGUCAACAUUCACCUUAAUAUUUCCUCUUGGAGGUUUGCUCCAUUUUACCCUAGGAUGUCGAAGCUGCUUUGCAGUGAAGGUAAAGAUGGUUCUGAGCCGAUGGAAUCUCUUGGCUGAUAUGUACAAGUCUACAUGGAUAGUGAUAUCCAUUUUUUUUGUUUGGUUAGAGGGACAAUAUGUGAUGGGAUUACUCCAUGUUAUUUUUUUGAACAUAGUACAGACGCAAGCGCUCAUAUACAUGCACAUACACCCAUCCCUAUGAACUCACACACACACCCUACCCCUAUGAGCGGCUCCGAAAGACUGAGCCGACAUAUUAUCUUGAAAUUUCCGAAGUCGCCGUAGGCACCUCGUCGUCAACGGGGACGUCUCCUCCUACUGAAUGCGCAUCGCCGGAAAUCCUAAAAUAAAUUCAGGAACAAAUGCGAGCACCAGGGCUUGAACCCUGAUGGGCUGGGGAUACCAUAGUCACUCUAACCAUCCAACCACUGUUAUAGGAACAAUUCAUGUGUGUGAUAUCUACAAUAGGAUACUAUUUUUUAUACUAGAAAUCUAGAAUAGACAAGAUGGUAAGUAUAAUUCAUGGGGCUUUACAGAGUCACCAUUCCAUUGUUUUGCUACAAGAUGGACACGGGAAUUUAUUACCUACCAAAUCCUCUUCAAAAGGCACCACACUACCAACAGUUAGUAACAAUCCUGGUUUAUUUUGCACUUUUCAGAUGACAUUUUGCUCCUGAUCAUGAACCGUGGAUUAGGGCGUAUAGUAAUGCAGAAACUAUAUGCUUCUAUGUACACAUAUAGAAUGAAUUACAAUCAUAUGAUUUAAAGCCAGAGUUUUGAUCAAGUUUAGCCAAAACAACAUUAAAACAAGGAGAAACCUUUGUUUCUUCUGAAUACGCAUAAAAAGCAUAUCAUACAUUUAUAGAAUGAAGAGGGUAUAAACACCCAUCCACGAGUUUACAAUAGUGCGACUGCUCGCAAUACAUCCACCUAGACAGGCGAUGAAAAAUCAGUUUCAAAUCCUCUUUGAACUUGCCCGCUAAUUUCCACAACUCCUCCACUAGGACCUUAUCAAUGACAUCGACCACAAAUAGCGAGGCAUUCUCAAACACAAUAUUUUUCCGAUGUUUUGUAUAUCUCCCACAUCACCAGGGUCACGAGUGUCUACCGAUAUUUCUUGAGUUUCUGCAUGGGGCUCAGUGUCCCAACAGACAAUCAUCCAUCCCCGCGUCUAUUCGCUAUUACCCAAGCCGACAUCACUUCAUACUAGAUCGAUCAUGCAAAGACGCAGGAAACCACCAGGUGGUCAAUGCUUUCUUGUUCCUUGUCACAAAGCGGGCACGCUUCCUGAUGCGAAGUCCUCGGCUAGCUAGUCGAUCAGAGGUCCAAAACCUGUUAGGGAGGGCAAGCUUGGAGAAGAAAUUGCAUCGUAGGGGCCCUUCAGAUUGGCAAGUGAGCGGAUUAAGAUCCCGAGGGUUCCCAAGUCUAGCGCACCGAUUCCUAGACUCACUCAUGAAGAACCACUGGGGAGAUCGCGUCCCUCAAUGAAAAUUACUCUCCCAGCUUCGUGGCCUCCAGAUUUGGCCCCAAAUCAAGCGGCCAUGCCAGGUGCACGGUGUCAUGAACUAUCCUGGUGGCCCGCACUCGAGGUCUGAUCCUCUUGUAAAGGCGUGGGCUGAAUUCCUGGAGCCAAAAUCCAUGCAAUCUCAUGUGUUCCCGAAAGAAUGACGAUCUACCAUCUUGGGAUAGGAAAUCUGAGUUUUGGGUGUGAAGACUUUUAAUCCUUUGACAGCGUGUUUUGUAGUUUAAGGGAAAGGGAUUGGGAAUUUAUGAGAGGGAGUUGGCUGAGGGAUUAGGCUUGGGAAGUGGCAAGUUAGUCCCAGUAAUUUGGUAUGGGGUGGGGUUAUUUAUGGGAAUAAUUUCCAUGAACAAAGAAAAUAAAUGGUAGGUUACGUGAGAUGUGCUCCUAUUUGGCGUUGCAUUUGCAGAUCAGGGAGUAGUUAGCGCUGGCCGGUUAGUUUGGAGGAAUUUUGUUGCGGGAGGUGGGCCACCAAAUAUGUAAUGAUAUGUUUUUAGACGUAUAAUUCCCAUUCCUCCGCUGCAUUACCAGGGUGCCCCUGGGUAGAUAUCGAUGGGAGUUGGCCCUCCUAAUUCCCCUUCCCAUUCCCUUACUAAUUCCCAAACCCCUGAACCAAUCAACGUAUUUUUAGUCUCACUAACCUUAAACUCCCAUUCCCUACCCCCAACUCUCCGAACCAAACACGCUGUGAUUGUUUGGGGGUAACGGGAGUUAAAGAGGGAAUAGGGAGGGGAAUUCAUGUAUUAAACUCCCUCAAAUUACUUACCCGGGGGAGGCCUGGUAAUUCAGAUGGAGAAAGGGAAUUAGCAUUUAACUCCCAUUCCCUUUCCCUUGGAUUGCCAAACAAGCUGUAAGGUCUAGAGGUGUUAGUUCCCAGCGGCCAUAGCUAACGCACACCAAUAACAAUGUUCAAGCAUAUGAAAUUAGGGAGUCCAAGCACACCAGUCCAUUUGGGCAAUUUUUCAACCAUCUAAAAAAUUAAGGAGAAACAUGUUUUUUUUGAGAAGGAGGAUCACCCUGGCCUCUGCAUCUGGGCGAUGCAUGGAGCUAUUUCAUUAAUUUUUCACCAAGACCAUAUAAAGUAGUACAUUAGGUAGUCUGAAACCACCAUCUUAGCAACAACUGUCACUACUCCUGUCCAUUUGAUGAAGGGAUGCCGAUAGUCCGAGCCUAAUACCAAAUAGACAUCACACCAAAGCCUAACAUCUAAAGCGGAGGCCCCAACCGAGCCACAUACUGGGGUUGGGGUACAAACCAGUCCAACGCACUCUCAUGUGUCACCGUCGUCAUCUUCCAUCAAUCCAUCUUCAGAGCAGAAACUAACGCACCGACUUUGCCAGGCCUAUCUGCCAUCGUCGCCACCAUGAUGCCAGACAACGUCCUCCUCCUGCGCGAGUCCAUCUCUGUGCAUCGAAUGUCGAGUCUCCACUGCGCCACGCCGUCGAGAUUCGCCGCCAUCAAUGAGUAAGAUGAAGCGCCGCUCCACUAAAGAAGCCGUCCACUAGUCCCUCGAGCUCAUUUACACCUCCAUGAAUGAUGCCCCCCGGGGGGAAACGACACCAGAGCACCGCCGUCAUCCGAUCUACUGAUCUAGGGUCUCCCCCGAAGGUAGCGGAUAGAGGUCUGGAGCUUCUCCAUGGCAAUGCCUUCAAGAAGAUAACGACACAAAAGAGUGCCGCCAUCUCCGGUCUUGGCAACAAGACAAGGACUAGGUUUUCACUCGGAUCUGCUCGACGAACCUCCAUCUCGCAUCGUGCGCACAUACCACGACCGCUCUCCGCCGCCUCGGAGCGAUCAAGCCACUCUGCAUAGAUCAGAUCUGACCGGAGGGCCAACCAUGUUCACAACCGACCAGUCCACCAAUGCCCUCCACGCCGCCGCCGAUCCGAGGUGCUGCAACACCGCGGCCAUCCGCCGUGGAGGCUCGGAUCCAGAGCGCACUUCCGCUCCCCCCGGGUGCCCCGUGCCACCCUCGUGCGCGAGAAGGAGAGUCUCCUCCGCCACCACCAUCAGCCGCCGGGCUUAGCCCGGCUGCUUCCUCCAGCGGCGGCAGAGGGGAGGGGUGGGAGGGGGAGUGACCGGCGAAUAAGGUUGGGUCCCCUCACCGCCCGUGCGGGGGGCGUCGGACGGGAGAGGAAGGGAGGAAGCGGCGGGCGGCAGCUCUGCUAUGUGUCGGCGGCAACGCUGCUGCUAGGUUAGCUCGCGUAGGUUAGCGGCUAUGAAGAUUUAUUAGAACGACACCUAAGGAGAAACAUGUGCAUCUAUGAAAUCUUCAUGAUUCUAAAGAAGCCUCUAAUAGGCCAGUUUUCUGCCUCUUACCACAAUUAACUUACUAUAUAUAUAACGUUGGACCGACCAAAUUGGUGGUCACAGCCACGGUUACAUUGUGAGGGAAAUCUGAUAGCCAGAGCCGCUGUUCGGUGCAUCUAACUAUAGUUGCCAACUCAUGGGCAGGCUUGUUACAAUCUCUUGGGCAAUGAACAAUGCUCCACUUGUUAAAACUCGUUGGUAGGAGAUAUCUAGCCUCACGAAAGACAGCACCAAGGUUGGAGCGGUCAUGCACCGUGGAAUUAAUGGUUUGAGCAAGUCCAAGACAGUCUGUCUCAAAAAUGACACGCCCCAUACCAUGCUUCUCAGCUAAGUGUAUGGCAUGCAACAACGCAGUUGCUUCAGGGUGCAGAGCUUAACUUAUGUGCACAAGCCUUCCAGCAGCAGCAAACAACACCUCACCUGUAUGAUCUCGAGCCACACAGCCCCAACCCGUGGUCUGUUUAGCAACAUCAAAAGCACUGUCAAUAUUGAGGUUAACCUUAUCCGCCAUCGGUUUACUCCACAGAGGUUUGCUCAGAAUCUGCGCUUUCUUUGUUUUUGCAUAAAAGACACACCAUUCAGCAACAUGCUUCUCCAAAAGGAAGCAGAACUCCUCAGGUCUAGCUCUCUUUUGUUUAUGAUUUCCUUUAUUCCUCUCCGUCCACCACAGCCAUAGAAAGCAUAUGAUUCUCAGCUUCCUGUCCUCUGAAAGGGCAAAUAUGGUGGCGAGGAUUUCGCUCGGUGACUGACAUUGCAGCCGGUUUAACCGGGACGACUCCAGCUCACACACACGCCAAAUCUUCUUGAGCUCCUUACAUCUGAAGAAAAGAUGUCCACCAUCCUCCGGUAAUCUAUGGUAAAGGACACAGCUAGUAUCGAGUUCAAUCCCAAUCCAUUCAAUAUUCCUCGGCAUAGGGUUACUAUUAUGUGUGACUCUCCACAAAAAAUGAUGCACUUUCCUGGGACAUCUAAUCUUCCAGAGGUUCUGCCACAUUUUUCCAUAAGCUGUAUCACCGGCAGCACCCUCACCCUGCUGCCUAGGGGCCAUCCGUUUCUUCAUGUCAAGGUGAACUCUGUACGCAGACCUCACUGAAAAUAAGCCCUUGCUAUCGAAUUGCCAAGCCAAGAACUCCUCAUGUUGCUCAAAAAUUGGAAUCUUUAGUAUUAUAUCAGUCUCUUCCGGAUUGAACAUUUGUCUAACCAACAGCUCAUCCCAGGAGUGUGUAUACGGGUCGAUAAGCUCUGAGACUUUAGUCAGGAUGGUAUUGCAAUGGGGAGACCUUGGAAACCGAACAACACCAGCAGGGAGCAAGGGGUCCUACCAGAUCCGGAUAUGCUCACCCGAACCCACCCUCCACACCAUCCCCUCCUUCACGACGGACACCCCUUGAAGGAUGCUCCGCCAAACAUAACUGAUGCCCGGGGUCGCUGUAGCUGCAAAAAUGUCGCCGUCCGGGUAGUAUUUAGCACAUAGAACACGAGCAUAGAGCGAGUCCGGUGCCUGGAUCAGCCUCCAAACUUGGCGAGACAACAUUGAAAUAUUGAAUGCGUGUAGAUCCCUAAACCCCAGCCCUCCCUGUUCCUUCGGAUGGGUCAUCUUCUCCCAGCUAGCCCAGUGAUGUUUAUGCUCAUCUCUUGGUUAUCCCACCAAAACGUCAGAUCAUGUCGCUUAUACUCUCGCCCAAGGACUUUGUCAGAUCAAAAUAGGCCAUGGCAUAGGCUGGAAUUGCUUGGGCAACCAUUUUUAUUAGGAUUUCCUUACCCUUCUUUGACAGCAUCUUGAUUUUAUAACCCUGAAGUAGGUCCCGGAUUCUGUCUCAGAGGUAUUCAAAAGCAGGCUUGACAAGCCUUGCCCACAUAGUGAGGCAGCCCCAAAUACUUGCCUUGUUGACCUUCGUUCUGUAGGCCGAGAAGAUGCAGUAAGGUUUGUUUCCUAAGCUGCGACGUGUUCUUGCUGAAGAGCACAGAAGACUUGUCCCGAUUAAUCAUUUGGCCCGACUCCUUCUCUUAUACUUCAAGAAUUUCAUUCACCAUGGACACACUCUCCUCGGUGGCCUCCAACAACAGCAAGGAAUCAUCAGCGAAAAGCAGGUGUGUGAUGGUAGGGGCCUCAGAUGCUACUUUGAUGCCUCUAAUCGAACCCAUGGAUUCGUCAUGGUCAAGCAAAGCGGAGAAACCCUCAACACAAAUAAGAAAUAAGUACGGAGAAAUUGGGUGUCCCUGCCUCAAACCUUGUCCUGGAAUAACUGUCUCGGUACAAGACCCAUUUACCUUAAAUCUGCAGCGUACAGUACGCAUAAACUUGCUGAUUUGUCCCACAAAGGUACUAUCAAAACCCAACCGUGUCAUGAUCUUCUCCAUAAAAUCCUAGUUCACCCUAUCGUAGGCCUUACUCAUAUCAAGUUUGAGUGCCGCAUAGCUAGUGGCUCCAAUUCUCUUUCUCUUCAAAAAGUGUAUCAUCUCAUAAGCCAAAAUCCCAGUUCACCCUGUCGUAGGGGCACGAAAGCACUCUGGUUUGGUGAUAUGAUAUCUCCCAGUAUGCACUUCAGUCUGUUGGCAAAAACCUUGGACACGAGCUUAUACACAACAUUACAGAGGCUAAUAGGGCGUAGAUCCUUCAAUCUUUCUGGGUUCUGGACCUUUGGGAUAAGCACCACAAGGGUGUCGUUCCAUCCCUCUGGAAUACAGCCGCCUCGUAAUACUUGUAAAACCUCGCCCACAACAACAUCAUCACCAAUCAGCUGCCAAUAGUGCUUAUAGAAGAUCGCUGGUAAGCCAUCAACGCCAAGUGCUUUGAGAUCACCAAUGUUAUCUAGAGCCUUCUUAACCUCCUCUGCAGUAAAAUCCGCCGUUAAGUACUCGUACAGUUGGGCAGAGAUUUUUGGUGCUACGUUAUUUAGAAUUACCAUAGUGUCAGCACCUGCCAUGAGGGUAAAUAAGCUAGAAAAAUAAUUAGUAAUGAGGGCCUUCAAGCCCUCCUCCCCGGUCACCACCACCCCGUCCUCCCUCACUAGCUUGGUUAUGGUAUUUUUCCGCCUUCGUUCAAACGCAUACACCUGAAAAUAUUUAGUGUUGCUGUCUCCUUUAGACAACCAAUCAGCAUGUGCCCUUUGCCGGCUUGCCACAUCAAUCUGUUCCUCAAGUCUCUCAAGCUUGUAUUUGACUGUUAGCUCCUUCCGAAUCAUACUCCGUGACAAAGGUAGCCGCCGGAUCUCCUCUAGUUCCAGUUUCAAAAUCCUUGCUCGUUUUUGUAAAUCACCCAAAACAUCCCGACUCCAUACAUGUAAUGCGUUAUUAACAGCUGCAAGUCUUCUAGCCACUGAAGGACCAGAAGCUCUCUCCCAUUACUGAUGAACCAAGUUGUCGCAGUCCUCCUCAAGUAACCACGGGGCUUCAAAUCGCUUCAUCUGUGUACCACCUCCCUUAUUCAUCAUCCGCCUACUGCCAUCAACCCAUAGAGAAAUAGGUCUAUGGUCCGAGUGUUCAGGAUAACCAUUAACGACUUUAUAGUGGGGAAAACGCGCACACCACGUUGGGGUAGCCACCACUCUGUCAAGGCGCUCACGGAUAUAACCAUCAAUGCGAUAAUUGUUAUUCCUCUAGGUGAAAACAUCACCCUCAAAACCAAGGUCUUUAAGAUUACAAAAAUCAAAAUCUAAAGCAUCACGGAAGUUUUGAUUACCUUACAUGGAUGUUCACUCAACUUGGACGAAAAACUCAGUUUGGUCACUGGACUUAGAGUUACGUUGUUUACAAUCACUAAGGUGGUUUUAUUGAAUAGAACUUGCUACUAUUUGUUUCAAAGAAGAACUCCACCAAUGCCUAUUAUAUGAUAGACACGAUUGAUAUUUGAACCACUAAAAUAAGUAUGCCCCACAUUCAUAUGCACAGACAAUUUAACUUUUUUUUGCGGGAGAGGACAGUUUAACCAGUAACUAAAAAAAUGCAAGACAUAAUCCAGGAGGCUAUCUCAUUUGCCCGCGCGUUAACAAGGAACUGAUUAAUACAUGAAGAUAUAAUAGGUAAAAAUUACUUCUAGAACAUUUUGAUAAGGAAAGAAUAAAUACAUGAAGAUAUAAUAGGCAAAAAUUGAUUAUAAAGUAUUUGCCAAAACAUUAAUAUAGGAAAUAAUAAAAUGAUAUUAAAUCCAUUCUCCGAUCUCUAUAUAAAGACUAGCACGCCCUAUUCCGGUGACAGCGUCGCUACAGAAGGACAACAACGCUACGAAGAGAAGGAUCCCCAACAUGACGAGCACCAGAGACAACACUCGCAUUCUGUGCUUGAUGGCUCUUGUCGCCAUGUCUACCACCAUCAUUUCCUGCCAUGCAGCAGGUACCUACUCCCUUCAUUCACAAAUGUAACAUAUUAUAUAUAUAUUUAUGCAUACUACAUACAGACUGAAAUAAGUGAGCAAACAUACUAAAAUGCAUCCAUAUACAUUUAAAUCAGAAAAAGUCAUCAUAGAAUGCUUUUACCACGCUUGCCACGUGGUGUAUUUAUUCUCUCUUUCAUGUGCAAAAUGAAUUACUUUCUUCAAUCUAAAUUCAUCAAAAUUCUAGUUUUAUCAAAAAAAACUUUAUCAAAAUUCUAGCUUUGUCCUAGGUUAAAUCUUUUCAAUUUUGAUCAAGUUUAUAGAGAAAUAUGCUAAUAUUUACGACAUCAAAUAUAUAUUAUGGAUACAUAUUUUAUGAUGGAACUAAUUUGGUGUUGUAGAUGUUGAAAUUUUCUCUAUAGACUUGGUCAAACUUAAAGAAGUCUGACUUAAGAUAAAGUUGGAAUUAUAACUAUUUUCUGGAAGGAAGGAAGCACCCUGGUAAUCGAUUGCUAUGCAAUAUAAAUGCACUAACGUGGUUAUCACUCCAUUGUUCAUAGGUACAACAGGUCUGGGUAUAACAAGCACUUUUACGAAAUUGUGUGUAGCCGCAAAAGGUUGUGCGCCCCCAAUCCAACCUAGUGGCAACGUUCAGUGCAAGGCUUAUUGUGUAGGCCAAGGUUACAAUAAGGAUAAAAGCUAUUGCUCACCAGAUAAUGGCGGCAUGUGCUGCUGCGAGAAGUAAUGAAUUACAUGUAUUGCCAUGUGCUGGAAAGAUAUGGUGCACCAUUGAGAAUAUCUAUCUAUGCACAUCGGAAAUUACUUCACAUGAAGAAUAAUCANNNNNNNNNNNNNNNNNNNNNNNNNNNNNNNNNNNNNNNNNNNNNNNNNNNNNNNNNNNNNNNNNNNNNNNNNNNNNNNNNNNNNNNNNNNNNNNNNNNNNNNNNNNNNNNNNNNNNNNNNNNNNNNNNNNNNNNNNNNNNNNNNNNNNNNNNNNNNNNNNNNNNNNNNNNNNNNNNNNNNNNNNNNNNNNNNNNNNNNNNNNNNNNNNNNNNNNNNNNNNNNNNNNNNNNNNNNNNNNNNNNNNNNNNNNNNNNNNNNNNNNNNNNNNNNNNNNNNNNNNNNNNNNNNNNNNNAAACACACGGCUGUGAUUACCGUAUACCCCUUUAUAAUGAUGGGCAUGAUGCUUUGCCGCUCCACUACGCUGCUCUUUUGUUAAAAAACAGCAUAAAAUUUAUAAGAACAAACUAGGCCGAAGCGUAAGACCGGUCCAUCGGCCCAUCAAUCUCGAUCUCCCAAGAAAAUGUUAUGUGUUUUAUGCGCACUUCAAAGGGCUCGAUCUACUGACCUCUGGAAUAAUAAAGCUUGUAAAAAACUUGGGGCGACCAACUAGACAGUAGUUUAUGGUUAGAGAAAGUGAAAUAACCUUUAUGACUUCAGCAUUCUAUAAGUAUAUAAAAUUAUCAACAGUAGGAUUCCUAUCAUUUGUGGAGAUAUUUUCUAAAAUGCCAAAACGCCUCCAUUCACUUGAGGCAGGUGAGGAAAGAGAAACCUUCACUUUUUCGAGGCGUUUCAUCAAAAUACUUUGAAAUAAAUCUAUAUUAAAGCAAUUAAAAAGAACACCUCAAAAUACUUUUUAUGCACGCAACCUGCCAUAGACGACAACUUGAUCCAGUCGGAUAUUUUUCUCUAAAACGGUAGGGCCAAGUUAGAUUUUGACACAGGGACCUCGAAUUUGAUGGACUGGCCCUGGAACACACGAACACUCCCAGCUCCAAGGAGGAACAACAUUCGCCAAAUUGAAAAACGUUCAUCGAUUAGAAUAAAAGUUCACGAUUUUGACAAAAAAUAAAAAAGUUCAUUGAUUUGAAAACAAGUUCACGAAUUUGAAAAAAGUCCAGAAAUUAAAUACUUUAUUCAAAGGAGGCCGUCUGAUUGGGCCGGUUUACUGUCGCGCAUGAAAAAAGGAAAAAAGAAAUUAAUAAUUUUAAGUACCUUUUUAAAUUAUAAUUUUAAAUAUUUUUUUGUUUCAAAUCUGACAUGGAUGCCUACCAUGGGCAUGCCUAUCUGGCAGAAGUUGAGGUCAUUUCAUGAAUGUCCAAAAGGACAACAUGUUCAACGGAGGGUGUUGGGCCAGAAGGCAUCGUUUGAGAGCAUAUUGUUUUCAGACAUCCUAGAAAUGGCUCCAUUUUUUUCCAUGGCCUUUUACGACAGUUUCAGGCAUUGUGUCAACUUUUUUUUUGUUUUUGACAAAUUUUGCAUUUUCUAAAGAUUUCUCGGUCAAAAAAGAUCAAUAAAUGGUCGGACGUGUCACAACUUGGAUAAGGUGUAAAAAGUCGUUCAAACCUGACAUGGAUGCCUACCAUGGGCAUGCCCACCUGUUUGUUGGGGAACGCAGUAAUUUCAAAAAAAAUCCUACGCACACGCAAGAUCAUGGUGAUGCAUAUCAAUGCGAGGGAAGAGUGUUGUCUACGUACCCUCGUAGACCGUAAGCGGAAGCGUUAUGACAACGCGGUUGAUGUAGUCGUAUGUCUUCACGAUCGACCGAUACUAAUACCGAAAGUACGACACCUCCGCGAUCUGCACACGUUCCGCUCGGUGACGUCGCACGAACUCACGAUCCAGCAGAGUGUCGAGGCAGAGCUUCGUCAGCACUACGGCGUGAUGAUGAUGCUAGCGGAACAAGGCUUCACCUAAGCAUCACUACGAUAUGACUGAGGUGGAUUAUGAUGGAGGAGGGCACCGCACACGGUUAAGGCCAACUCCACCGCGCGACCCUAAACGGACGUCCGUUUUGUCCGGAUUCUGUCCGUUUGGGUAGGGAUUUGGGGUCGUGUCCGGGCGUGUCCUGGGAUGCGUUGGCCGUGUGCCCACCGCGCGGACGCAUCCCGGCCGCAUCUUGUCCGCGUAUUAUUUCUUUGCAAGUCCUUAACUUUAUUUCAUCAUUCAUUUUUGGUACAUGGAAAAUGCAUCAUCACAUUUUGACUAGUAAAGCAAGGCCAAAGAAAACAAGAACCACAAGGAUACAUUUUAGAAGAUACCCAAUUUUCAUAACUGCUCCCUUGAGUUGGGUUAGGGCCUUCUCGACGCACUCGUUGUUGAUCUGUGGAGGAGGGUCGAUCUGGCAUCCUCCUUUCUUCUUCAAGCCAGAAGGCUCGAUCUGGCAUCCUCCUUUCUUCUUCAAGCCGGAAGUCGAUGUUGCUUCCUCCUCACACCUAGUCUCGUGUCUACCCUCUAAUCUAGCAACAAGUGCACUUGUCUCAUUUACAGCCUCUAUGCUAGCUAAAAGUGCAUGAACAUGUACUAAAUUUCAGUCUAUCAAUAUAUCGAUGUACUCUUCUUCCCAAUACCAAAACUUGCAUCCAUUCUACACAACAAAAUUUGAAGUUAGCACAACUAGUCAAAUCUAGAGCACAAACCGAAGCUAAAAAAGCGCAUACCUCAUCGUUUAAGCACUUGAUGAACACCCAUCCGGGAUGUUCCGGCGUUGUAGACACGUGGCGCACGACCAUCCUUGGGCAGUGGUCACACUUAAUGAGUGGCAACGGUGCACCGGCGAGCUUUUGGGCAAGCACCGAGCCCGGCCGACCGCCAUUCGUGUAUCUGCCGGCGGACCACCGACGGUGCAGAUCCGAGCGGCUAGAGGAGGAGCCACUGCCUGCAUGUGGCCUUGCGGCCCUGCCAGGGCCUUCCGGCAAGGUGCCCAGCCAGUCCAUGGCGCGGCCCGGCCUCCCACAGCCGGCCGAGCUCAAGACCGACCGGAUCCGCCCCAAAACCGGCCGGCGGGUGCGCAAACCAGGUGGCCGUGGUUGGGUAGCUCGGUGGCACCGAGGGGAAGGGGUUGGGCGAGCUCGCGUCUGAACUGCACGGCUGCAAUGGCAGCGGCGGUGGCGGCGGCAGUGAGGGGAAGAGUGGAGGGGGUGCUGCCGGAGGGAGGGAGGGGGGCGGAUAGAAAAAGGCCCGUCUUGUGCCACCGACGGGCGGGCCAGGGGAGGACAUGCGCAGACGACCCGCGCAUCCGCGUGGUGUCCGUUUCACCCCAAAAGCGGCGCAAACUUGGGCCGCGGAUGGGUCGAAAGCGGACACAAAGCGGACAAAAGUCCGUUUGCUCCCGCGCGCUGGGCCGCCUUUUUUGUCCCUUUUACCCCAAACGGACGGGGCCGGACAGGAUAGGGUCGUGCGGUGGAGUUGGCCUAAGGGAUCAAUGAUCAACUUGUGUGUCCAUGGGGUACCACCUCCGCCCAGGAGUGGAGAAGGGGGAGAGGGCCGGCCUCCUAGGCGCGCCCAAGGGGGAGUCCUACUCCCAGUGGGAGUAGGAUUCCCCUUCCCUAGUUGGAGUAGGAGAGGGAAGGAAGGGGGAGAAGGAGAGAAGGAAAGGGGGGCCGGCUCCCCUCCAAUUCGGAUUGGGCUUGGGGGGAGGGCGCCCCCACUUUGGCCGCCGCCUCCUCCUUUCCACUAUGGCCCAUUAAGGCCCAUUGACUCCCCGGGGGGUUCCGGUAACCCCCCGGUACUCCGGUAUAUGCCCGAACUCUCUCGAAAUAUUUCCGAUGUCCAAACAUAGUCAUCCAAUAUAUCGAUCUUUAUGUCUCGACCAUUUCAAGACUCCUCGUCAUGUCCAUGAUCACAUAUGGGACUCCGAACUACCUUCGGUACAUCAAAACACAUAAACUCGUAAUACUGAUUGUCACCGAACGUUAAGCGUGCGGACCCUACGGGUUCAAGAACUAUGUAGACAUGACCGAGACAUGUCUCUGAUCAAUAACCAAUAGCGGAACCCGGAUGUUCAUAUUGGUUCCCACAUAUUCUACAAAGAUCUGUAUCGGUCAAACCACAUAACAACAUACGUUGUUCCCUUUGUCAUCGGUUUGUUACUUGCCCGAGAUUCGAUCGCCGGUAUCUCAAUACCUAGUUCAAUCUCGUUACCGGCAAGUCUCUUUACUCGUUCCAUAAUGCAUCAUCCCACAACCAACUCAUUAGUCACAUUGCUUGCAAGGCUUAUAUUGAUGUGCAUUACCGAGAGGGCCCAGAGAUACCUCUCCGACAAUCGGAGUGACAAAUCCUAAUCUCGAUCUAUGCCAACUCAACACACACCAUCGGAGACACCUGUAGAGCACCUUUAUAAUCACCCAGUUACGUUGUGACGUUUGGUAGCACACAAAGUGUUCCUCCGGUAUUCGGGAGUUGCAUGAUUUCAUAGUCAUAGGAACAUGUAUAAGUUAUGGAGAAAGCAAUAGCAACAAACUAAAUGGUCAUCGUGCUAAGCUAACUGAUGGGUCAAGUCAAUCACAUCAUUCUCUAAUGAUUUUAUCCCGUUAAUCAAAUGACAACUCAUGCCUAUGGUUAGGAAACAUAACCAUCAUUGAUUCAACGAGCUAGUUAAGUAGAGGCAUACUAGUGACAUUCUGUUUGUCUAUGUAUUCACACAUGUACUAAGUUUCUGGUUAAUACAAUUCUAGCAUGAAUAAUAAACAUUUAUCAUGAUAUAAGGAAAUAUAAAUAACAACUUUAUUAUUGCCUCUAGGGCAUAUUUCCUUCAGUCUCCCACUUGCACUAGAGUCAAUAAUCUAGAUUGUAAUGAUUCUAACACUUAUGGAGUCUUGGUGCUGAUCAUGUUUUGCUCAUGCGAGAGGCUUAGUCAAUGGGUCCGCAACAUUCAGAUCCGUAUGUAUCUUGCAAAUCACUAUGUCUCCCUCCUUGACUUGAUCGCGGAUGGAAUUGAAGCGUCUCUUGAUGUGCUUGGUUCUCUUGUGAAAUCUGGAUUCCUUUGCCAAGGCAAUUGCACCAGUAUUGUCACAAAAGAUUUUCAUUGGACCCGAUGCACUAGGUAUGACACCUAGAUCGGAUAUGAACUCCUUCAUCCAGACUCCUUCAUUUGCUGCUUCCGAAGCAGCUAUGUACUCCACUUCACACGUAGAUCCCACCACGACGCUCUGCUUGGAACUACACCAACUGACAGCUCCACCAUUUAAUAAAAAUACGUAUCUGGUUUGUGACUUAGAGUCAUCUGGAUUUAGUGUCAAAGCUUGCAUCAACGUAACCGUUUACAACGAGCUCUUUGUCACCUCCAUAAACGAGAAACAUAUCCUUAGUCCUUUUUAGGUAUUUCAUGAUGUUCUUGACCGCUGUCCAGUGAUCCACUCUUGGAUUACUUUGGUACCUCCCUGCUAAACUAAUAGCAAGGCACACAUCAUGUCUGGUACACAACAUUGCAUACAUGAUAGAGCCUAUGGCUGAAGCAUAGGGAACACCUUUCAUUUUCUCUCUAUCUUCUGUAGUGGUCGGGCAUUGAGUCUGACUCAACUUCACACCUUGUAACACAUGCAAGAACCCUUUCUUUGCCUGAUCCAUUUUGAACUUCUUCAAAACUUUAUCAAGGUAUGUGCUUUGUGAAAUUCAAUAUCAUUUCCAAUCAACAAUAUGUUAUCUACAUAUAAUAUCAGAAAUGCUACGGAGCUCCCACUCACUUUCUUGUAAAUACAGGCUUCUCCAAAAGUCUGUAUAAAACCAUGUGCUUUGAUCACACUAUCAAAGCGUAUAUUCCAACUCCGAGAGGCUUGCACCAGUCCAUAAAUGGAUCGCUGGAGCACACUUUCAUGAUGCUCUGGAGAGGGGAAUCCGUCGCCAUCGUCAUCAUCAACCAUCCGUCAUCACCAAUUUCAUGAUGCUCACCGCCGUGCGUGAGUAAUUCCAUUGUAAGCUUGCUGGACGGUGAUGGGUUGGAUGAGAUCUAUCAUGUAAUCGAGUUAGUUUUGUUAGGGUUUGAUCCCUAGUAUCCACUAUGUUCUGAGAUUGUUGUUGCUAUGACUUUUGCUAUGCUUAAUGCUUGUCACUAGGGCCUGAGUGCCAUGAUUUCAGAUCUGAACCUAUUAUGUUUUCAUAAAUAUAUGAGAGUUCUUGAUCCUAUCUUGCAAGUCUAUAGUCACCUAUUAUGUGUUAUGAUCCGUUAACCCCGAAGUGACAAUAAUCGGGAUACUUACCUGUGAUGACCAUAGUAUGAGGAGUUCAUGUAUUCACCAUGUGUUAAUGCUUUGGUCCGGUACUCUAUUAAAAGGAGGCCUUAAUAUCCCUUAGUUUCCGCUAGGACCCUGCUGCCACGGGAGGGUAGGACAAAAGAUGUCAUGCAAGUUCUUUUCCAUAAGCAUGUAUGACUAUAUUCGGAAUACAUGCCUAUAUUACAUUGAUGAAUUGGAGCUAGUUCUGUGUCACCCUAGGUUAUGACUGUUACAUGAUGAACCGCAUCCAGCAUAAUUCUCCAUCACCGAUCCAAUGCCUACGAGCUUUUCAUAUAUUGUUCUUCGCUUAUUUACUUUUCCGUUGCUAUUGUCACAAUCAUUACAGAACACCAAAAAUAUUACUUUUGAUAUCGUUAUCUUUUGCUACCGUACCACCACUAUCAUAUUACUUUGCUACUAAACACUUUGCUGUAGAUAUUAAGUUUCUAGGUGUGGUUGAAUUGACAACUCAGCUGCUAAUACUUGAGAAUAUUCUUUGGCUCCCCUUGUGUCGAAUCAAUAAAUUUGGGUUGAAUACUCUACCCUCGAAAACUGUUGCGAUCCCCUAUACUUGUGAGAUGGAGUAGUUUUAAAUGGUGAACAUCACUAUGUUGAUCAUAUCUACUAUAUGAUUCACGCUCGACCUUUCAAUCUCUAGUGUUCCGAGGCCAUAUCUACAUAUGCUAGGCUCGUCAAGUUUAACCUGAGUAUUUCUGCGUGUGCAAAACUGGCUUGCACACGUUGUAUAUGAACGCAGAGCUUAUCACACCCGAUCAUCACGUGGUGUCUCAGCAUGACGAACUUUGGCAACGGUGCAUACUCAAGGAGAACACUUGUACCUUGAAAUUUAGUGAGAGAUCAUCUUAUAAUGCUACCGCCGAACUAAGCAAAAUAAGAUGCAUAAAGGAUAAACAUCACAUGCAAUCAAAAUAUGUGACAUGAUAUGGCCAUGAUCAUCUUGCGCCUGUGAUCUCCAUCUCCAAAGUACCGUCAUGAUCUCUAUCAUCACCGGCAUGACACCAUGAUCUCCAUCAUCUUGAUCUCUAUCAAUAUGUCAUCACAUGGUCGUCUCGUCAACUAUUGCUCUUGCAACUAUUGCUAUCGGAUAGCGAUAAAGUAAAGCAAUUAUUUGGCGCUUGCAUCUUAUGCAAUAAAGAGACAACCAUAAGGCUUCUACCAGUUGCCGAUAACUUCAACAAAACAUGAUCAUCUUAUACAACAACUUAUAUCUCAUCACGUCUUAUCACAUUACAACAAGCCUUGCAAAAACAAGUUAGACGUCCUCUACAUUGUUGUUGCAAGUUUUACAUGGCUGCUAUGGGUUGAGCAAGAACCGUUCUUACCUACGCAUCAAAAACCACAACGCGGUAUAGUAAUUGCUUUUUGAUCUUCAGAAAGAACCCUGUUCAUUGAAUCCGAUUCAACUAAAGUUGGAGAAACUGACACCCGCCAGCCACCUAUGUGCGAAGCACGUCGGUAGAACCAGUCUCGCGUAAGCGUACGGGUAAUGUCGGUCUGGGCCGCUUCAUCCAACAUUACCGCUGAAUCAAGAAACAACCAGUGACGGCAAGCAAUAUGUAUAUACCCACGCCCACAACUCCUUUGUGUUCUACUCGUGCAUAUAACAUCUACACAUAAACCUGGCUCUGAUACCACUGUUGGGGAACGUAGUAAUUUCAAAAAUUUCCUACGCACACGCAAGAUCAUGGUGAUGCAUAGGAGCAAGAGGGAAGAGUAUCAUCCACGUACCCUCGUAGACCGUAAGCAGAAGCAUUAUGAGAACACGGUUGAUGUAGUCGAACGUCUUCAUGAUCUGACCGAUCCAAGUACCGAGCGCAUGGCACCUCCGAGUUCAGCACGCGUUUAGCUCGAUGACAUCCCAUGAAAUCCGAUCCAGCAGAGCUUCACGGGAGAGUUCCGUCAGCACGACGGUGUGAUGACGGUGAUGAUGUUGCUACCGACGCAGGGCUUCGCCUAAACACCGCUACAAUAUGAUCGAGGUGAAUUAUGGUGGUGGGGGGCACCGCACACGACUUGGAACAAUCAACUUGUGUGUUCUAGGGUGCCCCCUACCCCCGUAUAUAAAGGAGCAAGGGGGGAGGCCGGCCGACCCCUGUAGGGCGCGCCAGGAGGAGUAGUCCUACUCCUAUUAGGAGGAGGAAAGGAAGGAGAGAGGGAGAAGGAAGGAGAGGGAGGAAAGGAGGAAAGGGGGGCCAGCCCCUAGUCCAAUUCGGUUUGGGCUAGGGGGGCCGCGCGCCCUGCCUCCUCUCUUCCACCACCUGGCCCAUGAGGCCCAAUACUUCUUCCCCGUAUUCUCAUAACUCCCGGGAACUCCGAAAAAUACCCGAAUCACUCGGAACCUUUCCGAUGUCCGAAUAUUGUCAUCCAAUAUAUCGAUCUUUAUGUCUCGACCAAUUCGAGACUCCUCCGCAUGUACCCGAUCUCAUCCGGUACUCCGAACUACCUUCGGUACAUCAAAUCACAUAAACUCAUAUUACCGAUCGUCACUGAACGUUAAGCGUGCGGACCCUACGGGUUCGAGAACUAUGUAGACAUGAACGAGACACGUCUCUGGUCAAUAACCAAUAGCGGAACCUGGAUGUUCAUAUUGGCUCCUACAUAUUCUACGAAGAUCUUUAUCGGUCAAACCGCAUAACAACAUAUGUUGUUCCCUUUGUCAUCGGUAUGUUACUUUCCCGAGAUUCGAUCAUCGGUAUCUCAAUACCUAGUUCAAUCUAGUUACCGGCAAAAUUCUUUACUCGUUCCGUAAUGCACUAUCCCGCAACUAACUCAUUAGUUGCAUUGCUUGCAAGGUUUAUAGUGUUGUGCAUUACCGAGAGGGCCCAGAGACACCUCUCCGACAAUCGGAGUGACAAAUCAUAAUCUCGAUCUAUGCCAACUCAACAAGUACCAUCGGAGACACUUGUAGAGCACCUUUAUAAUCACCCAGUUAUGUUGUGACGUUUGGUAGCACACAAAGUGUUCCUCUGGUAAUCGGGAGUUACAUAAUCUCAUAGUCAUAGGAACAUGUAUAAGUCAUGAAGAAAGCAAUAUCAGUAAACUAAAAUGAUCAAGUGCUAAGCUAACAGAAUGGGUCAAGUCAAUCACACCAUUCUCCUAAUGAUGUGAUCCCGUUUAUCAGAUGACAACUCAUGUCCAUGGUUAGGAAACAUAACCAUCUUUGAUCAACGAGCUAGUCAAGUAGAGGCAUACUAGUGACACUCUGUUUGUCUAUGUAUUCACGCAUGUACUAAGUUUCCGGUUAAUAAAAUUCUAGCAUGAAUAAUAAACAUUUAUCAUGACAUAAGGAAAUAAAUAAUAACUUUAUUAUUGCCUCUAGGGCAUAUUUCCUUCACCAGGCCACUGUGUCGCGCCAAGUGCGUGUCUAGGCACUGGCACCGCCUCAUCUCGGACCCCCACCACCGCAGGAGGCUCCCCCAGACCCUUGUCGGCAUCUUCUACGUCACCAGGGAUGAGCGGCACCCCCAGGAGGUCCACAAUUUUGCCAGCCUCCUCCCGAAGCUAGGACGCAGGGCUCUCGUCCACCCCUCCCUCUCCUUCCUGCCUUGCUACGAGUGCUGCAAGUUGGCGGACUCCCGGCCUCCUCCUUGAUGGGGAACGUAGCAUGCAAUUUCAAAAAAUUUCUUAUGCUCACGCAAGAUCUAUCUAGGAGAUGCAUAGCAACGAGAGGGGGAGAGUGUGUCCACGUACCCUCGUAGACCGAAAGCGGAAGCGUUAGCUUAACGCGGUUGAUGUAGUCGAACGUCUUCUCGAUCCAAAUGAUCAAGCACUGACGUACGACACCUCCGAGUUCUGCACACAUUCAGCUUGAUGACGUCCCUCGAACUCUUGAUCUAGUAAAGUGUCGAGGGAGAGUUCCAUCAGCAUGAUAGCGUGGUGACGGCGAUGGUGAAGUGAUCCGCGCAGGGCUUCGCCUAAGCACUACGUGAAUAUGACUGGAGGCGUAAACUGUGGAGUGGAGCUCCGCACACGACUUGGAACAAUUGAUGUGUGUUAGAGGCACCCCCAGCCCCCGUAUAUAAAGGAGGGAGAGGGGAGGAGGCCGGCCCUAGGCGCGCCCCAAGUAGGAGGAGUCCUACUUGGGCUCCUAGUAGGAUUCGGCCCCCUUCCUUUUAUCGGAGGGGGAAAGGGGGAAGGAGAGAGAGGGAGAAGGAAAGGGGGACGCCGCCCCCUCCCCUAGUCCAAUUCGGACUCCUCCCUUGUGGGGGGCGCGCCACCCCUAUGUGGGCUGGUGUGCCUCCCUCCUAUGGCCCAUAUGGCCCAUAUCUUCCCCCGGGGGGUUUCGGUAACCCCCCGGUACUCCGAUAUGUACCCGAUACAUUCCGAAACACUUCCGGUGUCCGAAUACUAUCAUCCAAUAUAUCAAUCUUUACCUCUCGCCCAUUUUGAGACUCCUCGUCAUGUUCGUGAUCUCAUCCAAGACUACGAACAACAUUUGGUCACCAAAUCACAUAACUCAUAUAAUACAAAAUCGUUAUCGAACAUUAAGCAUGCGGACCCUACGGGUUCGAGAACUAUGUAGACAUGACUGAGACACCUCUCCGGUCAAUAACCAAUAGCAGAAUCGAGAUACUCAUAUUGGUUCCUACAAAUUCUACGAAGAUCUUUAUCGGUCAAAUCGUAAUGACAAUAUACGUCAUUCCCUUUCUCAUUGGUAUGUUACUUGCCCGAGAUUCGAUCGUCGGUAUCUUCAUACCUAGUUCAAUCUUAUUACCGGCAAGUCUCUUUACUCGUUCUGUAAUGCAUCAUCCCGCAACUAACUCAUUAGUCACAUUUCUUGCAAGGCUUAUCAUGAUGUUCAUUACCGAGAGGGCCCAAAGAUACCUCUCCGAUACUCGGAGUGAUAAAUCCUAAUCUCGAUCUAUGCCAACCCAACAAACACCUUCAGAGAUACCUAUAGAGCAUCUUUAUAAUCACCCAGUUACGUUGUGACAUUUGAUAGAACACAAGGUAUUCCUCCGGUAUUGGGGAGUUGCAUAAUCUCAUAGUCAAAGGAAUAUGUACAAGUCAUGAAGAAAGCAAUAGUAAUAAAACUCAACGGUCAUUAUGCUAAGCUAACAGAUGGGUCUUGUCCAUAACAUCAUUCUCCUAAUGAUGUGAUCUUGUUCAUCAAAUGACAACUCAUGUCUACGGUUAGGAAACAUAACUAUCUUUGAUUAAUGAGCUAGUCUAGUAGAGGCUUACUAGGGAAAUUAUGUUUUGUCUAUGUAUUCACACAUGUAUCAAGUUUCCAGUUAAUACAAUACUAGCAUGAAUAAUAAACAUUUAUCAUGAUAUAAGGAAAUAUAAACAAUAACUUUAUUAUUGCCUCUAGAGCAUAUUUCCUUCACUCCUCUAUCGCUACUUCUUCGACGGUGAUCUCCCGGAGAUGUUCCGCUACAUGGUGUGCAAUUCCACCAGCGGAACCUGGCUCGAAUUGCCCGAACCCUCCUAGGCUGCCGCCGCGCCAAGCCGCCCACAACCUAUUUGGCUUUCGAUCCAGCCAUUUCCUCGCCUUUUCGUGUGUUUGAGUUCUCUGAGUUUGAGAACAAAUACUGCUUGGCUGGUGCAGCAAUCUACUCGUCCAGAACAGGGGUGUGGACUUUCAAGAGAAGUCGAAUGACCUCUGAGCUUAGAAUCUGCACUGACAUGAGAAGCGUCUUCUUCAAUGACAUCUUGCAUCUUGUCAUGCCUAAAUGUUCUAUACUGGCAGUGAAGACUGAUGGGGAGAGAUGGAGGAUCAUUCGUGUGCCACACCAGGAAGCAGAGUUGGAGCCUGCUUUUAUUGGCCAGUCCUAGCGGCACCUUUGUUACACGAAUAUAGUUCGUAGUGUCCUCGAUCCUCUAAGCCUGGUGAUCUGGGUUCUCGAGGAUUACAGUACAGAUGAAUGGAUACUGAAGCAUCAUGUGAGCAAUGAACAAUUGCUAGCGAAAAGAAACUGUCCACAUGGGAUCGAUCAUCCGUCCUUCCACCACUACUACUACAACAUUGUCGCUAUUCACCCGGAUUGCGGUUGAUUUUCUAUGUUGCUGGCAAGGAUAACACACUAAUGAAGUAUGACAUUGAUCUAAAGGAAGUGCAUGUUAUCCGCAAUCUUGGGUCUGACUGUUGUCGGGAAGCAUUUUUGGCGUAUGUUCCGUUGUACUUGGACACGCUGGAAGAACACCAAUCAAUUGCUGGUUGAAGUUUGCCAUGAAAGAUAUUUAGACCAUUGCAAGAGCUUGGUAUUCAGCUAGGAGCAGCACUAUAUUUAAGUCCUCUUGAAAUUGGUGACAACUAUUUCUUGCUAUGUUUGGAUGAUUCCUGCUUCAGUCUGUUAGUUUCUGCCAUUGUGCAACGUUUGGUUCUGUUAGAUGUCCUGCAAGGUAGCUUGAUGUAUGCUGGUUGUUUCAGUGGACUACUUGAAGUUUGCUUAUUCCGGCGGAUGUUUUUUGUUUAUGCAUGUUAUUGCAGCUAAAUGUAGGGAAGACGUAACUAGUAAUAUUGUACUACGUACUUUAUUGAAGUUGGUAUGGUCUUAUAUGCACUUUAUCUGUAGUCCCACUUAUUAAUUGAAGUUAGAUAUGUUAUAUGCAGCUACUCCAUUUUGUCCUUUCAAAGCACAUCCAUUUUUUAUUGUGGGUGUCUUUUCUCUGGGUGUUGGUACUACUGAAUCAUUACCUUUAUUUAAAUAAUUAAUACUGAGCUGUUUUGUCAUAUUUUUUCUUGUUGUUUCAAUAGGCUAUUUUCAAGGCUCCCUAAUAUAUUGCCAGAGUGCCAUUGGUUAUUCCAGUGACAACUCUUUGUUGAAGCUAUAGAGAGAACCAAGAGCAGAUUAUUGAUUUAUCAUCCCUCAUCCUCAGUUAUCUUCUAAUGCUUUGUCGCCUUUGAAUAAUUUUUUAAACUUGUAUGCUCUUUUCUACAUCUGCUUUCCCUCUAAAAGUUGAACAAGGUUUGGAAAAGAUACUAUGUAUGCAAAGGAAAUACAAAGAGGAACAAGAGAGAGAGAGAGCUGUGGGUUUAUUAAAUUGUUUAUAUUUUCAACCCCUUUUCUACUAAAGAUUAAUGUUUUAUAUUAAAUUGUUACCUACUCCCUCCGUCCGAAAAAGCUUGUCCCAAGCUUGGUGCUAGAUACAUCCAUUUGAGGGACAAGCUUUUUCAGACGGAGGGAGCAUACGUUGUAGAGCACUUUUCUAAAGUAAUUUUUAAUAUAGAUCCAUGAGAAAUAAUAUUGUGCUAAAUACUGGUUGCUUGUCUUGUCCUCCCUAAUUUUACUUUAGUUUCCCAAUUAGACAUUGCCUUGAAGCUAAUUUCUCCAUUUUGUUCUUCGGUAUGCUGACUUCUUUCAGGCUUCAGUUUUGAUCAACAAUGAAUAGACACACAUAGUGUUUUCAGCAUAAAGAGGGUUGAAUUUACUAGAAGUUUGAGGGAGAACAACCCUAUUAUGUCCUUUUUACUUUUCACCAUCAUUGAUGAUGCUAAUAGUGCUGUUGUGUUCUGUUAGAAUCUACUGAUGACAUGGUUGCCCUUCAACCAUGUUCGUUCCUUUCAAGAUUUGAUUGAGUUUGCUUACCAUGGUCGUUUCUUUGGGAAAUGGUUGAUUAAUAGCCGUUCUUAGGAUAGAAAAUUGAACAUUUGUUUGUGAUUCAGUUGACUUGUUGUGGUUUCUCAAAGCAAAAUUAAUAAAAAUAAAAAUGCUUUGGGGCCUCAGACUGGUUGUUGCAAGAUUUUUGUUAGAAACAUUCAUAUCUAGACAAACCUAAAGUGUUUUGUCAGUUCGCAUGCUCUAUAGAGAAAUCCAUAUAUAUCUUUCUCAUGGACUUCCUUUUUCCCUUUCCAGCCGAGAUACCCAACGUUGUGGUUCUAUGGUGUGUUCUCAUUAUGAUAGUCUUCAACCAGACCCUUAAAACUUAUCCAUGGACGGAAGCCCAGAAAAAAUAAAGUCAUCCAAUCAGAUCCCCAAGCUUCCGUUUUGUUUAGGGGAAGUGGUGGCAAGGAAACUGUCCGAAACUUUGGGGGCUUAGAGCACGAGAAAUAAUCAGCAAGAAAAGCUUUAUUGAUCCUCAUCGUCCGUCAAUGAGACACGACCGCUCAAAGAUCCAAUGUUACAUGCCGAGCAUAAUCAAUGACCUUAUUUUCAUGUCAAAGGAGAAACAUCCGUCUUAAAAAUCCAACAUGUUACGGGGAUGAGCAUGCAAUGUAACAUGUUGGAUUCUUAAGAAGGUUGUGUUCAUCCCCGUAACAUGUUGGAUUUUUAAGACAGUUGUUUCUCCUGUGAUAUGACAAUAAGGUCAUUGAUUAUGCUUGCCAUGUAACCUUGGAUCUUUGAGCGGUUGUGUAUCAUUGACGCGACGAUGAUGAUCAAUAAAGCUUUUCUUUAUGAUUAUUGUGUGCCAUUUUUUAAGUUAAAUGAUUUGAAGAUUGCUCACCAUGCUUGCCGAUUAUUGUGUGGUAUGAUAGCGCAAAGAUACAUCGAUGAACAUAUGUUGAUAUGCAUCCAAAUUAAUAAUAAAAUCUAAAUAUUGCAAAAGAAAAUCAAUGAUUCUAAUCAUUUUUUAGCAAUUAUAUGAUCGACCGUAGUUUCGUGAAUAAAAUGACAUGCAUGUGUUGCCAAAGAAAAAAAAAGAAAAAUGAACAUCCAUAUUGCUUCAGAUAAUUGUUUUUAUGGCUCCAAUUUUAUCUUCUUGCCAAGAAUACCAUGGAUAUCCAUUUUCGUGAAACUUUGCACCUCGAUCAUGUUUACUACAAUUUUUUUUUAGAAUCAUUUGAUGUUUUUGCUAUUUUCUCAAUUUUAUUAUUCAUCUGGGUGCAUGUGCGCCAUGUUUGAAAAAUCUACAUCGUUGCUCUUUUUCAUACAAAGCCCUAUCUAUCUAUUACUGGGAUUGCAAUUUCUCAAUCAGCUUCUAAACCGUUGGAUCUGCAAGGAUUCGUGGGGAUUUUUCCUUUUUGGUGUAUCACUUUUCAUUUUAGUACUUUUACACCAUUCUUUUUUUAUCUUUGUCUUGUCGAUAAUUUUUUCUUUCACGUGCUCAAUUACCGUUGCACGUCCACAUGUCGAGGACAACUAUAGUUAUUAAAACCAUUCAGCUACGCAUCAAAGGCGAUAGCUCGCGAUAGCCCCGUCGGCAAUGGUAUGAGACAAAAAAAGAUUUAUCAGGCCCACCACAUCGUUUGCUUUUUAUUCUAAGAAAAAGACAGGAGGAGAAAAUCGCCUUCAUAGCCCCUUCUCCGCCCUCCGCCUCGUCCUCUUCUCCGGCGCCGCCACCCCACCCCUUCUAUCCAGCGGUGUCGCCUCUCCUUCCCGGUACGUGAGCCGCCGCCUCGCCGCCACCCCUCCUCCUCCUCCUAUCUUCCGCCGUCUCGCUGCUACAGUCGUCCCCGUGAGCAAGCUAUCUAGGCUAGGGUUCAUCGGAAAGAAAGGAAAAAAAUCCCCAUUCCCUCCGCCGUCUCCUAUGCCCCGCUGCCCGCCUACUCUUCCUCUCUGCAGCAUCAUGUUUAUCCUCGACGUAGAAGGAUAGCACAGACUGAAGAGACGCCCUACCGUCGUGCUCCUUUUUGUAGGGACGGGGAGGGGGACGGGAAAGGGAGGCCCGAGGGCGGCAAGUUCCGUCAGAUGGUAGUGGCCAUCGCCUCGGAGGGCGCAGGGGGAGGCGCGCUGCUCGCGUCGCUCACGGAGCCCUGCGAGGCGCUCUCGUUCUGCAUGGAGGACGCAGGGGCUACUUCCCCGUCGAGUCCGCCGCCCGGGCGCUUGUGCAGCUGGCUGACGCCGAGGUCGCCAACCCCGACGAGAUGCUGCUCGCCGUGCGCGCCAUCACCUGCAGGUAUUUUAAGGAAUGGAGAGAAGCACCAUUCUCUCUUGUGUGAUGCAGCUUCGAGUUCUUUGUUUCACUGAGUAUUUUUGAAAGAACUAAUUGAUCUUCAAAAUCCAAAUAUAUGUACAAUUCAGAUAUUUCACUGAGCUUCUGUUUUUGUGGAAAGCAAAUAUAUGUACUCCAAAAUCCAAAUUGAUCUUCUGAGUCAAUUACUAUGGCAUAUUUUUUCCUCAUCUACAUACUUUUACUGUUUUACAGAUUGGUUUUUUUGCCUUUUUGUGGCAUCUUUCGUUUCAUCUGUUAAGAUAGCCACAACCAGUGACUUAAACCUCUAAUAUCUUGAGUCAAGAUUCCUUCUUAAAGUGAAAAUUUUCAUUUAUUCUGCUGCUGCAAUGAUUGGCCAUCUAUAUAUUUGGCUCUAGCUUACAGGUGGCAUUUAUUUUCCCUUUUAUGUAGGAUAGAACUUUUCACUGUAAGCUGCUAACUUAGCAGUAACCUACUAUUCAAUUUACAUGUUGUGACUACAGAUAACAAGGUUUGUAUUUUCUACUCAGCUGGUUGGAUAUUAGUUAUGAAGGUUGUCCCUGGAUUUUUGCUCUAUCGAGGACUGCAUGAGCUUGGUCAAUAUGCAUUCUUGGAAAUUCUCUAGGAGCCAGCCAUAAAGAAGGAGUUCCUACUGUAUGAUGUGGCAUUCUUAGUCAGGUAGGUCCAAUCUUCCAUCCUUUGUUUUAUGUUUCUUCUAUUGUUUAGUUUUCUUGAUAACCAGUUAUAGUCUUGGUCUUACACAUGUAUUCUUAUUCUUUGUUUGUGAGGAUAAACAUUUCUAUGCUCGCUUUUGUAGGUACUAAAUAUAACCAGAUGAACUGUUUUUGCAAACGACUGAGUGCUAAUUACACGAGUUCAAAGAUUAAGCUGAGUCCGAUCUAUUUUUCUGUCAAUUUAGUUUGAAGGUAAAUCGUUUUACAGUCGUCCCGUUAGAACUUGACCAGACAACAUGCAUGGUGGUUUGUAGUUUGUUGACAUAAAUGUCAAACAGUUUAUAUCUGCAUAAUUCUAGAAGUGCUCUCUUAUAAUAAUCCUCGGUACAAGUUGUAUCAGACUAGCAGUAUAAUGUUGGAUGAAUUGAUUUAAUUAAUUAGUGACUAUUUUUGCAUGAGAUGAUCAUUAGCUUUAGUUAUGUAUGUGAAAUAUGCAUAAAUAAUUUUUUGUGUUGUGCCCAUGUCCCAUGCAUAUAUGAUUUCCUUUUGCUACGUAUGUAUUCAUGUAUAUACCGCAUCCAUUUGGCUGAGUUGCUUGCCUUGCUUACUUCUACAAAUAAAGUCGUUUCAUAUUGGAAUUAUGAAACAUGAUUUCUAUUUUCCUUGAAGACCAAGGAAUCAUAUUUUAUUUAUUUUCUGGAAAAGAUCAGCAUGCUAAUUUUUCCUUACUCUUAUCCAGAAUUUGUUAUUGCCAUCAGAAGGUGUACUACUUGACCAUGCAGGAUACAAGGUGUCAUGAUGAUUUGAUGAGGUAAGGUAAUCGUUGAGUCAUGUUGUCAAAUGUUAAUGGAUGGAAUUUCUAAUGUAUGGAUGGAACAACAAGUCGGUGAUGAUAUUGCGACAUCUUAUUUGAGAACUGUAGACAUGGUUUUCCAUGCUGGACCUUGUGAAGAUUAUGUAUGUUCUUUGUUUAAGACUAAUUGUACACAUUCAUGUUGCAAAUAUUUCUUCGGUUUCUGUUCUCAAGGGUAUAGUAAUGCAGAAAUGGCUAAAUUUUACAAAUUGUAGUACUUCUUGUGAGCAAGCAUUCAGUUCAAAAGCUUCCUAACAUGCUGGUAACUUGCUAAAUUAGGCAUAUAAUAUUAUAAUUUUAGUUUCAUCUGAGAACUUCUCUUUAAGACAAUGGCAGUGAACAUUUGUUUCCGACAAUGACAGGGGAUGUCGGGGAAACUGAUCCACGAACACCUAUGGGGCCAGCGGACCGGGCCCCUUUCGGUUCGGUGGGGGGCGGAGGUCGCACGAAGAGUAGAUCGAGGCGAAGCACACGAGCAGUUUACCCAGCUUCGGAGCUCUCCGGAGAGAUAACACUCCUACUGCUGCUUGUCUGGUUGUAUUAUGUUCUUGCUCGUGAGAGCUAAGUGUUUUCUGGCUUACGAAUGAGUCGGACCCUCCGAAUGAGUCGACCCUCCUCUACGUUGCGCAUGGGCCUCCUUUUAUACGCUAAAGGGGUCACCGACAGGUGGCAACACAGAGAAGGGUACAAAUGUAAAAAGCGAGGUGGUUGGUACAGUUACUUGUACAGUGCAUCCUACCUAACCCUGACGGCAGGGGACAAAGGCAUUAAAUGCCCGUCUGAGUCACCCAAACAAUGCAGAAAAGGACCGUUAGGGGCGCCACUGUUCGCCACGAUGGCGAUCUUGUCAGCUUCGCAUGCCACUGUGCACCGCUGGCUGCAUAGCCUCCCACCACGCGCGCCUGGAGAGGCCCCCAGAGCGACACGUUGGUGGAUGCGCUGGAGCGUGGGCACAGAGUGGCCGCCUGCCGCGGCAAGCGCCUUGCCGCUGCUGUUAUCUUGUCGGGUCCGGAAGCUUGUCGCUCACUGGGCCUCGAGGUACCUUGGUUGGUCUUCCCGGCAAGCUCCUCUUGUCGGGGCCUUGUUGCCUUGCCGGAGCGCGUGGCGCGUCGCGGCAAGUUCCUUGGAGUGCCUUGGUGGGCCUUCCCGGCAAGAUCCUCUUGCCGGGGUCUUGUAUCUGUCCUCCCUAGCAGGGCAGGAUGCUCCUUGCCGGGAAGGUAGCUUGUGUCUUGCUUGCCGAUGUAGCGCUUGUCGGCGAAGAUGGAUCCUCUUUAGCGUAAUUGCAUACAGCCGUGGUCCAUGCCCGGCGGUUAGUGUAGCCCUGGUUUUCACUACACCGACAGUAGCCCCCGGGCCCGGCUGCAGCGGAGAACUUCAUGAAUUCGACGCUGGAGACGGGACCAAGCUUGGCAUGGGCCAUGGUUGUUGUUGCACUCGAAGGAGCUACAAACCCCCGAGCCUACUUCCAUGGAAAUUUUCUGGCAGAGAACUCUAUAGAUCUUGAUGCCAGAGUGUUGCUUUGUUUCCUUUCUUGCUCCCGGCAAGGCUGUUGCCGGGAGGUCUUAUGUUUCUCGUGGAGACUUUUGAUGUUCUCGACGCCGGCUUCCAGCAAGCUCGUCGCCAGGAAGGCUUUUAUCUUCAGCAGAGAACUUUGACGUUCUCGAUGCCAGCUUCCGGCAAGCUUGUUGCCGAGAAGGCUUUUAUCUUCAGCAGAGAACUUUGACGUUCUCGAUGCCGGCUUCCGGCAAGCUUGUUGCCGAGAAGGCUUUUAUCUUCAGUAGAGAACUUUGACGUUCUCAAUGCCGGCUUCCGGCAAGCUUGUUGCCGAGAAGGCUUUUAUCUUCAGCAGAGAACUUUGACGUUCUCGAUGCCGGCUUCCGGCAAGCUUGUUGCCGAGAAGGCUUUUAUCUUCAGCAGAGAACUUUGACNNNNNNNNNNNNNNNNNNNNNNNNNNNNNNNNNNNNNNNNNNNNNNNNNNNNNNNNNNNNNNNNNNNNNNNNNNNNNNNNNNNNNNNNNNNNNNNNNNNNNNNNNNNNNNNNNNNNNNNNNNNNNNNNNNNNNNNNNNNNNNNNNNNNNNNNNNNNNNNNNNNNNNNNNNNNNNNNNNNNNNNNNNNNNNNNNNNNNNNNNNNNNNNNNNNNNNNNNNNNNNNNNNNNNNNNNNNNNNNNNNNNNNNNNNNNNNNNNNNNNNNNNNNNNNNNNNNNNNNNNNNNNNNNNNNNNNNNNNNNNNNNNNNNNNNNNNNNNNNNNNNNNNNNNNNNNNNNNNNNNNNNNNNNNNNNNNNNNNNNNNNNNNNNNNNNNNNNNNNNNNNNNNNNNNNNNNNNNNNNNNNNNNNNNNNNNNNNNNNNNNNNNNNNNNNNNNNNNNNNNNNNNNNNNNNNNNNNNNNNNNNNNNNNNNNNNNNNNNNNNNNNNNNNNNNNNNNNNNNNNNNNNNNNNNNNNNNNNNNNNNNNNNNNNNNNNNNNNNNNNNNNNNNNNNNNNNNNNNNNNNNNNNNNNNNNNNNNNNNNNNNNNNNNNNNNNNNNNNNNNNNNNNNNNNNNNNNNNNNNNNNNNNNNNNNNNNNNNNNNNNNNNNNNNNNNNNNNNNNNNNNNNNNNNNNNNNNNNNNNNNNNNNNNNNNNNNNNNNNNNNNNNNNNNNNNNNNNNNNNNNNNNNNNNNNNNNNNNNNNNNNNNNNNNNNNNNNNNNNNNNNNNNNNNNNNNNNNNNNNNNNNNNNNNNNNNNNNNNNNNNNNNNNNNNNNNNNNNNNNNNNNNNNNNNNNNNNNNNNNNNNNNNNNNNNNNNNNNNNNNNNNNNNNNNNNNNNNNNNNNNNNNNNNNNNNNNNNNNNNNNNNNNNNNNNNNNNNNNNNNNNNNNNNNNNNNNNNNNNNNNNNNNNNNNNNNNNNNNNNNNNNNNNNNNNNNNNNNNNNNNNNNNNNNNNNNNNNNNNNNNNNNNNNNNNNNNNNNNNNNNNNNNNNNNNNNNNNNNNNNNNNNNNNNNNNNNNNNNNNNNNNNNNNNNNNNNNNNNNNNNNNNNNNNNNNNNNNNNNNNNNNNNNNNNNNNNNGUUCUCGAUGCCGGCUUCCGGCAAGCUUGUUGCCGAGAAGGCUUUGAUCUUCAGCAGAGAACUUUGACGUUCUCGAUGCCGGCUUCUGGCAAGCUUGUUGCCGAGAAGGCUUUUAUCUUCAGCAGAGAACUUUGACGUUCGCGAUGCCGGCUUCCGGCAAGCUUGUUGCCGAGAAGGCUUUUAUCUUCGACAGAGAACUUUGACGUUCUCGAUGCCGGCUUCCGGCAGCUUGUUGCCGAGAAGGCUUUUAUCUUCAGCAGAGAACUUUGACGUUCUCGAUGCCGGCUUCCGGCAAGCUUGUUGCCGAGAAGGCUUUUAUCUUCAGCAGAGAACUUUGACGUUCUCGAUGCCGGCUUUCGGCAAGCUUGUUGCCGAGAAGGCUUAUGGCGAAGAACUUCGUCGUUCUUGACACCAAGAAGAUUGGUCGUAAGGGCGUUGCCAGCCCCCGGGCCAUAACUGCGUUUAAACAUGACAAGUGAUUAGCAUCUGAAGUUCACUUAACUCACUUGCAAAUUUUGACUUCUGCUACAUAUUCCCUAUGCCUGCUGGAAUGCUUUCCGGUGCGUACGAUCCAGCCAGCAGCGCUUGAGGGAACGGGCCCUUAGCGGCUAUUCGGGAACGUCGCCUCCCGGAAAGGUUUACCUUCUUGGCUCUAGCGCAACCGCACAAGUUGCCGAGCGGACUCGAAGCAACAUGGAGCGCAACUAGCCCCGAGAAGGUUCCUUGGCAUACAGGUCUAUGCAGAAAUCUCAAAUAAAUAGUGCAUGGUAUCUUCCUGUUCAACCUCUCUUUGUACGUCCACCCUACGCUUUUAGGGAACUUGUCGGCGCAGGCACCUUAGCCGCGAGCGCUGAUUCCUCCGCGCACAGUUGUUGAGCGGACUCGAAACAAAGUAAGGGCGCAACUAGCUACGAGUUGGUUCCUCCACGCACAGGUUUUCCAUACAAAGAACAAGAUCUCCGAGGCGGAUAACCUUAUAUAGAAAGAAAAUAUCUAAAGUUUCGCAUGACUUAGCUUUUCUGUUGCCGCACUGGCGUCGUUCUUUUGGUCGCCUGCUUCUUAGGAGCCAUGACGAUGAAGAACAGCUGAGCCUUGACGAGGACGGAACGGCUGCCGCCGAAGUCUUCUUCCUCGGUGGCAUGUCGAUGAAGAAGAUGAAGAUCUAGCUCGUGUGAACGCCGGAUCAGGUUCACACAAUCUCGACGCCCCCCUACCUGGCGCGCCAAAGAUGUCGGGGAAACUGAUCCACGAACACCUAUGGGGCCGGCGGACCGGGCCCCUUUCGGUUCGGCGGGGGGCGGAGGUCGCACGAAGAGCAGAUCGAGGCGAAGCACACGAGCAGUUUACCCAGCUUCGGAGCUCUCCGGAGAGAUAACACUCCUACUGCUGCUUGUCUGGUUGUAUUAUGUUCUUGCUUGUGAGAGCUAAGUGUUUUCUGGCUUACGAAUGAGUCGAACCCUCCGAAUGAGUCGAUCCUCCUCUACGUUGCGCAUGGGCCUCCUUUUAUACGCUAAAGGGGUCACCGGCAGGUGGCAACGUAGAGAAGGGUACAAAUGUAAAAAGCGAGGUGGUUGGUACAGUUACUUGUACAGUGCACCCUACCUAACCCUGACGGCAGGGGACAAAGGCAUUAAAUGCCCGUCUGAGUCGCCCAAACAGUGCAGAAAAGGACCGUUAGGGGCGCCACCGUUCGCCACGAUGGCGAUCUUGUCAGCUUCGCAUGCCACUGCGCAUCGCUGGCUGCACAGCCUCCCGCCACGCGCGCCUGGAGAGGCCCCCAGAGCGACACGUUGGUGGAUGCGCUGGAGCGUGGGCACAGAGUGGCCGCCUGCCACGGCAAGCGCCUUACCGCUGCUGUUAUCUUGUCGGGUCCGGAAGCUUGUCGCUCACCGGGCCUCGAGGUACCUUGGUUGGUCUUCCCGGCAAGCUCCUCUUGCCGGGGCCUUGUUGCCUUGCCGGAGCGCGUGGCGCGUCGCGGCAAGUUCCUUGGAGUGCCUUGGUGGGCCUUCCCGGCAAGCUCCUCUUGCCGGGGUCUUGUAUCUGUCAUCCCUAGCAGGGCAGGAUGCUCCUUGCCGGGAAGGUAGCUUGAGUCUUGCUUGCCGAUGUAGCGCUUGUCGGUGAAGAUGGAUCCUCUUUAGCGUAAUUGCAUACAGCCGUGGUCCAUGCCUGGCGGUUAGUGUAGCCCUGGUUUUCACUACACCGACAGGGGAUAUCGUAUAUUUUGCUCUCUAAAAAUGAACUAUUGUGGUGUUGUUCACGUAUCAAUGUGCCAUGUUUUCUAUCUAAGAAUAUGCCACAUUUGCUAAAUAAACCAGCUCAUUAAAGUGAUGGACAACUAAAUACUUUUUAUAGAGCUAAAAUUAUAUAUAGGCAACCAAACAACCUUCCCUUUCAAAAAAGGCCAAGCAAACAUCUGGGUAACUUCCUGGCGCGGCGGAGCGCCCUUGCCCACUACUACAUAUUGUGAACCGUCAACUCAUACAAUUUUGAAGAAAACAUGAACUGGAUAUAUGAUGCAUUUUCUUCAAAGUAUGGUAUAUUUAGUUGGAAAGAAUGACAUUUUGUCAAGGAAGAAACUGCCUUAAAUCCCUUAUGAUAAGCAUGCGGUAGAUCCGGGUGCAACUCAUAUGCACCAGAAUACUUGGCUAUAGCAUGUUUUGUUAGAUCCAUUCUUAAGAAAAUGCAUUAUUCUUGAAAGGCGGCACGCUCACUGCAGCUUGACCACGUCAUCCCUGCCAAUGCCGAUUAGCUCAGCCUUGGUGGCGGCGGGCUCCUGGACUACCUCAAGCAGGCGCCUGCCGCGGCGGCCGACAUGUGAGGUAUGCUCUUUGGUACUAACUCUUCAUUCUCGACAUCUGGCUGUGUCUGUUCCUCAUAUUGUCUCCAAAUACCGGUGCGAAAAGGCUUUCUUCUAGAUAUGCUCAUUAUGGUUCUCCAAAUACAAUACAUUCAAUGAUAUUGUAGUUUUUGUGGGCUUGUUCUUUAUAAGAAAAUAAUUGUACACAUAGCACUGUAGUUAGAAGCAGGUCUACGAAGGCAUGGCUUCAAAAUUCCAUAUACAUGUUUUGUUCCUUUUUCUUUCCAUAUCUAUGGUUUUCAUACUAAUUUAUGUUUUCCCCUCAAGGGAGGACAUGUGUAUUUGAGAGAGGGUUAUGGAAAAGAGGGGGCUGGACUAAGAGGAAGGAGUGGAAUCACAUGAUGUGCAUUGCAUUUCUGUCUGUGCAAUCCAGUUAUAUAAUGAUAAGGCUUUAUACAAUAAUAAGCUCCCUAUCUGUUGAACAUCACAAUUAGUACAGAGGCACAAGUCAUUUCUAACAAUUGAAGAUCAAACAAACAAUACUGUAGAAUUAUGCCAAUAUAAGUUUUUGAUGUACAUUGAGCUUGUCAGUUUUACUGUCACCUUUAAUUUUGGAGACAUGGCUAACUAUUUUCUCCACUAUUUGGCAUCUUCCCAUGUUCAUCUUGACAGUCUGGUUUUCUAUGAUCUUGUUUUCUAUUUGCAAGGGCAAAUUAUAUUUCAAUGAUACAAAUGGCUGAUGUUAGUUUUGGUAUAUAUGUGGUCAAGAAAGGUUGUCAUGUAGUGAUGGCCUCAGAUUUGUUAUGGGGCAGUUUUUUUAAUAGAGCGCUUCUUGCGCACAAGCACUGGAACCAUCGGUCUAUGACAUACAUGGUUCUCUAUAACUUCUACCAGAAUGCUUUCUUUGUGUUAAUGCUCUUCUAGUACAUAUUCCCUCCUCUGUGUGUUUCUCAUAUGAUGUAAGCUCAGUAUAUCUGUGUUACCUUUGUUACCUGUCACCUACAAUUUGACUAUCCAAAUGUAUGAAUAUAUGGAAGCAUCAUCCCGCACUCCCUUUUGGCCUUUUUGGACCUCUUGUAAUGUACACUGGUCUAAUUAAGUUCUUAAUGAAUUGAUUUAGCCACACUACAUAUUAUGUAACUCUUGUGCUGAUAGAUUAGAGUACUACUUUCCGUUCCAUUAUCUGCACAUCAGUUCCCACAGUAGUUGUUGAUAUUCUAGAGGACUUACUCAUAAUAGUCAUAAUACCCUUCUUUAUUGUCUGAGACUAUUGAGGCAAAGCUUCAAAAUGAGGGCUACAACCUGACACUCUUCUGAAACAUAAUGGUAGAUACCUUGUAACAAAGCCUUGUCCUUUCCUAUGUACAUUUCUUCACAUAUAAUAUCAGUUCUGUUUCAUGUAGCAGUCUUCUUUGUUAGUAAUGUUCCAUGUUUCUGUUUACAUGUACGUUCAUUAAUUUUCCCGUUUGAGCCCCCUUAAUUAGUAAGGUGAGCUCACAAGCUUGGGUCCUAAACCAAAAGAGCUCGAGAAACUCAUCAUACAUUCCUUCUACAGGACACUAGCAACCUCGGAUACAAGUACCCGUGGUGGUUUCUCUGUUCUUAGGAGACAUGCUGAAGACUGUCUUCCUCGGACAGUUAGCAUUGCAAGCACUUUUUGACUCCACUUGAUGUCUACAAAAUUUCUGGCUUAUUGAAUGAUAUGGUUACUUGCAAGACAUGUCGCAGAAUCCACAUAGAACCGGGUGGCAUUUUCCUCACAUUUCAUGGUGAUUUUAAUUUGAGCAUUCAGCUUGAAUACCCUUUAAACUUUCCGUCGUUGUGCUCUUAUUGUUUUGGUGUAGCACUUCAUGUCACAACUGAAUGUUGAAUUCUUACCACUGCAGAAACUUCAACAUAUACUGAUUCAUUAGAUAAUGAGUAUGUGUGAGCUCUCUUUUUUUCUUUCUGGUUGAAUGUUGAAUUCUUACCACUGCAGAAACGUGCAACAUAUACUGAUUCAUUAGAUAAUGAGUAUGUGUGAACUCUCUCUGUCUUUCCGGUUCUACCUCAUGCCAUCAGUGUUUUGUGUUUCAGAUGCCCUAAUCUCCCUUGUAUUUAAGCGUCAUUUAUUUAGCUCUUCUGAAAUUUGUCGCCAAAGUAAGUGGAAUUGGCGCUUUCAACCUGGCACCGCCCAGAUUUCUCUCAAGAGGCGCCACCAGGUGGCGCCCCAACCCCUAGUGUGCAUGAAAGGCAGACACACUCCGGCUGAGGUUAACUGUAUCUACACACGAAGUCGGGCGAGCACGCAACUGUACACGUUUGUUGGCUGGGCGCAACUACAGUCUAUAGUUGUACACCUGCCAUCUGCAUACAACUUUUUUUUGCGAGUGUCCGCAUACAACUACAAUUGCACAUUCCUCAUUGGCCACACGCAAGUACAAUUGCACAUGCAAUACAUGCUUUACAAUUGGGCUGCUAGAUUUUUAAGUUGUAGUAUUUAUGUUUUUCAUAUUUAUGAAAAUAUAUUAGAACAUUAGAUCUCAUGCAAUACAUGUUUUAAAUUAUCGUAACAUCUAUAGCCAUAUCUGAAAAUGCACAUAUUUGAAACAACCAUCCGAGGGACAGACCCUGUCAUGGUGCCCCUUGUUUUGGUGCAGCACAAAACAAGCACACAAUAUUUGGUCUUUUCUUCACCAAAUUAGAUCCAACAAGAAAAAUGCACAUUCUAAAAGCAGCAUCUACUUCUCUACGGACAUCGUUGAAUGCAGAGCUUUAUGUCACACAACGACUACUUUUCCGUGUCAAAGACCGCUUAGUGGCCAGUAACGCGCGACUUGAAUUUUUUCUAUUACACUAUACCUUUUUUAAACAAAACUAGAUAAUUUCCUGUGCCUUGUAAGGAUAUAAAUAUUCUAAUAGUAUGUUAGUUCAGGAUUUACCUGCACAUAUUGACGUGAUUAUGUAAAUAAAUGUUUAUCAAAUCAAUGUCAUAAUUUACCUAUCUAAAUAAAUUUAGUAUUUUAUUUGGUAAGAACUUACUGAGUUAACAAAAAAACAUAAAUUUAUUUCGUAUGUCAAUAAAAUGUGGGAUAUUUAAGACCGUUUCAAGAAAAACCGGUAAAAACAAGAGAUUAGAGGGGGAAAAUCAAAACAAAGAGAGGAAGAGGAAAACGUAGGUAAGGUUUGAUGAAGCACCAUGCCUAAUAAUUGGUGUUUUUUAAUCCUAUCCGCAACUAUGGUGUUAUUUUGUAAUUUUAUCCUCGGCCCAAAAUAAAUUAUAGCUAUGCCUAUUAGAAAUACAAAUCUCUAUCUCUAUCUCUACUACUUAAAAACAAUCCAAGGUUUCCCCUCUGGUCUUGCGUUCUCCUUUUCUUCCGCCUCCAACCCGUUUGGAUUUUUUACCACCUCCCAUGAUUACAAUUUUUUUCUUACCGAAACGUUGUUUGCUCACAUGUUUAUCAAUCGUAACCCUUUCCCUCUUCCCGCCUUGCGCGAACUGGUGUCUCAGUGAGAUCGGGUAGGUGGGCAUGCCUCAUGCAGGAUUUGGUCUGGAUGAUGCUCCUAUCCUGGAGAGCUCGACACUGAGGGCGAUCCACCACUGCCACUGCCAGCCUUUUGAUCCAUAGCUGACAAACAUGUCUCGAGAUCACCAUGCGCCUAGGACUUCGUGCACCAUGAAAAGGGACGUGGCCACUGUGACGAUGUUGUGCAGCUCACCUCCAAGCACAUGCCCAAGGUAAGCUUGGCUACUCCAUAGGCUUUGUGAUGAACGUGUUUUCUUCAGUUUUCAGGAUGGUCAUGUUGACGAUUUCAAGAACUUGAUUGCAAGGUAUGGCUAUAGCUAUUGGUCAUGCAAUAUUGUGAGGCUUGAAAAACAUACUUGUUCGACAUAACUUUGAUUGUGCUCUCAUAGGUAAAACCAAACUCUGUCCAAUAAAAAAUUGGCAUAGCUUAACAUGCUCAGAAGGGUAAGCUUAUUUCAUUGGAGUUAUCAUGUCCAAUAUUCAGAAGAGGAUAUUCAUGUUGAUGCAUUAUCCAUAAUUAUUCUCGUUGUAAGGACGUGAUUCCAAGGGGGUCAUGGAAAGUAAGCAAGCAUGUGAAAUAAUGUUUAUUUCCUUAAAUUGGUUGAAAUUUUCUAUGCUAAUGCUUAAUUUAUAUGCUCGAACUUUCAGGUUUGGAUUUACUUUUGUAAUGGGAAGCUUGCAUCAGUUGUUGCAGAAAAAAUGCAUUGCUCAUAAAGAAGUAUUCUGGGCUUUUGAGAUAUAAAUUCUGGUGUUUAGAUAUUCUAUAUUUUAGAACCUAAUGUUGCAUACCGAGCACUAUUUUUGCCAGUUGAAAGCUCCACCGGGUGCCUUCUACAGAGUAGUUAGUUGCCAGACUCCAUUGUUAUUGUAUUUCUUAGCUAUUUGAGGUGUAUAUAAUAGUGUAAAUGCUUCAUAAAAUAACAAAAAUGUAUUGAAUGCAUAAUAGAACUGUAUAACGUUUGCCCUUGGAGAAACCUGUAUGGAGUCAUAUUGUGAUCUUCUAGAUUUAUGUUAUGAUGUUACAAGCUCAAAAUAGUGAGUUUCAUUUCACAUAUUACUAUACUAGACUCGGCCUUGUUCACCGUUUUAAUGCCUACUGUCGGUGUAAAACUAAAAGCCCAAUUUGUUUCCAACUAAGGACCAAAACUGCACUUGGAUGAUCAUUUUCAAUAAUUUUUUCAUUGUUGUUAUUUUGUUUUUCAUGUUCUAGUAACUACAACCUGAUACUUGUUUCUACCUUGAUGUUAGGCCCUAGCAUGUUGAUGCUUUUUUUUGAGGGAAUGCCAUCAUGGCUACUUUAUUGCAUAGGUAAUAUAGUUACAUCAUUUACAAGGCAUUCAAUCUGGAAGUCUGGGGGAUCAUCCUCCCAUUUACAAGCUACAUUCUUAUCAAAAGCAUUCUUUGCUAAACAAUGCGCCACUACGUUGGCUUCCCUCAAGCAAUGCGAAAACUGAACUAAACCUAUUAUGCCAGCCAGGAUAAAACAAUUCGCGUAUAUUGCUAAAGCUUCGUUCCAGAUUCUGUCCUGACCUGAGCAUGCGUUCAUGACCUCCACCGAAUUUGAUUCAAUUUGGAUUGAGUGUAGCCCCAUCUCAUUUGCUAGCAUGAGACACUGUUUCAUCGCUAAUAUUUCUGAUGUAUAAGCAUCAGGUACAUGGGGCAACAAGGAACAUGCAGCGGCAAUAAACACACCAUAGCUAUCUUGAAUCACCACACCUGUGGAACCACUGAAUGUUUCAUGAUGAAAGGAGGCGUCAACAUUCACCUUAAUAUUUCAUCUUGGAGGUUUGCUCCAUUUUACCCUAGGAUGUUGAAGCUGCUUUGCAGUAAAGGUAAAGAUGGUUCUGAGCCAAUGGAAUCUCUUGGCUGAUAUGUACAAGUCUACAUGGAUGGUGAUAUCCAUUUUUUUUGUUUGGUUAGAGGGACAAUAUGUGAUGGGAUUACUCCAUGUUAUUUUUUUGAAUCCCCGCCCCUCCUCCUCCCUUGCCGCCGCCAGAGGGCACGGCCGGGCGAAGCCUGGCCGGCACCGCCAGCGACGAGGCCUCCUCGUCUUCCCUCCCAGCGGCCUUGGCGCAGGCCGACCCGGCUGGAUCGGGGUGCCUCGCUAUCCCAGGGCGAGGUGGCGCUGCGGUGCGGCGGCGUGGUGAUGGCGCUGCGCGUGGCGGUGGUGCGACGGGCUGGGCGUCGGAGGACGCGUCGGUGCGUGGAGCGGUGGGGGCGGCGAGCGGAUGGUGCGGGCGGUCCUGGCGGCGGGCGGAUCUGGCGUGACGGCGGUCGCAUUGAGGCAGAGCGUCGGUGGCGGGCUCCGGUGGCCUGGGCCGGCUCCUGGCUGGGCGCUGCGGUGGUGUGGGUCGCGGGCGAUAAGGACCUGCGGGCGGCCGCCCCUGCUCUGGCUUCGGGCUGGUGGGCAUGGUGGCGCAGUGGUGGUGGCUGGCGGGGCGUGUUGGUCGAGUCCGCGUCAGAGUCUUCCUGGUCGGGCGCUCGGACGUCGGCGGACGGCGCAAGGAGACAUCUCCGGUGAGCUCUCAUGGCUGCAGCUGCGGGUCGGUUUGGUCUCCCUCGUCGGCGGGCUCGCGGUUGCCGAUGGCCUCGCGGAGAUGUGUGUCGUCUACCAUGGUGGGGCGACAUGGGGAUGCUCGUGGGGGAGCUUGGUAGGAGGGAUAGGUGGCCUCGAUGCGGUCGCGCCACCUAUCGCCGGCACGGUUUGCCAGUCCGGAUCCGUCAGCUCCUCCUUCUUCCCCUUUCCCCUUGUUCGCGGGGAGCUUGGUUGGAGGGAUGGGUGGCCUCGAUGCGGUCGCGUCACCCGUCGCCGGCACGGUUUGCCGGUCCGGAUUCGUCCGCUCCCCUUUCUCCCCCUCUCCUCAGCCGCGGGCGGGUUGGCGCAGGUUUACCAGUGGAGCAUCUGUGGGUAGUUCCGUCGGUCGAGGGCCAUCGGUUGGUCCAAAGCUGGGGCCUUUGUGUAGGUCUUGCGGUUGUCUGGUUGCAGGGCGGCGGCUCUGGCGGCGGGAGGCGCGAUGUUCGUGGGUGGAGCGUGCGUCUCAGGUGCGGGCAGGCAACCAUGGCCGUGUGGGUGGCGUGGUUGCGGGUGGUUGGUGGAGUUCAGGUUCAACGGUGGGGUGUGAGUGUCGGGGUACACCACCUGUCCAGUACUUUGUCUGGCCGACGGUGGUGGUGGCCUUUGCCGCCGUACCCUUCCUGAAGGCUCCGUCGCGGCGUUUCCACUCUUGUCGUCUUGCUCCGGGUGAAAACCUGAUAUUCGCUGAUCGGGCGGUGGCGGCUAUCCAUGGUCGUAUCCUUCUUGGAGGCACCGCUUUGGAGGCCUCGCUUCGUUUUGGUCCGGUUCACCUCUCUAUUGGUAGUCAGUGGGGUGGUGUGUCGGUGCCUGGCACCUUUGUAUCUUGCCUUGGGUGUGUGCGUUGUGUGUGUUGUUCGGUAUCUCGGAUGUACUCAGUGAUGUUUGCUUUAUAAUAUAAAGUGGGGGAAAACCCUUUUUCGGUAACACAAUACAGACGCAAGUGCUCAUAUACACGCACACACACACACCCCUAUGAACGCACACACACACCCUACCCCUAUGAGCACCUCUGAAAGAUUGAGCCGACAUAUUAUCUUGAAAUUUCCGUAGUCGCCGUAGGCCCCUCGUCGUCAACGGGGGCGUCUCCUCCCACUGAAUGCGCAUCGUCGGAAAUCCUAAAAUAAAUUCAAGAACAAAUGCGAGCACCAGGGCUUGAACCCUGAUGGGCUGGGGAUACCACAGUCCCCCUGACCAUCCAACCACUGUUAUAGGAACAAUUCAUGUGUGUGAUAUCUACAAGAGGAUACUAUUUUUUUAUACUAGAAGUCUAGAAUAGACAAGAUGGUAGUAUAAUUCAUGGGGCUUUACAGAGUCACCAUUCCAUUGUUUUGCUAGAAGAUGGACAUGGAAUUUAUUACCUACCAAAUCCUCUUCAAAAGGCACCACACUACCAAUAGUUAGUAACAAUCUUGGUUUAUUUUGCACUUUUCAGAUGACAUUUUGCUCCUGAUCAUGAACCCUGGAUUAGGGCGUAUAGUAAUGCAGAAACUGUAUGCUUCUAUGUACAUAUAUAGAAUGAAUUACAACCAUAUGAUUUUAAGCCAGAGUUUUGAUCAAGUUUAGCCAAAACAACAUUAAAACAAGGAGAAACCUUUGUUUCUUCUGAAUACGCAUAAAAAGCAUAUCAUACAUUUAUAGAAUGAAGAGGGUAUAGACACCCAUCCACGAGUUUACAAUAGUGCGACUGCUCACAAUACAUCCACCUAGACAGCCGAUGAAAAAUCAGUUUCAAAUCCUCUUUGAACUUGCCCGCUAAUUGACACAACUCCUCCACUAGGACCUUAUCAAUGACAUCGACCACAAAUAGCGAGACAUUCUCAAACACAAUAUUUUUCCGAUGUUUUCCAUAUCUCCCACAUCACCAGGGUCACGAGUGUCUACCGAAUUUUCUUGAGUUUCUGCAUGGGGCUCAGCGUCCCAACAGGCAAUCAUCAAUCCCCGCGUCUAUUCUCUAUUACCCAAGUCGACAUCACUUCAUACUAGAUCGAUCGUGCAAAGACGCAGGAAACCACUGGGUGGUCAAUGCUUUCUUGUUCCUUGUCACAAAGCGGGCAAGCUUCCUGAUGCGAAGUCCUCGGCUAGCUAGUCGAUCAGAGGUCCAAAACCUGUUAGGGAGGGCAAGCUCGGAGAAGAAAUUGCAUCGUAGGGGCCCUCUAGAUUGGCAAGUGAGCGGAUUAAGAUCCCGAGGGUUCCCAAGUCUAGCGCACCGAUUCCUAGAUUCACUCAUGAAGAACCACUGGGGAGAUUGCGUCCCUCAAUGAAAAUUACUCUCCUAGCUUCGUGGCCUCCAGAUUUGGCCCCAAAUCAAGCGGCCAUGCCAGGUGCAUGGUGUCAUGAACUAUCCUGGUGGCCCGCACCCGAGGUCUGAUCCUCUUGUAAAGGCGUGGGCCGAAUUCCUGGAACCAAAAUCCAUGCAAUCUCAUGUCUUCCCAAAAGAACGAUGAUCUACCAUCUUGGGAUAGGAAGUGGGAGUUUUGGGUGUGAAGACUUUUAAUCCUUUGACAGCGUGUUUGGUAGUUUAAGGGAAAGGGAUUGGGAAUUUAUGAGAGGGAGUUGGCUGAGGGAUUAGGCUUGGGAAGUGGCAAGUUAGUCCCAGUAAUUUGGUAUGGGGUGGGGUUAUUUAUGGGAAUAAUUUCCAUGAACAAAGAAAAUAAAGGGUAGGUUACGUGAGAUGUGCUCCUAUUUGGUGUUGCAUCUGCAGAUCAGGGAGUAGUUAGAGUUGGCCGGUUAGUUUGGAGGAAUUUUGUUGCGGGAGGUGGGCCACCAAAUAUGUAAUGAUAUGUUUUUAGACGUAUAAUUCCCAUUCCUCCGUUGAAUUACCAGGGUGCCCCUGGGUAGAGAUCGAUGGGAGUUGGCCCUCCUAAUUCCCCUUCCCCUUCCCUUGCUAAUUCCCAAACCCCUGAACCAAUCAACGUAUUUUUAGUCUUACUAAUCUUAAACUCCCAUUCCCUACCCCAACUCUCCCAACCAAACACGCUGUGAUUGUUUGGGGGUAACGGGAGUUAAAGAGGGAAUAGGGAGGGGAAUUCAUGUAUUAAACUCCCUCAAAUUACUUACCUGGGGGAGGCCUGGUAAUUCAGAUGGAGAAAGGGAAUUAGCAUUUAACUCUCAUUCCAUUUCCCUUGGAUUGCCAAACAAACUGUAAGGUCUAGAGGUGUCAGUUCCUAGCAGCCACCAAUAACAAUGUUCAACCAUAUGAAAUUAGGGAGUCCAAGUGAACUAGUCCAUUUGGGCAAUUUUUCAACCAUCUAAAUAUUUAAGGAGAAACAUGUUUUUUUGAAAAGGAGGAUCACCCUGGCCUCUGCAUCUGGGCGAUGCAUGCAACUAUUUCAUUAAUUUUUCACAAAGACCUUAUAAAGUAGUACAUCAGGUAGUCUGCAACCACUAUCUUAGCAACAACUGUCGCUACUCCUAUCCACUUGAUGAAGGGAUGCCGAUAGUCCGAGCCUAAUACCAAAUAGACAUCACACCAAAGCCUAACAUCUAAAGCGAAGGCCCCAACCGAGCCACAUACUGGGUUUGGGGUACAAACCGGUCCAACGCACUCUCAUGUGUCAUCGUCGUCAUCUCCCACCAAUCCAUCUUUAGAGCAGAAACUAACGCACCGACUCUGCCAGGCCUCUCUGCCAUCGACGCCACCAUGACGCCAGACAACGUCCUCCUCCUGCGCGAGUCCAUCUCUAUGCAUCGGAUGCCGAGUCUCCACUGUGCCACGCCGUCGAGAUCCGCCGCCAUCAAUAAGUAAGAUGAAGCACCGCUCCACUAAAGAAGCCGUCCACUGGUCCCUCAAGCUCAUUUACACCUCCACGAAUGACGCCCCCAAGGGGGAAAGGACACCAGAGCACCGCCGUCAUCCAAUCUACUGAUCUAGGGUCUCCCCCGGAGGUAGCGGAUAGAGGUCUGGAGCUUCUCCAUGGCAACGCCUUCAAGAAGAUAAUGACACAAAAGAGUGCCGCCAUCUCCAGUCUUGGCAACAAGAUGAGGACUAGGUUUUUACUCGGAUCUGCUCGACGAACCUCCAUCUCGCAUCGUGCGCACAAACCACGACCGAUUUCCGUCGCCUCGGAGCGAUCAAGCCACUCUGGACAGAUCAGAUCUGAUCGAAGGGCCAACCAUGUCCACAACCGACCAGUGCACCAAAGCCCUCCAUGCCGCCGCCGAUCCGAGGUGCCACAACGCCACGGCCAUCCGCCGCGGAGGCUCGGAUCCAGGGCGCACUUCUGCUUGCCCGGUUGCCCCGUGCCACCCUCGUGCGCGAGAAGGAGAGUCUCCUCCACCACCGCCAUCAGCCGCCGGGCUUAGCCCGGCUGCUUCCUCCAGUGGCGACAGAGGGGAGGGAUGGGAGGGGGAGUGACCGACGACUAAGGUUGGGGGCCCUCAAGCGCCCGCGCGAGGGGCGUCGGAGGGGAGAGGAAGGGAGGAAGCGGCGGGCGGCAGCGAUGCCGCUACUAGGUUAGCUCGCGUAGGUUAGCGGCUAUGAAGAUUUAUUAGAACGACACCUAAGGAGAAACAUGUGCAUCUAUGAAAUCUUCAUGAUUCUAAAGAAGCCUCUAAUAGGCCAGUUUUCUGUCUCUUACCACAAUUAACUUACUAUAUAUAUAUAUGUAUAUGUGUGUAUAUAUAUGUAUAUAUAUAUACAUGCAUUUGUGGACCACUACCAGCCCAAAGAGGAAAUAAAUUCCACACUCUCAAAAUGAUGGAAAAGUUUGGAGGGAAAGAAAUGGGACCCAUAUCCCAAGACGAGUAUGUGGCUGAGAUUGCCAUCUCUAGAGAGAAACACAAUAGGUACGCUUUUCCCAAUAUAUAUAUAUAUAUAUAUAUAUAUAUAUAUAUAUAUAUAUAUAUAUANNNNNNNNNNNNNNNNNNNNNNNNNNNNNNNNNNNNNNNNNNNNNNNNNNNNNNNNNNNNNNNNNNNNNNNNNNNNNNNNNNNNNNNNNNNNNNNNNNNNNNNNNNNNNNNNNNNNNNNNNNNNNNNNNNNNNNNNNNNNNNNNNNNNNNNNNNNNNNNNNNNNNNNNNNNNNNNNNNNNNNNNNNNNNNNNNNNNNNNNNNNNNNNNNNNNNNNNNNNNNNNNNNNNNNNNNNNNNNNNNNNNNNNNNNNNNNNNNNNNNNNNNNNNNNNNNNNNNNNNNNNNNNNNNNNNNNNNNNNNNNNNNNNNNNNNNNNNNNNNNNNNNNNNNNNNNNNNNNNNNNNNNNNNNNNNNNNNNNNNNNNNNNNNNNNNNNNNNNNNNNNNNNNNNNNNNNNNNNNNNNNNNNNNNNNNNNNNNNNNNNNNNNNNNNNNNNNNNNNNNNNNNNNNNNNNNNNNNNNNNNNNNNNNNNNNNNNNNNNNNNNNNNNNNNNNNNNNNNNNNNNNNNNNNNNNNNNNNNNNNNNNNNNNNNNNNNNNNNNNNNNNNNNNNNNNNNNNNNNNNNNNNNNNNNNNNNNNNNNNNNNNNNNNNNNNNNNNNNNNNNNNNNNNNNNNNNNNNNNNNNNNNNNNNNNNNNNNNNNNNNNNNNNNNNNNNNNNNNNNNNNNNNNNNNNNNNNNNNNNNNNCGAACGGUGGGAAAGAAAAAAAAACAGCGCCCCCACUGUCCCCGCACCCCAUCUCUUCCACCUCUCGUCCCGAACUCCACCAUCCCACCUUCCCGCCGCCGGGAUCCAGCCAACGGCGAGUCGGCGAACACCACCAACCCACCUCCCCCGCCGCCAGGAUCCAGCCACGAAUCCACCGCCCCGCCGUCGGGAUCCAGCCGCCAAUCCACCUCCCUGCCGCCGGGAUCCUGCCGCUGCACAACCGCCACCAACCCAACCUCCCAUCGUCAGGAUCCUGCCGUCGGGCGACAGCCACCAACUCACUUCCCGCAUCGCCGGAAUUCGCCCCUCAGCGGCCUUCCUCCUCUGCUGCCGCGACCUUCCACCUCUUCCACUGCGGCCUUCUUCCCUCACGUGCCUCCCCAGAUCGGCGAUGCGAUGCACGUUCCCCCACCGGUGACCCUCCCCUGAGUUCACUCUCUUCCCUCCAUCGCCGGCCUGAGAGCUACCCACGCCACCCCACGCUGCCACCUUGAUCCUCCCGGUCGACCUCCCGGAUCCGGCGCUCCUGUACAGAGCAGUGCCACCGCGCAUUACACUAGUCAGCAUUAGCGCCCCUCUUCCUCCAUGCUGUUGCUGCCCUCUUCCUCCAUGCUGCUGCUGCCUUCGACUCUGCCCCCGCACUCCAUAGCCUCCGCAUUGAGCUGCCUGUUGGAAUUGAUCUCAGGUUGUAAUAGACCGAGAUAAAAAGAAGGGGAGUCCAAUCCCACGUUGGUGCUUUGAUCGGGGGCACCCAAACCCAAUGUUUUGGUUUCGGUCCCCGGUCCAUCAGUUCCCAUAUAAAAAGGAAGAGGCCAUGUACCUGUUCAGAUAAGAAAAGAAAAACACAAACGGGUUAAACUCCUGAGUGCUAACAACCGAUCCUAAAAAGAGGGAGCUGAUGUGCUGGAAGGCCGACUACCACCGCCGGCCACCGCAAGGUCAGUGCCGGUGGCCCCUACAGCGGCGUUCCUGAUGCACGUCCACACCAUCUACGUGCUGCUUUUCUCCCGGCCAUAUCUUCAUCGCCGGAGACCCCAAGGUGCAGCCAUGGGCUACACAAGGGGCUGCAUCGAGCAGCCAUGGGAUUUCGCCAAUCAAUGUAAGUUUGUACGCUUCCGCAUAAUACUGAUGUUCUAGUCCGAGAUUAAGUCCUAAAGUUGAUUAGCCUAAAGCCAAUUAAUCUAACAAUGGUAUCAUGAGCUGGUUAAUCUCGGUUAGAACUCCAAUCAUGUUUUUAGUGAUGUUUCUUUUCUGUUAACGAUCAUGUUUAAUUCCUGAUUUUCUCCGUUCCAAAUAUAAUCACCAACUUAAGGUUUAAUUAAACUUUAUUAGGUUAGUGAGCCUUGUUUAUGGCUAAUUAUUUUCAGUCAAUGUAUUACUGAUGCGGGUUAGUGCUAAUUACCCGUUUAAGCAAUCAGAAGGAGGGGAAUUGCAAAUUCUAGAAAAUCCCCAAUUUUUGAAACCCUAGAACUUGGAAUUCCCCAAAUCAGCGCCCAAAAAUGUUUUAAUCGACAAAAAGAAGAGUAUUUGAGGCACACCUCAUGACGUCGCGCCUAUGCUCCUUCGGGAUCCCUGAGCCGGCGACGCCGCCGUCUCUCGGGAUGACGUGCAGAAAGACUCAGCCGCCGCUGAGGUGCUAAUGGACGCGCGCGUGCAGUGGGUUCCGCACCCCGUACGUCGCCGUCGCUGUCGCCGCCAAAAGUUUGCGCCGGCAGCCGCCGGCAAGAUGCCUCACGCGUAGCUAGGACUACCGUCCUCCCGGUCUCGCCAUGAGCUCAACACGGCGAGCGCCGUUCGGCGGAGGAGCGCGUGGCCUUGAGCGAGGCACGCUGCUCCGACGAACGGGACUGCCGCACCGCCAUGGCCGGCGUGCCUCGGGUCGCCGCCGCGGUUGUCGCCUCUCCUGCACGAGCCGUGAAAAUCGGGGGAGAGGAAAGGAAAUGCUUCUAGGGUUUGACGAGGUGUUGUUUUGCUCCGCCCCGGGAGGAUCGGGGCCGUCGGCUUGAUCCAACGGCUGAGGCCGACGCGCAGCUCCGAAUGGGCUUCGGGCACUUAAAAGGCCGCUUCUGAAGCUGGGUUGCAGCCCAGCAUGUCUUAUCCUGGCAGGAAACGUUCUUGUCUUUGAGCUGGGCCGAAUGAAUCAAGGGUAGCCGUGGGCUGUAUUGGGCCAACAAAUAUAUGUUCUGCGCGUAUUUUCUUUUAUUCAGUGCAAUUCUAUCAUUAAGAUUAUUCUAAGAAAGUCUUUUGCACUGUUAUAGAUAGAAAAUUGUCAGAAAAAUUAAGUUCUAAAUUGUGUUUUAGUUUUCUUAGUAUAAUGGAACCAACGAGAAGUUUUGCUUAGAAAAUUAAAGCACAAUUAAUGUUUAUGUAAUUUUCAUGGCAAGCCUUUAAUGAUGAUGAAGAUUUAUUAAUAAAAAUCCAUGGAUGAUUAUAGGUCAAAUUAUGUUCUUUAGGCAUUUUGUGCAGUUUUAGUGCAUUCAUUAAGUUUCAAAUUAUGCUUUUGCACUGAUGAGUUUUAAAGUGCCUGUAAUUAUGCUUAAAUCUUCUGAAAAAAUGGAGCCAACGGGAAUUUUUUUUGGGGUGAAUGUUGAUGUCAUUUAAAGGCACCUUUUAUGGUCAUCACUUUUCAAGUAUUAUUUCAAUGAAGAAAUCUUAAUGUUAAAAUAUUGAGCAUUUUUCCAGUCACUCAUUUAAGUUUCUAAACAUUAAUAUUUUAUUUGGAAACUUUAUUUGAGUGUGAUGUUUGUGGUGAUGCCAUCCUAAUGACAUUUCUUAAUGAUGUGACCAUUUCGAAUGGGCUGAGGCCACCUCAAGGGGAAUGUUAUGGUCACAUGGUUCAGUUUUCCGCGUCAUAAGAAUAUUCCGUCGAUACGCCUAUUGGGCAAAACUGAAGUUUUUAUUUGGUGCAUUUCAUGUCAUUUUAUUAUGAUAUGCAUUAUUGAAAUAUGCAUAAAGACUCAAAAAUAAUGUUCAUGGGGUUAUGAUCAAUCCCCUAAAGAAAGGAAUUUUGUUUAGGGGAUUUGUUUCCAAAGUACCUGUUGCUGCCAAAUAUUGUUAUUUCGUGAAUCCUUAUGAAAAUUUAUGUCCAUAUUACCUGGAAAAUGUUAUGAUAUCCUGACGAUAAUAUUAAUGUCUUUUUGGACUGACUGUAACUUUGAAGUCUACUCUCUCGCAAUAACAUUUAUAUUUAUAUGUUAAUUCCAAUGUCACCUUCAUUGUAUGUCGUUUAGAAUUUUAAUGAUAAUUUUGACACUUAUUUUUUUAAUGUUAUUUUCAAUGAUCAUUAAGUGUCAAAAUUUUAAGUUCAAGAUAACUACAACAGGUUAUGAAUUCUUGUGUCCUAUGACAUAAUGGAUUACACUUUAAUGCUACUUUAUGUUAAUGAUGGUUAGUAAUUUAGUUAAUAUUCUUGCUGGUCUUUAUGUGAUUUUGUGUUUUUCUAAUCAAAAUGGAACCAACGAGAAGUUUUGAUUAGAGAUUUAGUGAGCCAAAUUCAUAAUGGCGAUUGAUGAUAUUCUGACCAACGUUCAUUAUUUUUAUGUGUCAUUUAUGAAUGAAUAAGUUUUUUUUCGUUAUUUGCCCAAUGAUAAUGCAGAUUAGAAUAAAUUAAUCUUUUUUUAUUCAUCUCAUUGCAUGGUUAAUUGAUGCUUGAUGUUUUGUUGUGAUGUUCAUAACGAUGUCUUCUGUUUUCAUAGCAAUGAACAUUAAUAAAGAUGCCAACUUCCAUUUUGGCAUAGACAACCCUUAUGUAAAUAACUUUUCUGUGUGGGGAGUGGAGAUCAUUUUCUCAUGUAAGGAAUCUCAUAAUGUUUCUCUGCCACUAAGGUUUACAGAUUUAAUCAUGAUGUUAAAGCGGACAUUGGGAGAGGUCUCAAAAUGCAUGUGCUAUCAUGCACAUUACUAAUGCAAUGGGGUUUAAAGUGAAAACUAUUGGAUUUAUUCCACUAGGAUUUGGAGAUACUUAAUUCUUCAUCUAAUUGAUGAUGUUUGUUCUUGCUCCUAGUUACUGGAGAAACUUAUUUCUUGUUUCUCGAACAUAUGACAUGAUUUUCUAUGUUAUCAAGUUAACUCCAAUUAUGUAACGUUAGUUUCGCCCUAGGGUGAGACAAGUUAUGUUUUUCAUCUGAAUGGAUCAUUUGUAAAGAUUAUGUGUUAUGUUACAAUUAAAGAUGUAAGCGAAGUGUAAAUAAUGAGACCUCAUCGAAAUUGUCGUUUUAGACCACAUUUCGAGGGGGAGAAUGGAAGUCUCGUUUAAUAUGAGAUAUCACGUUCACUUCUCUUACUUAGAUCAAAAUAUGUAUGUUAAUUCUCCAAUUAAAGAUAGAACCAAGGAGAAGUCUUGGUUGGAGAAUGUAUGAAAAUCAUAUACUAAUGUCAAUUAUCUAAUUAAGAUGCAACAAGUCUUAUUUAGAAGAAUGGAUAAAAAAUUACUCAUUUUAUUACGUUAAUGUGUACUUAAUCCCUUAUGAGCAUUAUGAAGCACACAUGAAUGCUAAAGUGAAGCUUGCUAGUCUAAUGACCAUCAUGAUGUAACAUGUUGAUUAUAUAUAUGACCAACGUCAUUUAUAAUCAUAUGUCGCACUUCACUCAAAUGGCAAGCUUGUUAGUAUCACUUGGCUCGUGGUUAUAUUUUUGACUAUCGUCAUUUAUAAUCAUUUGUCACAAUUCAUUAGGUUCUUUUCCAUCUUCAGCCCAACAGUGUUGUGGUUUAGAACUUAAAUGAUUAUUAUCAAGAUAUUGGAUAUGUUUUCCAUUUUUUCAAAUAAAGUGAUCAUGGGGGAACUGGAGCGUAUGAACAUGAAUCUUAAGGAUAACUCCAGUAGAUCUUUGUUCAUACGCAUCAGGUAAGUUGAGAAGAAAUGCAUAUUGCAAUACUCAAUGUUGAGACUUCACAAUUUCCGUGUGAUUCAUAAUGUGUGUGAAUGAUCAUCUUAGAGGCUUGUGUGAUAAUGAGCUCUAAUGAUGUAUGGAACUCAAUAUAGUUUCCUCGGUGAGUUGUUUUGACGCUUAUGUUAUUAUUAUAACAUACUCUUGUGUUGACUAAGUUAAGAAUGUAUGUAUGACUUAACCGUAAGGUUUCGUCAAAUAGGUGAAGUUAACACAAGGUAUGUUGCCCCAAGAAAUUCAAUUAUGAAAUAAGAAAGCGUCGGGACACUCAUACCAUAAAACCAGGGGGAGUAAGUAUACUACCUUGAGAAGAUGGAAUAUUUUUGGCGGGACCAAGAAUUUUCUACCUUCCAUUUAUGACAUAAAGAAUCUUGGUCAUGCCCUAUACUUUGUUUGUGUCGAGUUUCGCCAAGAUUCCAAAAGUGGUAUAAGUUUUAUCAUGAAGACAUGCAUCGAUAGAGUAUGAAAGAAAAUAUUAUGUAGUAGUACUCUUAUCGCACCUGCUACUAAAGUCACGGGCAAUAAGAGAUGGACAUUUUAGUGUCCAAGGAACCAUUAUGAACUGAUCAGAUAAUGUCGGUUCCUUAUGCUUCAGUUGUCGGAAGCAAUAUGUGUAUUCAAGUAUGAACAUGCCCUUGUUUUGUGAUCGGGAUAAUUGGCAAAUAUACAAGUAAGUCCAGAAAUGGACCACUGGAAAAGCCGAGAAAUGUCUUGCAGAUAUGCAAGAGAAUAAAGUUUACAUGCUCACUAAUAAGAAGUCUAAUAACUUCGAUAUCCUGGGAUAUUCGGACAUUGCUUCUGCGAGAUGUGUGGAUCUUAAAGUUUCCACGCUAUGUUACAUCCUCACUCUCGCACAUGGAGCUAUAUCGUGGAAAAGCUCUAUAAUGACACUGAUGGCAUUAGAAAUAAUGCACUUACUUAUGUGGCAUGCCAAGAGGCUAUUGGGCAGGUUGUAUGUCAAGAAGUUUUAUUCCCGAGUUAAGAGUGAUAGACAACAUCUCUAAGACACUUACUGCGAUUAUGAGCACGCAGUUCUCUAUGUGAGUAACAACAAGUCAAUUGUUAUUGCCAAAACCAUUGACAUAAUGUCUCUGUUGUGAAACAUAGAGUCCAGGAUCAAACCUAUGGUGUUUGAUUUAUAAAGUUUUGUGGUACCGCUUACUAAAGGCUUACCACCCAUUUUAUGAUGAUAUCUUGCCGGCAUGGGUUCAUAAAGCCUUUUGAUCCUGGAAAUUAGGACCAUCAUAUAAACCAACUCCCAUAAAGUAUUAUGUUUCCAUCUCGAGAUAGAAUGAUGUACUAUAGGUACUGAGGUUCACUGAUAUCCCAUUAUCUCAUUGGUCAUUGUAACACAUUACUUUGGUAUGUUAUUUCUAUUAAGAGUGGGCUUAUGAUGUUUGUUAACCUUACGAUCAAGGGGGAGAAUGUUGGAAUUGAUCUCAGGUUGUAAUAGAUCGAGAUAAAAAGAAGGGGAGUCCAAUCCCACGUUGGUGCUUUGAUCGGGGGCACCCAAACCCAAUGUUUUGGUUUCGGUCCCCGGUCCAUCAGUUCCCAUAUAAAAAGGAAGAGGUCACGUACCUGUUCAGAUAAGAAAAUAAAAACACAAAUGGGUUAAACUCCUGAGUGCUAACAACCGAUCCUAAAAAGAGGGAGCUGAUGUGCUGGAAGGCCGACUACCACCACCGGCCACCGCAAGGUCAGUGCCGGUGGCCCCUACAGCGGCGUUCCUGAUGCACGUCCACACCAUCUACGUGCUGCUUUUCUCCCGGCCAUAUCUUCAUCGCCGGAGACCCCAAGGUGCAGCCAUGGGCUACACAAGGGGCUGCAUUGAGCAGCCAUGGGAUUUCGCCAAUCAAUGUAAGUUUGUACGCUUCCGCAUAAUACUGAUGUUCUAGUCCGAGAUUAAGUCCUAAAGUUGAUUAGCCUAAAGCCAAUUAAUCUAACACUGCCCUCUCCUUCAAAUGGCAGUGCACACAAGCUAUUUGUGUAUAUGCCUCAAACAAAAAAGUGUGUUUUCUUUGAAAGAUUCUACCUUGGCUCAGUGCAUUCUCUCUCUUUGUUUACAGGAGAAGUUCAUAUACAGCGACAACAACAAAGUUCAUGUUGUCAGAAAAAUGAAGUCCAUGUAUAUGGAAGAUGAUGAUUGUUGUGUGUAUUUAGGGGAACACAAAAACACUUGUGGCUGACAAAUUUUUCUGGUUUAUGCACUUCCUAGUGUUUAGAUGUUACUCCCCUAAAAAUGAAAAUAUUAGAUUGCUGUGUAUUACUUUUGGUUUCUUGUAGCUGAUCAGCUGAGUGAAGCAUCUCAGAAGUUACUUUUAGUGUAUACUUUCAAGCAAAGCAUGAUAAGUUCCAUUAGUUACUCCUUGUUGGAAUGCUUAGAUAUAUGUGGUUGGAUGUUCUGAAUUCUGAUUGUUAUCGGCCUACUUGUUCGCCAAGUACUGAUCUCCUUCAUUUCCUGUACCCAUUUUGCAGUUCCUGGACAAAUCAAUGCAGCGUCGUGGACUCAUCUGCUAUAGCACAUAAGUAGGCAUGCAUGCCAGAUUGGUUCCUUCCACUACCUACCUAAUGUUGUUUGUACCCAGACUACCCAUAGUGCCUGAUGAAGCUUCAAGACCGCAAAUAGACAAGCCCACGGAGAAACAACAUCCUUGUGUAUCUUGAGCUGCUACAUCACUUGAUGGAACGAGAUAUGGUGUCGGGAACACAUCAGGAUUAGCAAGUAAUUUUGAGAGUAAUCUUGUAUGCGCCCUGGGCUCAGUUUGUGCCGCGAUAAAUUGUUUUCAACAUGUAAUACAUUUUUUUGCCGCAUGCCAGGUGAGAUGGUGAACUGGGUGUGCUUUCUGUGUUUGCGUUGUGUGGGACCGUGGGAGAGUGAUUUUUCUUUAGAAGGUUCAGAGUUCUAUUGGGUUAAGGCGAACUCAGCUUAUCGUACAGUCUUGUUCAAACCGUGAUUUUUCUUCAGAAGGUUCAGAGUUCUAUUGAGUUAGAAACAU
rnacentral:lncRNA from 1 species